rnacentral:lncRNA from 1 species
GAUGCACGAGCUCAAGGAAGCCUUUGUGAAGAAGCAUGCAGAAGCUUAGGGUUCGCGUGAGCGCAUGAAGACUCUGGCUGACAGAUGUGUGCAAGCCUAUAAUGAGGCUGAGAAGCGCAAGGCACUUGGGCGUCCUGGCAUCGACCCCAGGAUGGCCGCAAAGAAGAAGAAGAAGCCUGCUACGGCUAAAUCUGAUGCACCAAGGCAAGAAGCAGUUCCGAUUGUCUUCCCAACAAGAAUGACUGGCUCGAAGCCAAAGAGCCGGUCAACAGCUUCAGAGCUCAAGAAGACAAGAACUGCUGAGGCUGAAGCCAGGAAGAGGAAACACUCUGAAGACUCUCCUACUGCCCCCACCAAGAAAAAGCGAAAAACCAAGAAAGCUCGGGCUGCUCCCACAGAGCCAUUGAUAGUUGAACCCAUUUCUAUGGUUCAUCCUGACGCAGAACAUCAACUGAUGGUUCAUGAGCCUGCUUCCAUAGAGGCUCCUAAAGCUGAAGACAUUCCAGCAGCUGAUCCCAUCGCUGCUGAAGACAUUGGUCAUCAUGACAAUGUAGAAGAUGAUGCAGUCCUUCCUCAGUUAGAAAACAGCAAACUCAUCAGCAUUGGUCGUCCACUGACGCCAAUUGCACAGGAUGCUUCAUGGGCGGAUCGCCCACAAGAGGAAGAAGACUAUGAGGCCCAGCCCACUCCAACUCCACAGGCGUCGUCUGCGUUCCGUAGGCUUCGCAAAGGUCCAAGGCCUGAAGUCUAUGCUGAAGACAUUCCGGCUGCAUCAGCCGCAGAAGAAGAAGUACCACAAGAUCCCACUCCCCUGCUCCACCAAGAAGCAGUUCUCCAGGAGAACGUGCCUGUGACCGACCCUCCAGCUAGUCAAGUGGAGGAUGAAAAUCUUGAGGCUGCCACAACCAACAACGAAGCUAAUGUGGAGCCCUCCCCAACAAAAGCUUCAGAAACAGCGAAGCCACUGAUCCCGCCACUUCUGUUCCUGAGUCUGCUGCAGGUCCCCAAUUCAACUAUCAUGUUGAGCACAGGCCUCAGGUCCAGAAGCCAAUCCCAAGACUGCCAAGGUUUCCAGGUCCUGCAUCAGCACCUGGCUCCUUCAACAUCAAUGGCUUCAGGGCAGACAACACGUUCUUCAAUAGCUCCAGGAACCCCUACUCACGGGAACGGAUAUCAUCUGAUCGGUUCUGGAGCUAUCCUCAGCGAAGCUAUUACUCUUGCAUUCUUUACAACCAAGGUCGCAUCUUCCCACACAAGCGCCUUGACGUUGAAGCUAUAGCUGGUCUGCCCUAUCUAGAAGAAGCGUUGGAUUGCUUCAAGCAAGUGGGUCUGCUGCAAUUUGUUACUACUGAAGAGCAUUGGAAUGAAGAGCUGCUGCUACAAUUCUAUGCCACACUUCACAUCAAAGGAUACAGCAGAGAUCCGAAGACUUGGGUCCUGGAGUGGAUGACUGACAACGUUCAUCAUGAAGCCAAUGCAUUUGACAUCAUUGAGCUCACUAGCUUGCCCACUCCUGGCGAUCUCUUCAAGCAAGGCUGUCAGCUGCAUGCUGAAGCUAUUGAGAGCAUCUUUCAGCGGCCAGAACCUAAUAUGAGUCAAAUGCUCAGCAUGAUGAAGCCAUUGCCCCAAGAUGCUGCGUAUCCCACAGAGUUCUUCGUUGAAGACCUUGAGUACCUGCCCAGAACCAUCUAUCACAUCAUCAGGCGAACUCUCUGGCCUAUCAAAGGGCGCUCUCCAAAUGUCAAGCUUCAGGGUGCAAUGAAGACUUUGGUCUUCUAUAUACUUCAUGGCAAAUGCUUCAAUGCACAGGACUUCUUCAUACGCCAACUUGCUACAUCAGGCAUUGAUCUAUUUGGUUUGAAGUUCUACGCCCCUUGGGUCAUGCGGCUGAUCAAGCUACACUCCGCCAUCUCUUAUCAGCCCUCAGCCCGCAACCAUCGGAUCUUCUUGCCUGACGUGGACAUGUCUACUGAAGCCAUAUAUUCUGAGCCUGCCAAGCAACCUCUAAGUCUUCAGAAUGCAGAACAUCAGAGUUUUACACAGAACGUUGAAGGCGUUGAAGCAGUUUCUCGGGUGUAUCCUUUGGCUAGCACUACACAUGCACCACACGCUGCUUCCACUGAAGCCACUGACAGUGCCACUCCUCCAAGACCCAAGAAGCGCACUCGUGUUCUCAACGACCAAGAGCUUCUUGUGGCUCUACAUCAGAAACAAGAUAGGCAUCAUGACUGGCUGAAGCGUCAGAUGAAAAGCUCUUGGUGGAUGUUAAUCGCACUCGAAAUCUUGCCACCAAGAAUGCUUUCGUUGCCCAUGAAACCUGUCGCCGCACAUGGAAAGGGCUAACGAUGAUGCUUUCUGAAGCUGAUCUUCAAGAGGAUGGCUUCACUGAGAGAUUCAAGUUUGACUCCACACCUCCUCAAAGGGCUGUGCUGCUAGGAACUCCAUCCCUUGAAGACUCUGAGUUCUCUUCCUCUGCUGCCACAGUCACUGCUAGAAUUAUUGAGGAAGAAGACGAUGCUACUUCACCGCCACCUCCUUCAGCACCUCCAAGCUCUUCUGCACCGCCAAACAACACCAACAACCCUGCUACUUCACCUACUCCUCAUGGGAAUGAGUGGAGGCUCUAUGUCUUCAAACCUUUUUGGUCAUUACUGACAAAAGGGGGAGAAGCAUAUGAGAUUGAUAGUCUUCAAGCGGGUUCAUAUGGGCGGGUGCCUUAUAUUUUGCUUCGUGCUUACAACUCUCGUUUUUUGCUACAUUUGGUUCUUAUGAGUUGUAACACUUAAACUAGAUGGUCGUCUGCUACUUAUUUGCCACCUUGUUUUGCGAAGAUAAAUUCCGCAUGUGCGACGAUAAAUUCCGCACUUAGCUCAUUCUGCAGACGUCCAUUUUCCAUUAUGCAUGGCAUUAUCUUCAUAUACUUUCACAUGCAUAGUGGAUUGUCAUCAUAAGUUGAAGUGGAUCUCCACAAGUACCACCUGCCAUGUGCAUUUGCAUUCCAAAAGCAAAUUAACUUAUAUGCACAUCUUCAGGGGGAGCCCUUGCAACUUAUGAAGACAAUUCAUAUUAUAUUUCCCGUUGAAAACUUCAACUAGUUUGUCAUCAAUCACCAAAAAGGGGGAGAUUGUAAGUGCAUCUAGUUCCAUCCCUAGUUGGUUUUGGAGUAUUGACGACAAACCUAGUUGAGGGACUAAUGUGUUUGUGAGAAUUGCAGAAUAACACAGGUAGAAGUCCCUCAUGAUUCGGUUUUACUACCAAAGAUGACCCCUAAAAAUGUAUGAAGACAUUGAAGUCAAAGGUGGUAUAUGAAGAUAUUCACAUUGAAGACUAUGACAAGAGAAGACACGAUAUGAAGCCUAUGGAGCUCGAAGACUUAGAUCUUUCGUAGUUCUUUUUCUUUUGUGUUGAGUCAUAGGAACCACCGUACUAUUAAGUGGGGUCCAAGAGAACCAGUCAGAAUGACUGAAGUGAUGCCUAAACCAAAAACCUAUGUCUUCGAGUGAAGACAAUGAGAGCGAAUCUUGUCCAGAGUCGGACAAGUCAGCUUUGCUUGUAGCCCAAGUAAAGUUUCCGUGUGAGUUUGAAAUCUGACCGUUGGAACACGUGUCAGUUCCUUAGUGACCCAGGGUCAUUUCGGACAAAUCAGGUCGGGUUGCCAAGUGGCUAUAAAUAGCCCACCCCCUACAACCAUAAACGGUUGGGUGCUCAGAUUGAAAGCACCGCUUUUGUCGUUUGAGAGCAACCCACCUCGAAGCCUUUGAGAGAGAAUUCCUUGCGGGGAUAAAGACCUAACCACCAGAGCCAGAGAGAAUUGGGAAUCACUUAAGUCUUCUUGUCUAUGUAAUCUGAAGACUUAUUACACUUGAGGACUGUGCAUCCUCCAGCCGGUUAGGCGUCGCGUUCUGCGCUUCCAAGAGACAUUGUGGAUUGCCAGUGAACGAAGUCUGUGAAGGUUUGGGAGUCUACCUUGAAGACUUACCAGAGUGAUUGGGUGAGGUCUAUGUGACCUUAGCUCAAGGAGAAUACGGUGAGGACUGGGUGUUCUGAGCUACGUGUUCAGGACUGGGUGUCCGGGACUGUGUCUCCUAAGGUUUAAAUACCUAGCCUCUCCAACCAGACGUACAGUUGUCACAGCAACUGGAACUGGUUCAACAUAUCAUUGUCUUCAACGAGUCACUAGUUUCAUCUUCACUUCAUGUUACUUACUGUUACUCCUUGUGAAGUCAUUGUUUGUUUGCUCUAUCAUUUGUCUUCACUGAGUGACUGUGUGUUCUAUUUGGCUUCACAAUAUCUUCCUACCCGAUCCUUACUACCUAGCUGCUAUUAGUCUUUGUGCUUUCACUUCAUUGAAUACCUGACUAUGGUUUGCCUAGUGUAGUCUACCUUCCGCUGCAUGGUAAUAGGUCUAUUUUUAUCGUUUGUCUUCAAAACUCCCAUGUUUUGAAGACUUUCAUAAAAAUCGCCUAUUCACCCCCCCCUCCAGUCAAUAUAACACACUUUCAAGGAGGUGGACUUGGAUCUUUUAUCGAGUAUCACAUCGUCCCUGUUCACCGUGGAGCGCAGCGUAGUUAGUUCCUCGGCCGCUAGGGCUUUGGAUAGUGCCUCGAGGGCCAGUGCGGCUAUCUUAUUUUCGACGCGGAGUGCUAUGUCCGGAUCACUAGCAAGAGUGAUGAUUUCGUUGGGCUCGGGCAUUUUGAGCUUUAUGUACCCGUAAUGGGGUAUGGCUUGGAAGAUUGUAAACGCCUCCCGCCCUAGUAGAGCGUGGUAUCCGCUGUUGAACGAGGCCACUUGGAAUGUAAUUUCUUCGGACCUGUAAUUAUCCGGCGUGCCGAAUACCACAUCUAGUGUGAUUUUCCCAGCACAGCGUGCUUCCCGACUGGGGAUGAUUCCUCUAAAGGUUGUGCUACUUUGCUCAAUGCUGCUCCAGUCUAUUUCCAUCUUUUGAAGAGUUUCCUCAUAGAUGAGGUUUAAUCCACUGCCGCCAUCCAUGAGUACCUUGGUGAGUCGAAAGCCGUCCACGAUUGGACUGAGGACUAGUGCGGCUGGUGCUCGGGCUGUUCGGAAUUUGGGUUCGUCACUGGCAUUGAAUGUAAUAGCCGUGUCACUCCAAGGAUUUAUUUCUACUAUGUGGCAGAUUUCGGCCAUGCUGCGGAGUGUUCGCUUGCGUCUAUUAUUUGACGCGAAGGUCUCAAAGACCGUUAACACCGUAUUGUUGUCCACGGGAUGGUGCUCUGUGGUUUUUGGGAGGAGUAGAUCCUCACCACUUUUGGCCACCUGCCGGAGUAUCCAACAUGCUCUAAGGAUGUGCGUUGGUAUUGCAUCCGCUGUACUAUGAAUUUUGCAGGGUCCGUUGAGCCAUCCCUCCAGUACGGAUCCUUGCCCCGUAGAGGGCUUUUGCUUUUUGGUAGUUAACCCAGGUGUAUUGUGAUAAUGCACCCUUUUAUUUCGGACUGGGUUUGUAUUCAGGGCCGGAUUAUCCCAAAAUUUUAUUUCGGUUUUCCAGGCGCUUUCCAUCGCACAGUACUUUCGUACUAUGGACACCAAGUCGGCAAAGCGUGUGAUUUCGCGGUGACUUAUGGUGUUGAGGAUUCCCUUGUCCGUGCAAUUAUUGCAGAAGAAUGAAAUUGUGUCUUCCUCGCGGCAAUCCUCUAUCCUGUUCAUGACCAGGAGGAAUCUGGCCCAGUAAUGGUGUACUGUUUCUUCGGGCUCUUGCCUAAUUUGGGAUAGAUCGUGUAUGUUUGGGUGGGUGGGUGGAAUUGAAUCCGAAUCCUUACCCAAUCUGAGACUCAGGGGCAAAGGAGUUUCCGAACUCAAAAGUUUGGAUUCUUGGAUGUUUUUCGAUAAAUCUAGCCCGCUGCCUGAUUCUAGGUUCAGGCCUUGAGUGACGUCCUCCCCUCCGCAGGUAUCCGGCUUGGAGGGAUCGGGAAUCCGGACAUAGCUAGUCCUUAAGAUAGAUGAAGGGUUGCUGCAUUGUUCCUCCACCACUGUAAUGUGAUGGCUGACCUGGGGAGAGUUGAUCUCUCUCAAAUCGGGUUUAGGCCCAAUCUGAUCGUAGUCUGUAGCGACUCCCAGGGCGGUGAUGCGAUCCAAGAGCUCGUUCAGGGAAGAGAGCUCCAUCGGAUCUAAUUUCUCAGCGAGUUCCGAGUUGACGUGAAGAUUUCUUUUGAUGACUCGAGAAGCCAUCGUCGGCGCAACGGCCGAACAGGCGGUCAUAAGAAAACCACCUAGCCGGAGAGUUUGGCCGAUAGCCAAAGCUCCCUCAGCAAUAGUGCCAUCUUUAAAGACGGGAUGAGACAUCCUUCCUAGUGGCGACGGCACAGCGGAACUCUCAAUGAAAGCACCAAUGUCAGUGUCAAAACCGGUGGAUCUCGGGUAGGGGGUCCCGAACUAUGCGUCUAGGCCUGAUGGUAACAGGAGGCAGGGGACACGAAGUUUUACCCAGGUUCGGGCCCUCUUGAUGGAGGUAAAACCCAACAUCCUGCUUGAUUAAUAUUGAUAAUAUGGGUAGUACAAGAGUAGAUCUACCACGAGAUCAGAUAGGCUAAACCCUAGAAGCUAGCCUAUGGUAUGAUUGUAUGUUGUGAUUGUUGUCCUACGGACUAAAAACUCUUCGGUUUAUAUAGACACCGGAGAGGGUUAGGCUUACACAAGGUCGGUUACAAAGGAGGAGAUAUCCAUAUACGUAUUGCCUAGCUUGCCUUCCACGCCAAGUAGAGUCCCAUCCGGACACGAGACGAAGUCUUCAAUCUUGUAUCUUCAUAGUCCAACAGUCCGGCCAAAGGAUAUAGUCCGGCUGUCUGGAGACCCCCUAAUCUAGGACUCCCUCAACGAUGGCGACGGAUUCCCCUCUCCGGAGCCCUGAAUGGACUCCAGACCAGCCCUCCUGAGACAGUUUAGGGCUUGGCAGCGGCUCCGUAUCGUAAAAUGUGAUGAAUCCUUCUCUCUGAUUUUUUCUCCCCGAACAUGAAUAUAUAGAGUUGGAGUUGAGGUUGGUGGAGCAUCAGGGGGGCCACGAGAUAGGGGGGUGUGCCCCCCACCCUCGUGGAUAGGGUGUGGCCCCCUGAUGUUGAUUCUUUCGCCAGUAUUUUUUAUAUAUUCCAAAAAUAUUCUCUGUGAAGUUUCAGGUCAUUCCGAGAACUUUUGUUUCUGCACAAAAAUAACAUCAUGGCAAUUCUGUUUAAAACAGCGUUAGUCCGGGUUAGUUCCAUUCAAAUCAUGCAAGUUAGAGUCCAAAACAAGGUCAAAAGUGUUUGGAAAAGUAGAUACCAUGGAGACGUAUCAACUCCCCCAAGCUUAAACCUUUCCUUGUCCUCAAGCGAUUCAGUUGACAAACUGAAAGUGAUAAAGGAAAACUUUUACAAACUCUAUUUGAUCUUGUUGUUGUAAAUAUGUAAAGCCAGCAUUCAAAUUUUUAGCAAAGAUUAUAAACUAACCAUAUUCACAAUAACAUUUAGGUCUCAUGUUUACUCAUAUCAAUGGCAUAAUCAACUAGCGAGCAAUAAUAAUAAAUCUCGGAUGACAACACUUUCUCAAAACAAUCAUAAUAUAAUAUAACAAGAUGGUAUCUCGCUAGCCCUUUCUAAGACCGCAAAACAUAAAUGCAGAGCACCUCUGAAGAUCAAGGACUGACUAAACAUUGUAAUUCAUGGUAAAAGAGAUCCAGGCACAGUCAUAAUCAAUGUAAACUAAUAGUAAUACAUGCAAAUGACAGGGGUGCUCUCCAACUGGUGCUUUUUAAUAAGAGGAUGAUGACUCAACAUAAAAGUAAGUAGAUAGGCCCUUCGCAGAGGGAAGCAGGGAUUGGUAGAGGUGCCAGAGCUUGAUUUUUGAAAUAGAGAUAAAUAAUAUUUUGAGUGGUAUACUUUCAUUGUCAACAUAACAACCGAGAGAUCUCGAUAUCUUCCAUGCCACACACAUUAUAGGCGGUUCCCAAACAGAAUGGUAAAGUUUAUACUCCCCCUACCACCAACAAAUAUCAAUCCAUGGCUUGUCCGAAACAACGGGUGCCUCCAACUAACAACAAUCCUGGGGGAGUUUUGUUUGAAAUUAUUUUAAUUUAAGCAUGGGACUGGGCAUCCCGGUUACCAGCCAUUUUCUCGUGAGUGAGGAGUGGAGUCGACUCCUCUUGAGAAUAACCCGCCUAGAAUGGAAGAUAUAGAUAAUCCUAGUUGAUACAUGAGCUAUUAGAGCAUACAAAACAGAAUUUCAUUUGAAGGUUUAGAGUUUGGCACAUACAAAUUUACUUGGAACGGCAUGUAGAUACCGCAUAUAGGAUGGUAUGGUCGACUCAUAUGGAAUAACUUUUGGGGGUUUAUGGAAGAUGCACAAACAGUAUUCCCGCUUAGUACAAGUGAAGGCUAGAGGCUAGAAAGAGACUGUGAAGUGAUCAGCUAGAGAGCGAUAACAGUCAUGAACAUGCAUUAAAAUUAAUCAACACUGAGUGCAAGCAUGAGUAGGAUAUAAUUCACCAUGAACAUAAAUAUCGUGAAGGCUAUGUUGAUUUUGUUUCAACUACAUGCGUGAACAUGUGCCAAGUCAAGCCACUCGAAUCGUUCAAAGGAGGAUACCACCCUAUCAUACCACAUCACAACCAUUUUAAUAGCAUGUUGGCACACAAGGUAAACCAUUAUAAACUCCUAGCUAAUUAAGGAUGGCAUGAGCAACUAUAAUCUCUAAUUGUCAUUGCAAACAUGUUUCAUUCAUAAUAGGCUGAAUCAGGAACGGUGAGCUAAUCAUAUUUACAAAAACAAGAUAGGUCGAGUUCAUACCAGCUUCUCUCAUCUCAAUCAAUUCAUCAAAUAUCAUCAUUAUUGCCUUUCACUUGCACGACCGAACGGUGUGGAUAAUAAUAAUAGUGCACGUGCAUUAGACUAAGCUGGAAUCUGCAAGCAUUUAAUAGACAAGAGAAGACAAGGUAAUAUGCGCUCUUGGUUAGAUCAACAAUAAUGCAAAUGAGAGCCACUCAACAUCAUGGUCUUCUCCUCUCGACCCCCAAAGAAAAGAAAGGAAAUAAAACUAUUUACACGGAAAAGCUCCCAACAAGCAAAAGAAGAACGAGAAAUCUUUUUGGGUUUUCUUUAAUUUACUACUACUACAAGCAUGGAAAGUAAACUAGCUAAAAGCUACAACUAUUUUUUUUGUUUUUCUUAAGGUUUUUCAAACACACAAGAAGAAUGUCGGAAAAGAAAAUAAACUAGCAUGGAUAUUACGAUGAAAAAGUAUGAGCACCGACAACUGAAAUGAGUGUGUGAACAUGAAUGUAAUGUCGGUGAUAAAUACGUACUCCCCCAAGCUUAGGCUUUUGGCCUAAGUUGGUCUAUGGCCACGGCUGGCCUGGCGGAUAUCCGAAGUUGUAACUGGGUCGUAUUGAGAUGCAGCGGCUAUUGCCUCAGGAGCUGCAGCUUGGAGACGAGCUGCCUCCGUCCUCCUCUCAUACAAGUUCGCCUCUUCCUUGGUUAUAACAUAUCUCCUUUUUGCCUGAAAGUCAAAGAAAGCAGGAGCAGGGAGAGCAACAUGGACGGUGCACCGUCUGUCAAAGAUUAGACGGUAUUGGAGGAACCGUUCAUUCCUCUCAACAAACUGAUGACGAACAAUAGCAUUAUAGUCUAGAUAAGCAGGAGGCAAUUCCAUAUCAUUCUCAUGUAUGGGUAUCUCAAGAAAAUUAGCUACAUGAGUUGCAUAAAUUCCACCAAACAAGUCUCCACUUAAACUAUUAGGAUGCAACCUACAUGCAACAAUAACCCCCAAGUUAUAUUGUUUAUCACCUAAUACCGCACUCUUGAGGGCACUAAGAUCUGGAACCCACAUGUGACAAGCCUCAUAUUUACCUUUAAUGCAUCUACCAAUGAAGAGAGCAAAAUAAUGUAUGGAAGGGAAAUGAAUGCUCCCUAUGGUAGCUUGUGUGAUCUCCCUAGAUUCCUCCACAGUAAUACUAGCAAGAAAGUCUUUAUAUUCAGUUUUGCGAGGUUCACUAACAUUGCCCCAGUGCGGGAGUUUACAAGCAGUAUUAAAAUCUUCUAGGUCCAUGGUAUAUGAUUUAUCAUAAAGAUCAAUUAGGAUAGUGUGAGAAUUGCGCGAGGAUGUAAAUUUACACCUUCUCACAAAUGAAUCAGUUAGAUAGAGGUAUUGCUGGCACUUAUCUGACACGAAGCUCUCAAGAUCAAUGUACGCACAUAUGCAUCAAAUUCGUCCUUGAUGCCUGCCCGGACCAUAAAAUCUUCUGACGACCAUUCACAAGGCCGCACUUGAGCUUCUCUUGGUAGUUCAUAGUCCGGCUCAUGUAUCGCGAGCCUAGGUGCCUGCUACCUUGAGGACCCGCCUUGGUACAUUUUCCUAAACAUAUUUCUUCCUCUGAAUUUUUUUUGAAAUUUUUAGUAACUCAAAAUAAAAGUGAACCAAACUCAACAAGAUUGAUAGCAACUACUCCUACAAGUGCCUAGAGGCCAUAUCAUGCAUUAAAACUACUUUUGACCACAUAAAUUUGACAUGCAAGCUCAAGAACAGGGUCACCUAAGCAGCAAAAAUUUGCAAUAAAUAAAGCACUAGAACAAAAACUAAUUGGACCAUUGGAGGAGUCACAUACCAAAGAACAAUCCCCCAAAGUAGUUUUGUGAAUGGAGCUUUGAGCAAGGAGAUCGAAAAGGGCAGCAAGAUGAGCUAGAACUCGGGUUUGAGCUGGUGGAGGAUUUUUUUUCUAGAGGAAGAAGAAGUGUGUGGGUGCAAGAAUAAGUGGAGGGGGCCCACGUGGGGUCCAUGAGGCAGGGGGUGCCCCCCAGGGGAGUGGGCGCGCCCUGGACCCUCGUGGCCAGGUGGUGAGGCCCCCACGUGUGUUCUUAGUGCCAAUAAUUCUUAAAUAUUCUAGAAAAAAUCAUAUUAAAUUUUCAGUACAUUUGGAGAACUUUUAUUUUCGGGGUAUUUUUUAUUGCAAGGAUAAUUCAGAAAACAGACAAAAAAAUACUAUUUUUACUUUAUUUAAUCUAAAUAGUAGAAAGUAAAAGGAGGGUACAGAGAGUUGUGAUUUCUAAAUUCAUCUCUCAUGCUCAUCAAAAGGAAUCCACUAACAAGGUUGAUCAAGUCUUGUUAACAAACUCUUUCCGAAUAACAUGAAACCGGAGAAUUCUCGAAUAGCACUAAGUUACCUCAACGGGGAUAUGCACAUCCCCAACAAUAAUAAUAUCAUAUUUCUUCUUGAUAGUAGGAAGAGGAAACUCAAAACCUCCAAUAGUAAUUGUUGAAGUUUUUCCAAUAGAAUUAAUACUGUGGACUUGAGGUUGUUUCCUCAGAAAGUGUACCGUAUGCUCAUUACCAUUAACAUGAAAAGUGAUAUUGCCUUUGUUGCAAUCAAUAACAGCCCCUGCAGUAUUCAAAAAGGGUCUACCAAGAAUAAUAGACAUACUAUCGUCCUCGGGAAUAUCAAGAAUAACGAAGUCCGUUAAAAUAGUAACAUUUGCAACCACAAGAGGCACAUCCUAACAAAUACCGACAGGUAUAGCAAUUGAUUUAUCAGCCAUUUGCAAAGAUAUUUCAGUAGGUGUCAACUCAUUCAAAUCAAGUCUACGAUGUAAAGAGAGAGACAUAGCGCUAACUCCGGCUCCAAGAUCACAUAAAGCAGUUUUGACAUAGUUUCUUUUAAUGGAGCAUGGUAUAGUUGGUACUCCUUGAUCUCCAAGUUUCUUUGGCAUUCCACCCUUAAAAGUAUAAUUAGCAAGCAUGGUGGAAAUUUCAGCUUCCGGUAUCUUUCUUUUAUUUGUAACAAUAUCUUUCAUGUACUUAGCAUAAUGAUUCAUUUUAAGCAUAUCAGUCAAAUGCAUACGCAAAAAGAUAGGUCUAAUCAUUUCAGCAAAGCGCUCAAAAUCAUCAUCAUCCUGAACCCAUGGUUCUCUUUCUUUACCGUGCUUGCUAGCAACAAAGUCUCUCUUAUCAUAACGUUGAUUCUUUGAUUGUGGGUUAUCAAGAUCAACAGCAGGUUCAAUCUCUACAUCAUUGUCAUUUCUAGGUUGAGCAUCAACAUGAACAUCAUCAUUAACAUUAUCACUAGGUUCAUCUUCAUUACCAGAUUGUGUUUCAGCAUCAGAAAUAGAAAUAUCAUUGGGAUUCUCAGGCGUGUCAACAACAGGUUCACUAGAAGCAUGCAAAGUUUUAUCAUUUUUGUUUUUCUUCCUCUUAGAAUAACUAGGUGCAUCAACAUUAGUUCUCUGAGAAUCUUGCUCAAUUCUCUUAGGGUGGACCUCAUGAUACAAAGGUUCCUAAGUCAUUUUACCCCCUCUAGUCACAACUCUAACAUCAUUUUCAUUUUUCUUAUUAUCUAAUUCAUUGAGCAAAUCAUUCUGAGCUUUAAGUACUUGUUCUACUCGAGUGGUAGCCAUAGAAGCAUGUUUACUAAUAAGUUUAAGUUCACCUUUAACUCUAGACAUAUAAUAACUCAAGUGUUCAAUCAUAUAAGCAUUACGUUUCAAUUGUCUACCAACAAAAGCAUUGCAGUUUUCUUGUUUAACAAUAAAAUUAUCAAACUCUUCCAAGCAUUGGCUAGUAGACUUAUUACAAGGAAUAUCACCUUCAUAAAAUUUAUAGAGAGAAUUUACCUUUACUACCUGUGUCGGGUUAUCAAGACCAUGUAUUUUUCAAUAGGUGGUAAAUUCUUAACAUCUUCAGCUUUAAUACCUUUUUCUUUCAUAGAUUUCUUUGCCUCUUGCAUAUCUUCAGGAUUGAGAAAUAGAAUACCCCUUUUCUUCGGGGUUGGCUUAGGAUUUGGUUCAGGAAGUGUCCAAUCAUUUUCAUUACUCAACAUAUUAUUCAAUAGAAAUUCAGCUUGAUCAACAGUUCUUUCUCUGAAAACACAACCAGCACAACUAUCCAGGUGGUGUUUGGAAGCAUUGGUUAGUCCAUUAUAAAAUAUAUCAAGUAUUUCAUUUUUCUUGAGAGGAUGAUCAGGCAAAUCAUUAAGUAAUCGGAGAAGCCUCCCCCAAGCUUGUGGGAGACUCGCUUCUUCAAUUUGCACAAAAUUAUAUAUUUCCCUUAAGGCAACUUGUUUCAUAUGAGCGGGGAAAUAUUUAGCAGAGAAGUAAUAAAUCAUAUCUUGGGGACUACGCACACAACCAGGAUCAAGAGAAUUAAACCAUAUUUUAGCAUCACCCUUUAAUGAGAAUGGAAACAACUUAAGGAUAAAGUAAUAGCGAGUUUUCUCAUCAUUAGUGAACAGGGUGGUUGUAUCAUUUAAUUUAGUAAGAUGUGCCACAACAGUUUUAGAUUCAUAGCCAUAAAAAGGGUCAGACUCAACCAAAGUAAUUAACUUAGGAUCGACAGAGAAAUCAUAAUCCUUAUCACAGAUACAGAUAGGUGAAGUAGCAAAAGCAGGGUCAUGUUUCAUUCUAGCAUUCAAGGAUUUUUCUUUCAGCUUAGCUAAUAGUUUCUUAAGAUCAUAUCUAUCAUUGCAAGCUAAAAAGUCUCUAGCAAUUUCUUCAUCCAUAACAUAACCCUCAGGCACAACAGGCAAUUCAUAUCUAGGGGGAGAAUCUUCAUCAUCACUUUCAUCAAUAUUAUCAGUUUCGAUAAUUUCAUUCUCUCUAGCCCUAGCAAGUUGUUCAUCAAGAAAUUCACCUAGUGGCACGGUAUUAUCAAGCAUAGAAGUAGUUUCAUCAUAAGCAUCAUGCAAAGUAGAAGUGGCAUCAUCAAUAACAUGCGACAUAUCAGAAUGAAUAGCAGGUGUAGGUGUCGCAAGUUUACUCAUAACAGAAGGUGAAUCAAGUGCAGAGCUUGAUGGCAGUUCCUUACCUCCCCUCAUAGUUGAGGGAAAAAUAUUGGUUCUUUCAUCUUUCAAGUUCUUCAUAGUGAUUAACAGAUAUAAAUCCCAAGUGACUCAAAGAAUAGAGCUAUGCUCCCCAGCCGGCGCAAGAAAAUAGUCUUGAUAACCCACAAGUAUAGGGGAUCGCAAUAGUUUUCGAGGGUAGAGUAUUCAACCCAAAUUUAUUGAUUCAACGCAAGGGGAGCCAAAGAAUAUUCUCAAGUAUUAACAGUUGAGUUGUCAAUACAAUCGCACCUGAAAGACUUAAUAUAUGCAGCAAAGUAUAGUAGCAAAGUAAUAUGGAAGUAACGGGAACAGUGGCAAAAGUAAUAGUAUUGGUUUUGUAAUGAUUGUAACAGUAGCAACGGAAAAGUAACUAAGCAAAGAUCAAUAUGUGAAAAGCACGUAGGUAAUGGAUCAGUGAUGGAUAAUUAUGUCGGAUGCGAUUCCUCAUGCACCAGUUAUAACAUAGGGUGACACAGAACUAGCUCUAGUUCAUCAAUGUAAUGUAGGCAUGUAUUCCUAAUAUAGUCAUACGUGCUUAUGGAAAAUAACUUGCAUGACAUCUUUUGUCCUACCCUCCCGUGACAGUGGGGUUCUAUCGUAAAUUAAGGGAUAUUAAGGCCUCCUUUUAGUAGAGUACCACGCCAAAGCAUUAACACUUAGUGAAUACAUGAACUCCUCAAACUACGGUCAUCACCGGGAGUGGUCCCGAUUAUUGUCACUUCGGGGCUACCAGAUCAUAACACAUAGUAGGUGACUAUUGACUUGCAAAAUAGGAUCAAGAACUCUCAUAUAUUCAUGGAAACAUAAUAGGUUCAGAUCUGAAAUCAUGGCACUCGGGCCCUAGUGACAAGCAUUAAGCAUAGAAAAGUCAUAGCAACAUCAAUCUCAGAACAUAAUGGAUACUAGGGAUCAAACCCUAACAAAACUAACUCGAUUACAUGAUAAAUCUCAUCCAACCCAUCACCUUCCAGCAAGCCUACGAUGGAAUUACUCACGCACGGCAGUGAGCAUCAUGAAAUUGGUGAUGGAGGAAGGUUGAUGAUGACGAUGGCGAUGGAUUCCCCUCUCCGGAGCCCCGAACGGACUCCAGAUCAGCCCUCCCGAGAGAGGUUAGGGCUUGGCGGUGGCUCCGUAUCCUAAAACGCGAUGAAUCCUUCUCUCUGAAUUUUUUCUCCCCAAACGUGAAUAUGUAGAGUUGGAGUUGAGGUCGGUGGAGCAUCAGGAGGCCCACGGGAUAGGGGGCGUGCCCCCCACCCUCGUGGAUAGGGUGUGGGCCCCCUUACAUUGAUUCUUUCGCCAGUAUUUUUUAUAUAUUCCGGAAAUUUUCUCCGUGAAGUUUCAGGUCAUUCUGAGAACUUUUGUUUUUGCACAAAAAUAACACCAUGGCAAUUCUGCUGAAAACAGCGUCAGACCGGGUUAGUUCCAUUCAAAUCAUGCAAGUUAGAGUCCAAAACAAGGUCAAAAGUGUUUGGAAAAGUAGAUACGAUGGAGACGUAUCAGCUCCCGGAAAAGAAGGAAUUCCUUAUUGAUAUGAGUAGUCUAUCAUCCCUAAUAAGCCAGGCUAUCACAGUAGAUCACCGUCACAAUGAUGGCCCCAGCGGUGUUCCGACGCCACCAGGAGAGAGGGGGAGAGAGCCCCCUCCUCCUCCUCCUCCUUCUUCUUCUUCCUUUACCUCCCCCUACAUGGGACGAGAGUUUCCCCUUUGGUCCAUGGCCUCCAUGGCGACAAAGGGGCAGGAGCUCCUCUGAGAUUGGAUCUCUCUCUGUAUCUCUCUUCUGUUUCGCGUUCCUGUUUUUUGGCCUUUCACCGUUUCUUAAGUUCCCGGAGAUCCAUAACUCCGAUUGGGCUAAAAUUUUAACACAAUUUUUAUCUGGAUAUAAGCUUCCUUGCGGCCAAAAAACACCUCCAAAUGACCUAUGAGGUGGCCACAAGCUUGCCAGUCACGCCCUGGGAAGGGAGGCGUGCCCCUUGAGCUUGUGGGCCCCUCGGGCAUCGUCUCGCGUUGAUUCCACUUCCCAAAAAGCACAUAUAUUCCAAAAUAAAUCUCCAUAAAUUUUAUCACGUUUGGACUUUGUUUGGUAUGGAUAUUCUGUGAAACAAAAAAAUGCAACAAACAGGAACUGGGUCUGGGCACUAGAUCAAUAAAUUAGUCACAAAAAUUAUAUAAAAUGUUGCCAAAAGUAUAUGAAAGUUGUAGUAUAUUGGCAUGAAACAAUACAAAAUUAUAGAUACGAUGGAGACGUAUCACCGCACCAAGGCCUGAUGAUAACCCAUAGGAAUAAGAGAUCGUGUGUAGCCUUCUUCGUUAAAUAAGAGUGUCGAACCCAAUGAGGAGCUAAAGGUAGAACAAAUAUUCCCUGAAGUUCUAUCGACCACCGAUACAACUCUACGCACACUUGACAUUUGCUUUACCGAAAAAAGUAUGAAACUAUUGCAAGAAUAAAACUAUGAGUACUUUGGGAGAAUAAAACUACGAAUAAAUUGCAUGGUAAUAAAAGUGGAUAGCUUUUGUCAACAAGAAAGUCAUUUAUCCCUAGGCAAUCGAUAACAAGUACCGGUAAUCAUUCUUGCAAUUUUACAUGAGGGAGAGGCAUGAGCUAAUAUACUUUCUCUACUUGGAUCAUAUGACUUAUGAUUGGAACUCUAGCAAGCAUCCACAACUACUAAAGAUCAUUAAGGUCGUGAAACCCAACCAUAGCAUUAAGUAUCAAGUCCUCUUUACUCCCAUAUGCGAUAACCCACUUAUCCGUGUUUAGGCUGUUGUCACCCCUACAACACUGACAAUAAGCAAACCAUGAACAUAUUGCAACACCCUACAGCAAGGAUCCCCCAUGUUUGCGCGAGACGGAGGGCACCAUAGGACAUCACCAUAAAUAAAAUGUACAAUCAUACCAACCAAGAUCACGAUUAACCCACGGGACAAAACGGAUCUACUCAAACAUCAUAGGAUAGCCAAAUAUCAUUGGGAAAUAAUAUCUGAGUUGAGCACCAUGUUUAAGCAGAGAUUACAGCAGGGAGAAGGGGUGUUCACCGCUGCAUAGAGGGGGGAGAAAGUUGGUUUUGACGGUAGCAAGAUUGUUGAUGUAGAUCGCCGUCAUGAUCCUUGCCCCGGCGGCACUCCGGUGCCACCGGGAGAGAGGGGGAGAGAGCCCCCUCCUUCUUCUUCUUAUUCCUUGGCCUCCCCCUAGAUGGGAGGAGGGUUCCCCUUCUGGUCCAUGGUCUCCAUGGCGGCGGAGGGGCGGGAGCCCCUCCAAGAUUCAACCCCCUCUCCGUUCUCUUCUGUUUCUACAUUGCCCAGAUCUGGCCGAAAGCCGUUUCUUAUAUUCUGGGAGAUUCGUAACUCCGAUUGCGCUGAAAUUUUAACACAAUUUUUUCCGGAUAUAAGCUUACUUGCGCUCGAAGUAGAGAUCCAACUGUCGUACGACGUGAGCAUAAGACACAUGGGCGCACCCUGGUGGGUUGUGGGCACUAUGGGCCCCCGUUUACGUUGAUUCCACCUCCCAAAAUUCAAAAAUAUUCCAAAAUAAUUCUCUGUAAAUUUUUAUUGAUUUGGACUUCGUUUGAUAUGGAUUUUUUGCGAAACAAAAAACAUGCAACAUGAACUAGCACUGGGCAGUGGAUCAAUAGGUUAGUCCAAAUAAAUCAUAUAAAAUAUUGCCAAAAGUGUAUAAAAGUUGCAUAAUAUUGGCAUGAAACAAUCAAAAAUUAUAGAUACGACUGAGAUGUAUCAACAUCCCCAAGUUUAAUUCCUGCUCGUCCUCGAGUAGGUAAAUGAUAGAAAGAUAAUUUUUGAUGUGGAAUGCUACCUAGCAUAAACUUGAUCAUAUUUCUAAUCAUGGCAUGAAUAUUAAGACAUAAGUGAUUCAAAGCAGUAGUCUAUAAUUUGACAUAAAGACGUCAAUACUCAGGCAUCCCAACAAACAAUGAUGUCUUUCAAAUUAUCAACGCAAAAGAAAGCUAUCCCUACAAAAUCAUAUAGUCUUGUCAUGCUCUGUCUUCUUAACACAAGUAUUUAUCAUGCACAACCCCGAUGGCAAGCUGAGCAAUUGGUUCAUACUUUUUAACACGCUUCAGCAUUUUCAAUCCUCACGCAAUACAUGAGCGCAAGCCAUGGAUAUAGCACUAUAGGUGGAUGAUAGUGGUAAAUAUAGAGAAGACAAAAAGGUAAGAAAGUCUCACAUCGACACGGCUAACCAACGGGCUACGAAGAUGCCCAUCAAUUGAUAGCAUGCGAGGAGUAGGGAUUGCCAUGCAACGAAUGCACUAAGAGCUAUAAGUGUAUGAAAGCUCAAUGUGAAAGCUAAGUGGGUCUGCAUCAAUGAUCUAAUGAAAAAUUCCCACUAGUAUAUGAAAGUGACAACAUAAGAGACUCUCCAUAUGAAAAACAUGGUGCUACUUUGAAGCACAAGUGUGGAACUAGCAUGUCCCUUCUCUCUCUUUUUUCUAUUUCUAUUUCUAUUUUUUCUUUUUCUUUUUUUCUUUCUUUCUUUCCUUUUUUAUCUCAUUGUCCGGAGUCUCAUCCAGACUUGUGGGGGAAUCAUAGUCUCCAUCAUCCUUUCCUCACUGGGGUAAUGCUCUAAUAAUGAAAAUUGAGGAUCAUCACACUUCUAUUUACUUAUAACUCAAAAGAAAUAAAAAGUACAACUCGAUACCUAUAAUAAAAUAUGACUCUAUAUGAAUGCCUCUGGCAGUGUACCAGGAUGUGCAAUGAUCUAGCAUAACAAUGAUAUAAAAAACGAACAAGCCAUGGAAAUAUCAUGCUAGCUAUUUACGAUCAUGCAAAGCAAUAUGACAAUGAAUGCUUAAGCCAUAAAAACGGAGGCGGUGGAAGUUGCACGACAAUAUAUCUCAGAAUGACUAUGGAAAGGCCAUAAUAGGUAGGUAUGGUGGUUGUUUUUUGGAAGAUAUAAUAAGUCUUAUGUGUGAUAGAGCAUAUCAUAUCACGGGGUUUGGAUGCACCGGCGAAGUUUGCACCGACUCUCGAGGUGAGAAAGGGCAAUGCAUGGUACCGUAGAGGCUAGCAAAUUGCGGAAAGGUAAGAGUGCAUAUAAUCCAUGGACUCACAUUAGUCAUAAAGAACUCAUAUACUUGUUGCAAAAGUUUAUUAGCCCUCGAAGUAAAGUACUAGCCCCUAUGGGGAUAGAUUGGUAGGAAAAGACCAUCGCUCGUCCGCGACCACCACUCAUAAGUAAGACAAUCAAUAAUAAAUCAUGCUCCAACUUAAUAGCAUAACGAGAGACUAUACGUGCAUGCUUCGGGAAUCACAAACCUUAACACCAAUAUUCUUACUACCCACAACCGUCUACUUGUACCUUCCACAUAUUCCAUCUCUAUAUCGCAAAACUAUUGCAAGGAAUCAAACAUAUCAUAUUCAGUGAUCCACAAGUUUUAUGUAGGAUUUUAUGACUAACCAUGCAAUUGACCAAUUCCUGUUGAAUCUCUAAAUAGAUAUAAGUGAAUCAUGAGAGUUUAAUUCUUUCUACAAAAUAUCAUGCUCUAACAAAUAUAAGUGAAGCAUGAGAGCAUUCUACAAAUAACGGUUUUCUAUGUGAAGAGAAACAGGCAGUCCAAACUUCAAAUUAUAUAAGUGAAGCACAUGAAGCAUUAUAUAAAGCCAUACUCAAAAGAUAUAAGUGAAGGGAAAUGAGCAUUCUAUAAAUUAACCAUGGACUAUAUCAUACCAUCAUGGUGCAUAAAAGAAAAGUAAAAACAAAACACAAAAGACGCUCCAAGAUUUACACAUAUCACAUGAACGAAACGAGAACAAAAACAUACCGAUACUUGUUGAAGAAAGAUGGCAUGCCUUCCGAGGCAUCCCCAAGCUUAGAUGCUUGAGUCUCAUUGAAUAUUUACUUGUGGUGCCUUGGGAAUCCCCAAGCUUGAGCUCUUGCCUCUCCUCCUUCUCCUCAUAUCGAGACCUCCUCGAUCUUUGAUCACUUCAUCCACACAAAACUCAACAGAAAGCUCGAUAAGAUCCGUUAGUAUAAUAAUGCAAAUCACUAUUCUAAGUGCUAUUGCAAACCAAUUCAUAUUUUGUUUUUUGAUUUUAGCUACUGUAAUAAAAAAUUUCCAUGGCUUAUACCACCGAUAAAAAUUGAUAGUUUCAUCAAAACAAGCAAACAAUGCAUCAAAAACAGAAUCUGUCUUAAACAUGACAGUCUGUAGCAAUCUGAACAUCUACCAUACUUCUGGUACUCCAAAUAUUCUAGAACAUUAGGACAAAAUAAACAAUUUGUAUAGCAAUAAUUUGCAAAAAGUUUCAGAAGCUUUCGACGUUCUAGUAAAAAAUGUAAAAUCACGCACUACAGCCAAAGUUUCUGUUUCUACACCGCACAUACCAACAAGCAAUAUACUCAUCCUAAAGGCAUAUCUUGGCACAUUAUUUUUAUAAUACAAUGGAUUUGUACAAGGGGAUAAUUAUUUUUGUGAGAAUCUUCAUGAAAAAUUCUACAUUGUUUCCAUGAGCAUGAACACACGUGUUCAAGGUCGACCCUCACUUCUCCAAUGCAUCACCUUUCAAUCGCUUCUCUUUUGUGGAAAAGUUUUAAGUUUCCCUCUAUAUUUUUUGUUUUUAAACUAUAUAGAAGCACUCAACAUAAAUAAAUGACUCUCUAAAACUUCUGGGUUGUCUCCCUGGCAGCGCUUUCUUUAAAGCCAUUAAGCUAGGCAUAAAGUGCUCAAGUAAUGAAUUCAGCCGGAUCCCAAGGUAUAUCAAAGCCAAUUUUAAUUAGCAAUGAUAUGGCAGUUAGUAGUGAGCACAAAACAACAUAUAUCAUGCAAUGACGAAGUCUAACUCUCUUCCUAUGCAUCUACAUGUCAUACAGGAACAAUUCAUGCACAUCAAGUAAAGGCCAAUACAUAGCACAAGUAGUUUCUUGCAAUUUUAUAGUGUGGGAAACAUAAAGAGGUGGAGAUGUAGUUCCUCUCUCAUAAUAAUUGCUAGUAGGAGCAGCAAGCACAUGCAUAUUAUAUUCAUCAAAAUCAUCAUGUGCAAUGGUAAAAGGCAACCCAUCAAUGUAAUCCUUAAUAAGAGCAAACUUCUCUAGUAUAGUGUAGUUGAGAGAAUUCAAAAAGAUAAUAGGACUAUCAUGUGUGGUUGCAAUAGCAGCAAUUUCAUUCUUAACAUAAGGAACUAUAGCAAGUUCAUCUCCAUAAGCAUAAUUCAUAUUGGCAUCAUGGCCACAAGCAUAGCAAGCAUCAAGUUCAUUAAAAAGGAAUAUUUUCAAAAGAAUCAACGGGAUCAUAGCAAUUAUCAUGGCAUUCAUCCUUCGGUAAGAACGAAGGGACAUUAAAUAAUGUACGGGUUGAAUAGUUACUCUCAUUAGAAGGUGGGCACAGGUGUUGGAAAUAUGCCCUAGAGGCAAUAAUAAAUUGGUUAUUAUUAUAUUUCCUUGUUCAUGAUAAUCGUUUAUUAUCCAUGCUAGAAUUGUAUCGAUAGGAAACUCAUAUACAUGUGUGGAUACAUAGACAACAUCAUGUCCCUAGUAAGCCUCUAGUUGACUAGCUCGUUGAUCAAUAUAUGGUUAUGGUUUCCUAACCAUGGACAUCGGAUGUCGUUGAUAACGGGAUCACAUCAUUAGGAGAAUGAUGUGAUGGACAAGACCCAAUCCUAAGCCUAGCACAAGAUCAUAUAGUUCGUAUGCUAAAGCUUUUCUAAUGUCAAGUAUCAUUUCCUUAGACCAUGAGAUUGUGCAACUCCCAGAUACCGCAGGAGUGCUUUGGGUGUGACAAACGUCACAACGUAACUGGGUGGCUAUAAAGGUACACUACAGGUAUCUCCGAAAGUGUCUGUUGGGUUGGCACGAAUCGAGACUGGGAUUUGUCACUCCGUGUAAACGGAGAGGUAUCUCUGGGCCCACUCGGUAGGACAUCAUCAUAAUGUGCACAAUGUGAUCAAGGAGUUGAUCACGGGAUGAUGUGUUACGGAAUGAGUAAAGAGACUUGCGGGUAACGAGAUUGAACAAGGUAUCGGGAUACCGACGAUCGAAUCUCGGGCAAGUAUCGUACCGAUAGACAAAGGGAAUUAUAUACGGGAUUGAUUGAAUCCUUGACAUCGUGGUUCAUCCGAUGAGAUCAUCGUGGAACAUGUGGGAGCCAACAUGGGUAUCCAGAUCCCGUUGUUGGUUAUUGGCCGGAGAGUUGUCUCGGUCAUGUCUGCAUGGUUCCCGAACCCGUAGGGUCUACACACUUAAGGUUUGAUGACGCUAGGGUUAUAGGGAAAGUAUGUAUGCGGUUACCGAAUGUUGUUCAGAGUCCCGGAUGAGAUCCCGGACGUCACGAGGAGUUCCGUAAUGGUCCGGAGGUAAAGAUUGAUAUAUAGGAAGUAUGGUUUUGGCCACCGGAAUUGUUCCGGGCAUCACCGGUAGUGUACCGGGACCACCGGAGGGGUCCGGGGGUCCACCAGGUGGGGCCACCAGCCCCGGAGGCUUACAUGGGCCAAUAGUGAGAAGGGACCAGCCCCUAGGUGGGCUGGGGCGCCUCCCACCAAGGCCCAAAGCAUCCUCAAGGGGAGAGGGGGCAAACCCUAGGCGCAGAUGGGCCCUAAGGCCCACCCUAGGUGCGCCCCCCUCUCUCUCCCCCUUGGACGCCUCCCAGAUGGGAUCUGGGGGCUGCUGCCACCCCUAGGGAGGGAACCCUAGGUGGGGGCGCAGCCCCUCCCCUCCCCCUAUAUAUACUUGAGCAAAGGGGCAGCCCAACACACGAUUCAAUCUCCCUGUUGGCGCAGCCCUACCCCUCUUCCUCCUCGUCUCUCGUAGUGCUUGGCGAAGCCCUGCUGGAGUCCCGCGCUCCUUCACCACCACCACGCCGUCAUGCUGCUGCUGGAUGGAGUCUUCCCCAACCUCUCCUUCUCCCCUUGCUGGAUCAAGGCGUAGGAGACGUCACCGGGCUGUACGUGUGUUGAACGCGGAGGUGCCGUCCGUUCGGCACUAGGAUCAUCGGUGAUUUGGAUCACGACGAGUACGACUCCAUCAACCCCGUUCACUUGAACGCUUCCGCUUAACGAUCUACAAGGGUAUGUACAUGCACUCUCCUUCCCCUCGUUGCUAGAUUACUCCAUAGAUUGAUCUUGGUGAUGCAUAGAAAAUUUUGAAUUUCUGCUACGUUCCCCAACAACAGGUAGCUAAUCCGCUCUUCCUCCUUUUGUUCUUCACUCUCCUCAUCAUCUUUUUCAUCCAAUGAGCCAACAGUUUCAUCAAUUUCUUCUUACAUAGACUCCUGCAAAAUGUUAGUCUCUUCUUGGACAGCGGAGAAGUCCUCAAUAUAUGGUUUAAUAUAACCAUUAGAAGAAUAAUGUUCAUUGCAAUAUUUAAGUAUGGCAAAAAAUUCAGAUUUGUAAAGAGUAGCAUCAUACUUUUCAAUCAAAGAAGCAACUUCAUAUGCACCCUUAAAAGCAACAAAUUCUUCAAUUUGUUAAAUAUCAAAGUAAUUAUAAACACCCUUGGCAUAAGAAGAUAAGAUUCCAUUAUCCUUAAACUCACAUUGGAAGAAAAGGUGUUUCUUAGGGUCUUCAGAACCGCAAGUAAAAUCAUAUAUUUCACAUAAAUUCAAAGCAUAGCAAUACAAACUACUAAUAUGAUGCCACAAAAGUUUCCCUUUUUGAGAUAAGUGGUUUCGCACAAAAUAAGCAUGCUCAUUUAAUGAUUUUCCCUCAACUAAGCUAGUUGGGUUUUUAGCACGAGCACAAAUGGAUCGAAGAUGAUCCAAAUAGAAAGCUUCAGUAGUAUGAUAGAUUUUGGGUGGUUCUUCAACCAUUGGUUUAGUAGGUACAACUAUUUUUUUGGUAUUUAGCGUUUCCUACCCAUAACUAAAGAUAGAAUAUAAGAGCACAAAAUAAAAACUACUUAGUGAUAAAGCAAACAAGCACACACGAGAAUAUUCACCCCACUCUAUUGCUCCCCAUCAACGGCGCCAAAAAAAGGUCUUGAUAACCCACAAGUAUAGGGGGUCGUUUGUAGCCUACUUAGAUAAAUAACAGUGUCGAACCCAACGAGGAGCUAAAGGUAGAACAAAUAUUCCCUCAAGUUCUAUCAACCACUGAUACAACUCUACGCACACUUGAGGUUUGCUUUAGCAAAAACAAGUAUGAAACUAUUUUGCAAGAAUAAAACUAUGAGUACUUUGCAAGAAUAAAACUACGAAUAAAUUGCAAGGUAAUAAAAGUGGAUAGAUUUUGUCAACAAGAAAGUCAUUUGUCCCUAUGCAAUCGAUAACAAGUACCGGUAAUAAUUCUUGCAAUUUUACAUGAGGGAGAGGCAUGAGCUAACAUACUUUCUCUACUUGGAUCAUAUGCACUUAUGAUUGGAACUCUAGCAAGAAUCCGCAACUACUAAAGAUCAUUAAGGUCAUGAAACCCAACCAUAGCAUUAAGUAUCAAGUCCUCUUUACUCCCAUACGCCAUAACCCACUUAUCCGCGUUUAGGCUGUUGUCACCCCCGCAACACUGACAAUAAGCAAACCAUGAACAUAUUGCAACACCCUACAGCGAGGAUCCCCCAUGUUUGCGCGAGAUAGAGGGCACCGUAGGACAUCACCAUAAAUAAAAUGUACAAUCAUACCAACCAAGAUCAUGAUUAACCCACGGGACAAAACGGAUCUACUCAAACAUCAUAGGAUAGCCAAAUAUCAUUGGGAAAUAAUAUAUGGAGUUGAGCACCAUGUAUAAGUAGAGAUUACAACUGGGAGAAGGGGUGUUACACUGCUGCAUAGAGGGGAAAAAGUUGGUGUUGACGGUAGCAAGAUUGUUGAUGUAGAUCGUCGUCACGAUCCUAGCCCCAACGGCACUCCGGUGCCACCGGGAGAGAGGGAGAGAGAGGCCCCCUCCUUCUUCUUCCUUGGCCUCCCCCCUAGAUGGGAGGAGGGUUGCCCCUCUGUUCCAUGGCCUCCAUGGCGGCGGAGGGGCGGGAGCCCCCCCAAGAUUGGAUCUCUCUCUCUCUCUCUCUCUCUCUCUCUCUGUUCUCUUUUGUUUCUGCGAUCCCCAGAUCUGGCUGAAAACUGUUUCAUAUAUUCCGAGAGAUCCGUAACUCUGAUAGCGCUGAAAUUUUAACACAAUUUUUUUCUGGGUAUAAGCUUCCUUGCACCCGAAGUAGAGAUCCAACCAAUGUACGAGCUGAGCACAAGACACAUGGGCGCGCCUGGGCCCUGGGGCACGCCCUGGUGGGUUGGGGGUACUAUCGGCCCCCGUUUACGUUGAUUCCACCUCCCAGAAUUUACAAAUAUUUCAAAAUAAUUCUCUGUAACUUUUUGUUGCAUUUGGACUUUGUUUUAUAUGGAUUUUCUAUGAAACAAAAAACAUGCAACAAACAUGAACUGACACUGGGCAUUGGAUCAAUAAGUUAGUCCAAAUAAAUCAUAUAAAAUGUUACCAAAAGUGUAUAAAAGUUGCAUAAUAUUGGCAUGAAAUAACCAAAAAUUAUAGAUACGAUGGAGACGUAUCACCUGCUUCCUCCGUCUUUCAUCGCAGCACACCUGUCUCCUAGUUCUAGUUCUCAAAUAUCCUUCCUCCAGCAUGCCAUCCCCCAAUUUUCUCAUGGUACCCAAGAACAAGAAAUCUAGCGAGGAGCAAUAGAAGAUGGAGCUGGCAAUGAUGAGGAAGAAGCACCUGUGUUUCUGUCCCUCGCUUAUGAUUUCAAGGGAGCUGGUGGAGAAAUACCGCUCGAUGGUAGUCGACAGGGGGACGAGAACGGUGCCACUGUUCUUCAGAACACUGCGGCUCCAGAGGAAGACAUCCAAGUGAGACUCUUUGUAGCUUUUCUUUCUUUUGGCUUGCUUCCCCCUUUCUUAGAGUUCUUUGCUGAGGUCAUGACAAAAUUCGACUUGCAGCUUCUGAAUCUUCAUCCCAAUGUUGUUUGCACGAUGUCCAUAUUUGCCCAUCCGCGCGAGAACUUUGUGGAGGUAGCUUCACUUGGAGGCUGUGGAAUGGGAUGAGCAAAGAGUAUAUAGGGGGCAUCUGAUGAUCCGUUGGUCAAAAUGGAGGCAAGAGUGGCGCUUGAUUAAGAUGAGCGAUCCACCUGCCUUCUGCACCCUCCCUGAAGAAAUUCCGGAACCAAAGGCUUCAUGGGGAGAUAAGAUUCCCCAACGAUCGCUUGCUCUUGCCCAUUCAAUGCAUUAAGGAUCUGAGAGACGGCGGGUUGACGAUGGAGAUGGUGGGCAUAUAUUUUCUGCUGUGUCGCAUCACUCGCUUGUAGUGAAGGGCGCGUUCGACAUGGUUGUACGGUGGCCCAGCUGACAUCAUGAGGCUCUGGACCAGGCCUGACCACAACCUGAUGAUGCUGCAGCUCUGUGCCUUGAUCAAGCUGUUGUUUGUUGCCAACCCCGAUACUGACUUGCCUGAGGGUGUGCAUCCCUUGUGCAAUAACACUGCUCACAGCUACAUUGUGGCUACGAUGCCACAAUGCAACGUCAUGGGCGUGUUAGAGGAUUUGAGGCUCCCAAUGUCCGACGAAUUGGAAGCUUGGUAUACUGAUCUGGAUGAGGCCGCUUCCAGGGUGGAAGAGAAUAAGGUCCACCCAACCAUGGAUAGUGAAGUGAAUGGAUCAGGUGAAGGGUGGCCACAAACCAUCUCUCGCGGGAAGCCGGGCCUGCAAAUGGUGGUCCUUUUGCUAACGCGGGUGAAGCCCCUCGUUCUCGAAAAAGUCAACUUAGGAAGAGCCAGACUUCUGCUUCAAGCCCCCCUUCCCAUGUGCCAGAAGGGGUGGAAGAGGAAGGGGACGAUGAGAACAAUGUGCCUCUAGCUUAGUUGUGCUUUGUGAGGGACGCCAAGGCGCGUGCUAGCAGUUUCUUCCACAGCAGAUGGGCACUUUUCUGGUGAGUCUAGGCCUAUAUCUCUGAUGGCAUCAGGUGUUGCCGACAACCAUGCUUGGGACGCGGAUAUUCGCUUCAGCUCUGACAAGGAAGAGAGGUACAUCCUUAUCUUGCAUUUAGACUGCUUUUGUUACUUGGCAUGGGUUCCCGAAUGGGAGGUUGAUAUCAUUCUCUCUUUUCCCGCGGGGUGGGAGGAAACACUCGGAGACCAUUGAAGCAUGCCCAGGAAGACGAGGAAGUUAGCUCGUUCCCAAGUACCGAAGUUGAUUUGAAUACUGCCCCUGAACCGGCUAUAGGUGGCAGUGUGGAGGAUAUGCACACAGAUCCUCCGAGAACGACUGUUCUAGAAAACCAUGCGGAAGUGGGCUCUGCACCCAUACAUGAGCACGGGCCCCUGGUGAAAACUAAGAUAGAGAUGAUCCUUGUGCUUUCGGAUGACAAAUUGGAGCCUGUCCACGAAGUACCAUGUGGUAGGAUUUCUGAAAAUCUCCUGUCGAUGUAUUCUGGAUAUUUUUGCUUGCUUCAUGAUCUUGUUUCUUCUUUCCUCCUUCAUUGUACAGGUACAGAGCCCCUGGCUUGACAGGAAAGCCAAUAAGCUACUGGAGAGGAUGGGUAGGGUAGCGACGUUCACCCAAUUUCUCCUGGUAGGAGGACGACAGAAGAUGAUGAUGUGCAGCACAGCGGCGUGCACCUAAUGCCGUCAAUAGACCACGCAACUGAGGAAGAUGCUAGGAAGCACAACAGUGUGCAUGCAACAUAUUCAAUAGAUCAGGAAAAUGAAGGGGGUGCUAGGCAGCGCAACGGCAUGCACCCAACACCUCAGGAUGCAGAAGCCGAAACUGGUGAUGAUGGUGCGUCGGUUCUAGGAGCACCUCCCAGAAACAACGCCAACUAGGCCAGUCCUCCUCCAAGACUUGAGUAUCCGGAUUCUGGUAUUCCCAAUGGCUCGGGGGCAACACCAUCGAAUGACAACCAUGACCCGAGGCUGGAAAGAAUCCAAGAACCGGUGACCCCAAUGACCCGCAUGCCCCAACCGGAGGAAGACGCCCUAGAUACCGAUGAGCAGUUCUUCGUGACGGUGAUGAGGAGCUACCAUAAGAUGAAAGCCCUUUUCCAACACCGACAAGAAAAGAUGCUUCGUCGCAAUCACCAUGUGGAAGAACUGGAGAACAGGCUGAUGAAGCAUGUUGAGGCCUUCCAUGGUUGGUACAAUCUUGGGAUUGGCUAGCUGUCACGUCGCGAGACAAACCUUGCGGCCCGAAAAAAUGCCUUCAUUUCAGAGAGGGCCUCCUGGGAGGCUGAUGUAGAGAGGAGACGGGUAGAGCUCGCUUCCCUCGAAGCAUCUACAACGCAGUGUGUUAGUCACCUUGAAGGAGGCAGAGGGCAAGUUUCAGGCCCAGCUGGCAUCUCGAAAUGAGAAAGCUCAGUAGGACAAGGAGUAAGCCCUCCAAGCACUGUCUGAUUAGUACCAGCUUGACCUUGACGCCGGUGCUGCUAAAAAGGAGCGCCUCACGGAGAUCAUCAGGGGCCUUGAGCUGGAGCUUGCUGAUAAGGAUCAAAGGCUGGUUGCUGCCUUCGAACUAGAGGAGGCCUCCAAAGGCUUGAUUGCAAUGCUCAAUCAUUGUGUGGCUGAUCACGACAAAAAGGUGGAGUCCAUUAAGGCAGUCCACACAGAUACCACCUUUGAGGUUGUUGUCCUCCGUAUCACCCACGAAUAGUGCAAGGAGAACCUCCAAGCCUUUCAAUCCAGCAUCGAGGAAUCCAACCACCUUCGUGAAGUGGCGGAGAAGGCCUUCAACACUUCGGAGGGAGCCCAUUGAUCACUACUUCCACGAUCAGCCAUGGCGCCAAGAUCAUCAACUUCAAGUUGGCAGAUAUGAAGAUGAGGCCCAUGGUUUCAUCCUUGGCACAGAAGAGGUGAAUAAUCAUAGCUUGGACUUCUUCUUUCAGCAUGUUGUCACCCAACUCGAUAUGUUGCACGCCCAGUACAUGGGCAAGGUGGCAUGCGAGAUGAAAGAGCUAGCCAAGAAAGUCUUCAAGCAGGUCCUUUCUCGUCUCCACCAUCAUUCUCCCAAUGUUGAUCUUCGAGUGAUCGACAAUCCCAUUGACACCCCUGCUAAUGAGCAGGCAACAGAAGAGACAGCGGCUCAUUACGUUUCUGACAUCAUUAAGGGCUGCUCCAAGAGGGAUGUCAGUUCAUCGGCUGGUGGAAGCAGCAGAGCAUGAUCCUUGCACCCCUCUCCUACACUUAUAGAAAUGGACGAAGGGUGCAAAUAAUGUUUUAAUGUAAUGGUCCUUAAUUAGUACUGAGACUUUGAAGCUCAAGAAACAGUUCAUGCUACUAUUUCUUGAAUAUAUCAUUGUUUCUUAACUGAUUCUCCUCGUCUGUACUUUUGUAUGCCCCAUGUUCACGGAAUGCCUUUGGGCGCACACGCCCAAUCGUGGAGCCAUUUUAGGAGCAAGUCCUAAGGUAGUGAACCACUGGGACGUCGCCUUCCCGGGGCUUCACUAUCCAGGAUCAUUUCGUUGCCACGAUGGUGUUGCCGGGACGAGCUGGUGCACGACAUAAGAGCGUAGAAACGUCCAGGAAAGCUCUUUCUUCACCCAGGCUAAGUACAGAAUCUCAGAGGAUUGUAAUAAGAAGAGAGUGUAAUUCAGACAAAAAGAGUAUCCUCGGAAUUUUAACAACAAGGAAGCGUUACUUAGAUUUUUCCAGUCCUGAAGAACCUUAGUAGGGUUUGGUGAUGUCUACUAUGCAACCUUCUUCUUGUAGACUCGUGUUGAACCUCCAAGCGCAGAGUUUUGUAGGACAGUAGCAAAUUUCCCUCAAGUGGAUGACCUAAGGUUUACCAAUCCGUGGGAGGCGUAGGAUGAAGAUGGUAUCUCUCAAACAACCCCGCAACCAAAUAACAAAGAGCCUCUUGUGUCCCCAACACACCCAAUACACUGGUAAAUUGUAUAGGUGCACUAGUUCAGUGAAGAGAUGGUUAUACAAGUGCAAUAUGGAUAGUAGAUAUGGGUUUUUGUAAUCUAGAAAUAUAAAAACAGCAAGGUAGCAAGUAACAAAAGUGAGCGAAGACGGUAUUGCAAUGCUUCGAAACAAGGCCUAGGGUUCAUACUUUCACUAGUGCAAGUUCUCUCAACAAUGAUAACAUAAUUAUAUCAUAUAACAAUCCCUCAACGUGCGACAAAGAGUCAAUCCAAAGUCACUAAUAGCGGAGAAUAAACGAAGAGAUUAUUGUAAGUACGAAACCACCUCAAAGUUAUUCUUUUUGAUCGAUUUAUUGGGCUAUUCCUAUAAGUGUCACAAACAGCCCUAGAGUUUGUACUAAAAUAGCACCUUAAGACACACAUCAACCAAAACCCUAAUUUCACCUAGAUACUCCAAUGUCAUGACAAGUAUCCACGGGUUUGAUUAUACGAUAUGCAUCACACAAUCUCAAAUUCAUCUAUUCGAACCAACACAAAGAACUUCAAAGAGUGCCCGAAAGUUUCUACCAGAGAGUCAAGACGAAAACAUGUGCCAACCCCUAUGCAUAACUUCACAAGGUCACAGAACCCGCAAGUUGAUCACCAAAACAUACAUCAAGUAGAUCACAUGAAUAUACCAUUAUCACCACAGAUAAGCACAUGGAAGACAUGCAUCAAGUGUUCUCAAAUCCUUAAAGACUCAAUCCUAUAAGAUAACUUCGAAGGGAAAACUCAAUCCAUUACAAGAAGGUAGAGGGGGAGAAACAUCAUAAGAUCCAACUAUAAUAGCAAAGCUCGCGGUACAUCAAGAUCAUGCCAAAUCAAGAACAUGAGAGAGAGAGAGAGAUAUCAAACACAUAGCUACUGGUACAUACCCUCAGCCCCGAGGGUGAACUACUCCCUCCUCGUCAUGGAGAGCGCCGGGAUGAUGAAGAUGGCCACCGGUGAUGAUUUCCCUCUUCGGCAGGGUGCCAGAACAGGAUCCCGAUUGGUUUUUGGUGGCUACAGAGGCUUGCGGCGGCGGAACUCCUGAUCUAGGUUCUAUUCUCGGAUUUUGGGGAUUUAUAAGAGUCAUUGGCAUCGGGAACCAGUCAGGGGGCCCCACGAGUCAACCACAAGGACGGGGGGCACACCCAAGGGGGUGCGCCCUCCACCCUUGUGGUGGCCCCGGGACUCUUCUCCGAUAACUUUUUGUUCCAGUAUUUUUCAUAAUUUCCAAAAAUAAUCUCCGUAAAUUUUCAGGUCAUUUGGACUCCAUUUGAUAUUCCUUUUCUGCGGAACUCAAAAACAAGGAAAAAACAGAAACUGGCACUGGGCUCUAGGUUAAUAGGUUAGUCCCAAAAAUCAUAUAAAAUAGCAUAUAAAUGCAUAUAAAACAUCGAAGAUAGAUAAUAUAAUAGCAUAGAACAAUCAAAAAUUAUAGAUACGCUGGAGACGUAUCAAGCAUCCCCAAGCUUAAUUCAUGCUCGUCCUUGAGUAGGUAAAUGAUAAAAACAGAAUUUUUGAUGUGGAAUGCUACCUAACAUAUUUACCAAUGUAAUCUUCUCUAUUGUGGCAAGAAUAUUCAGAUCCAUAAGAUUCAAAACAAAAGUUUAAUAUUGACAUAAAAACAAUAAUACUCCAAGCAUACUAACAAGAUAAUUAUGUCUUCUCAAGAUCACAUGGCCAAAGAAAGCUUAUCCCUACAAAAUCAUAUAGUCUGGCUAUGCUCCAUCUUCAUCAUACAAAAUAUUCAAGUCAUGCACAACCCCGAUGACAAGCCAAGCAAUUGUUUCAUACUUUUGAUGUCCUCAAACCUUUUCAACUUUCACGCAAUACAUGAGCCUGAGCCGUGGACAUAGCACUAUAGGUGGAGUAGAAGGUGGUUGUGGAGAAGACAAAAAGAGGGAGAUAGUCUCACAUCAACUAGGCGUAUCAACGGGCUAUGGAGAUGCCCAUCAAUAGAUAUCAAUGCGAGUGAGUAGGAAUUGCCAUGCAAUGGAGCACUAGAGCUAUAAGUUUAUGAAAGAUCGAAAAGAAACUAAGUGGGUGUGCAUCCAACUUGCUUGCUCACGAAGACCUAGGGCAAUUUGAGGAAGCCCAUCAUUGGAAUAUACAAGCCAAGUUCUAUAAUGAAAAUUCCCACUAGUAUAUGAAAGUGACAAUAUAGGAGACUCUCUAUCAUGAAGAUCAUGGUGCUACUUUGAAGCACAAGUAUGGUAAAAGGAUAGUAGCAUUUCCCCUUCUCUCUUUUCUCUCAUAUUUUGUAUUUUUUUUGUUUUUGUUUGGGCCCUCUCCUGUUUUUUUACCUCUCUUUUUUUAAGUCCGGAGUCUCAUCCCGACUUGUGGGGGAAUCAUAGUGUCCAUCACCCUUUCCUCACAUGGGACAAUGCUCUAAUAAUGAAGAUCAUCACACUUUUAUUUACUUACAACUCAAGAAUUACAACUUGAUACUUAGAACAAAGAUAUGACUAUAUGAAUGCCUCCGGCAGGGUACCGGGAUGUGCAAUGAUCAAGAGUGACAUGUAUGAAAAUUAUAAACGGUGGUUUUGCCACAAAUACUAUGUCAACUACAUGAUCAUGCAAAGGAAUAUGACAAUGAUGAAGUGUGUCAUAAUAAACGGAUUGGUGGAAGUUGCAUGGCAAUAUAUCUUGGAAUGGCUAUGGGAAUGCCAUAAUAGGUAGGUAUGGUGGCUGUUUUGAGGAAGGUAUAUGGUGGGUUUAUGGUACCUGAUGUCUACUACGCAACUUUAUUCUUGUAGACACGUGUUGGGCCUCCAAGCACGGAGUUUUGUAGGACAGUAGCAAUUUUCCCUCAAGUAGAUGACCUAAGGUGUAUCAAACCGUGAGAGGUGUAGGAUGAAGAUGGUCUCUCUCAAAUGACCCUGCAACCAAAUACGAGAAAUCUCUUGUGUCCCCAACACACCCAAUACAAUGGCAAAUUGUAUAGGUGCACUAGUUCGACGAAGAGAUGGUGAUAAAACUGUAAUAUGGAUGGUAGAAAUAUAUUUUUAUAAUCUGAAUAAAUAAAAGCAACAAGGUAGCAAAUAAUAAACGGGCACAAAAACGUUAUUACAAUGCUUGAAAAUGAGGCCUAGGGUUCGUACUUUCGCUAGUGCAAUCUCUCAACAAUGCUAAUUAAUAUAAUUGGAUCAUAUAACCAUCCCUCAACAUGCAACGAAGAAUCACUCCAAAGUUCCUAUCUAGAAGAGAACAUAUGAAUAAAUUGUUUGUAGGGUACGAAACCGCCUCAAAGCUAUUCUUUCCGUUAGAUCUAUUCAAGAGUUCAUACUAAAAUAACACAAAGAUGUUCUUUCUGUUCGAUCUAUCCUGGAGUUCAUACUAAAAUAACACAAAAGAAAAUUCAUAUUCAUAAUACUCAAUCCAACACAAAGAACUUCAAAGAGUGCCCCAAGAUUUCUACCGGAGGAAUAAAGAUAAGAACGUGCAUCAACCCCUAUGCAUAGAUUACCCCAAUGUCACCUCGGGAAUCUGCUAGUUGAGUGCCAAAACAUAUAUCAAGUGAACCAAUACGAUACCCCACUGUCACCACGAGUAUUCAAUUGUAAGGCAUAUGUCGAGUGUUCUCAAAUCCAUAAAAGUAUUCAAUCCGAUAACAACAAAAUCUCAAAGGGAAAAACUCAAUUCAUCACAACAAGAUAGAGAGGGGAAAACACCAUAUGAUCUGACUAUAUUAACAAAGCCCCUGACAUAUCAAGAUCGUGACAUCUCAAGAACACAAGAGAGAGAGAGAGAGAGAGAUUAAACACAUAGCUACUGGUACAAACCCUUAGCACCGAGGGCGGACUACUCCCUCCUCAUCGUGGUGGCCGCCGGGAUGACGAAGAUGGCCACCGGAGAUGAUUCCCCCCCCCUCCGGCAGGGUGCCAGAACGGGGCCUAGAUUGGUUUUCGGUGGCUACAGAGCCUUGCGUCAGCGGAACUUCUGAUCUAGGUUCACCCCGAGGGUUUUUAGAAUAUUUUAUAAUUUAUAUGGUAACGAGGGGUUGUGGGAGGCCACCGAGGUGGGCACAACCCACCUGGGCACGCCUUGGCCCCUAGGCACGCCCUGGUGGGUUGUGGCCCCCUCAGGGCACCCCCAGGUGCUGCUCUAGCCCAUCCUAGGUGUUCUGGUCCAUAGAAAAUCUCCAAAAAGUUUCGCGGUGUUUGGACUCCGUUUGAUAUUGAUUUCCUGUGAUGUAAAAAACAAGCAAAAAAUAGCUACUGGAACUGGGCACUGGGUCAAUAGGUUAGUCCCAAAAAUGAUAUAAAGUUGUUAUAAAAUGAUUGUAAAACAUCCAAGAAUGAUAAUAUAACAACAUCAAUACUCCAUAAAUUAUAGAUAUGUUGGAGACGUAUCUGCAUCCCCAAGCUUAAUUUCUACUCGUCCUCGAGUAGGUAAAUGAUAAAAUAAAUAAUUUAUGAAGUGUGAAUGCUAGCAAAGUGCAUACGUUUGAUCAAUGAUAAUUUCAAUGACUUUUCCUAGCAUCAUAAGAGCAAUUUUUUCUUAUAAAACUUCUCAUGUUAUAGUAGGAACCAAUUCACAUGUUAAGGUUCAAACAAUGAACUCUCUUGAAACUCAACAACCUAUGUUCUUAGUCACCAAGCAAUUGCAAUUCAACUUAUUCAACAGAGUUUAAGUAAGAGAUCCACAUACUCAACUAUCAUAGUCUUCUAUGAUUGCUUACACUCACCGCAUACACAUGAGCAAAACAUUUCAACCAGACAUAUAGAAAGAUAGAGGCUUAUAAUUUCGCCUCCCAACGUAUUCACCUCAAGGGUGAUGUCAACAAUAAUAACUCAUGCUACCCAAAUCCAACUGGAUAUAUGUGCCUAGAUCUUUCCUCACCCCAUUAUGCUUGCCAAAAGAGAAAAAUAGAAAGGAAUAGAGAAAAAUACUUUGACUCUUUGCAUGAAAGUAAAUACAUAAAAGUAAAAGAUAGUCCCUUCGCACAGGGAAGCAGAGGUUGCCAUGCGCUUAUUCGUUUGUAUGUUCAACCCCUUAGUGCAAAAGAACAUCGCGUUAUAUUUCCCCUUGUGAUGGCAACCUUUAUUAUGCAGUAUGUCGCUUUUAUUCUUUACCAUCACAAGUUCGUACAACGCUCAAUUUUCUCUUACACUAAAUGAUCUCACACUUUUAGAAGCAAUUUUUAUUGCCUUAUUGCACCAAUGACAACUUACUUGAAGAAUCUUGCUCAAUCCCUAGGUAGGUAUGGUGGACUCUUGAAAAUAAGAUUUGGGUUUAAGGGUUUUUUGGAUGCACAAGUAGUAUCUCUACUUGGUGCGGAAUUUUUGGCUAGCAAAGAUGGGGGCCAAGCACCACAUGUUGAAGGAUCCAUGACAAUAUAACUUCUAUGUGAAUAUGAACAAACACAAACCAUUACGUUGUCUUCCUUGUCCAACAUCAACAAUUCUGACAUAUAAUAUUUUGACGGGGGCUCACAAUCACAAAAGAUUUCAUGAUAGUGUAUUUGCAUGUGAAAUUACUCUUCCUUAUACUAAUUAUUCGUGAAUUACUUGUAUGACCAAUAUUGUGAUUGUCAAGCCUCAAAAGAUUUCACUUUCUAAAUCCAAUGUGAAGCUACCACUAGGCAUGAUAUGAUUUCAACUUCAUGACAUUCAAUUUAUCAACAAUUUACUCAUAGGAUAUAAGUGAACCACAAGAGUAAAUAACAAGCUACUCCAAAAGAUAUAAAUGAAGAUCAUGAGCAUAAUAUUUAUCUCUCUCAAAUUAAUUUAAGUGAAGCAAGAAAGAAUUUCUUCAAAAAUACUACCGUACACCUUGCUCAAAAAGAUUUAAGUGAAGCACUAGAGCAAUUCGAUAGAAAAAGAGCUUCGUUGACGGGAUGUGAAUGCCGCUUACCUAGCCUCCCUAGCAACUAUUUUAGGACUCUAUUUUAUUUAAAAACUUCCAGAUCUAAGUAUUUUAUUAAAACAUCAAUCAAAACAAAAUAAAAUUAUAUUCCAACAAUAGCACAACUCAUGUGGGGAAGCAAAAACUUAGGCUCAACCAAUACUAACCGAUAAUUAUUGAUGAAGAAAGGUGGGAUGCCUACAUGGCAAUCCCCAAGCUUAGAUGCUUGAGACUUCUUGAAAUAUUAUCUUGGGGUGCCUUGGGCAUCCCCAAGCUUGAGCUUUUGUGUCUCCUUAAUUCUUCUCAUAUCACGGUUUUCCUAAAUCUCAAAAGCUUCAUCCACACAAAACUCAACAAGAACUCGUGAGAUAAGUUAGUAUAAACCAAUGCAAAAACCUUAUCAUUAUCUACUGUAGCAAUCACUAAAAUUAUUAUUCAACAUUGCACACUAAAUGCCUCUUCAUAUUUAAUACUCCUAUCCUCAAAUAGAAUCAUUAAACAAGCAAACACAUGCAAACAUAACAGCAAUCUGCCAAAACAGUAUAGUCUGUAAAGAAUGCAAGAGUAUCAAUACCUCCCUAACUACAAAAGUUAUGAAAAUUUUCCACACUGUAGAAAAUUUAUCAGAUAUCAUUUUUCAAAAAGUUUCAACAUUUUAUCACAUUCUGACUUUUCUAGGGAAUUUUUGCAACAGCGGUAAACUUUCUGUUUUCAAAGAGCAACAUGUAUACUUGCAAAAUAAGCAUGGCAAAGGCUAUCAUUGCCGCUUUUAUUGAAAUAAAAGAUGCAAAAAAAUAUUAUAAAUAACAGCAAGAAAAUCCUAACAAAAUAAAAUGAUGCUCCAAGUAAAACUCAUAUCAUGUGACGAAUGAAAACAUAGCUCUAAGUGAGAUUACCGAUAAUGUUGGAGACGAAAGAGGGGAUGCCUUCCAGGGCAUCCCCAAGCUUAGUUGCUUGGAUCUUCCUUAGAUAUUAACUUGGGUGCCUUGGUCAUCCCCAAGCUUAGGGUCUUGUCACUCCUUAUUCUCCUCAUAUCGACAUCUUACCCAAAACUUGAAAACUUCAAUCACACAAAAUUUAACGGAACUUCGUGAGAUAGGUUAGUAUGGUAAAGAGCAAACCAUUUCACUUUGGUACUGUCAAAGACAAGAUUCAUAAUUGUUUCCACACAAUGCCUACUGUAGCAUAUCAUUUCCACAAUUUACAUUGAGCAAUAUAAGCCAUAGAAACUAGAAAACAAGCAAACUAUGCAUUGAAAAUAGAAUAUGUCAAAAACAGAACAAUCUAUAGUAUUCCGUACUCUAACCAUACUUAUGCUACUAAACAAAUUCUGAAAAAAUAGGAAAACCUGCGUAAUUUAUCUAUUAAUCUUUUGCAAAACAAAUCAGCAUUUUAUCACGCAUAUGUUAAAAAUGAGAAUUGUUUUCCUGUGCACAAAAGUUUCUGUUUUUCAGCAAGAUCAAAUCAACUAUCACCGUAAGCCAUCCCAAAGGUCUUUGCACUUUAUUGAAACAAAAGCAAUAAAACAUGAUUAGUACAGUAGCCUAAUCAUGUGAACACACAAAACAAUAGGUAAAAGUGUUGGGUUGUCUCCCAACAAGCGCUUUUCUUUAAUGCCUUUUAGCUAGGCACGAUGAUUUCAUUUAUGCUCACAUAAAAGUAAAUAAUUGAAACAUAACGAGAGCAUCAUGAAACACAUGGCAAGCACAUUUAAGCCUAACCCACUUCCUAUGCAUAGGUAUUUUAUGAGCAAACAAUUUAUGGGAACAAGAAUCAACUAGCAUAGGAAGGCAAAAGAAGCAUAACUUCAAGAUUUUCAACACAUAGAGAGGAAACUUGAUAUUAUUGACAUACGUAGAAGCGUAUGUGCCUCUCUCAUAAUAAUUUUCAGUAGCAUAAUGAAUGAAUUCAACAAUAUAUCUAUCACAUAAAGCAUUCUUUUCAUGAUUCACAAGCAUAGAAAUUUUCCUACUCUCCACAUAAGCAAAUUUAUUCUCAUGAAUAGUAAUGGGAGCAAACUCAAAAAAAUAACUAUCAUGAGAGUGAAAAUUAAAAUCAUGAUGACAAGUUUCAUGGUUAUCAUUAUUCUUUGUAGCAUACAUGUCAUCACCAUAAUCAUCAUAGAUAGCAACUUUGUUGUCAUAGUCAAUUGAAACCCACUUCCAAAAUAGUGGAUUCGUCACUAAAUAAAGUCAUGACCUAUCCAAAUCCACUUUCAUCAUUAUAAUCAUCAUAAAUAGGAGGCAUGCUUUCAUCAUAAUAAACUNNNNNNNNNNNNNNNNNNNNNNNNNNNNNNNNNNNNNNNNNNNNNNNNNNNNNNNNNNNNNNNNNNNNNNNNNNNNNNNNNNNNNNNNNNNNNNNNNNNNNNNNNNNNNNNNNNNNNNNNNNNNNNNNNNNNNNNNNNNNNNNNNNNNNNNNNNNNNNNNNNNNNNNNNNNNNNNNNNNNNNNNNNNNNNNNNNNNNNNNNNNNNNNNNNNNNNNNNNNNNNNNNNNNNNNNNNNNNNNNNNNNNNNNNNNNNNNNNNNNNNNNNNNNNNNNNNNNNNNNNNNNNNNNNNNNNNNNNNNNNNNNNNNNNNNNNNNNNNNNNNNNNNNNNAGAAUAUCAACUUCAUGAAAUAUAGCAUCCUCAAGCUUGUAGCUUUGCAUAUCAUUAGCAUCAUGGAUAUUCAAAGAAUUCAUACUGACAACAUUGAAAUCAUGCUCGUCAUUCAAAUAUUUUGUACCAAACAUUUUAUUGACUUAUUCUUCUAACAAUUGGGCACAAUUUUCUGAUCCAUCAUUUUCAAGAAAGAUAUUAUAAAGAUGAUCAAUAAUAUGAUGCAACCUCAAUUCCAUUUUUUAUGUAGUUUUCUUUUAUAAACCAAACUAGUGAUAAAACAAGAAACUAAAAGAUUCAAUUGCAAGAUCUAAAGAUAUACCUUCAUGCACUCACCUCCCCGGCAACAAUGCCACAAAAGAGCUUGAUGUCUACUAUGCAACUUUAUUGUUGUAGACACGUGUUGGGCCUCCAAGCGCGGAGUUUUGUAGGACAAUAGCAAUUUUCCCUCAAGUGGAUGGCCUAAGGUUUAUUAAUCUGUGAGAGGUGUAGGAUGAAGAUGGUCUUUGUCAAAUGACCCUGCAACCAAAUACAAGAAAUAUCUUGUGUCCCCAACACACCCAAUACAAUGGCAAAUUGUAUAGGUCCACUAGUUCGACGAAGAGAUGGUGAUAAAAGUAUAAUAUGGAUGGUAGCAAUAUAUUUUUAUAAUCAGAAUAAAUAAAAACAGCAAGGUAGCAAAUAGUAAACGGGCACAAAAACGGUAUUACAAUGCUUGAAAAUGAGGCCUGGGAUCCGUACUUUUGCUAGUGCAAUCUCUCAACAAUGCUGAUAUAAUUGGAUCAUAUAACCGUCCCUCAACAUGCAACGAAGAAUCACUCCAAAGUUCCUAUCAAGCGGAGAACAUACGAAUAAAUUGUUUGUAGGGUACGAAACCACCUCAAAGCUAUUCUUUCCGUUCGAUCUAUUCAAGAGUUUGUACUAAAAUAACACAAAGCUAUUAUUUCCAUUCGAUAUAUCCUAGAGUGCGUACUAAAAUAACACCAAAGCAAAUUCAUAUUCACAAUACUCAAUCCAACACAAAGAACUUCAAAGAGUGCCCCAAGAUUUCUAGCGGAGAAACAAAGACAAGAACGUGUAUCAACCCCUAUGCAUAGAUUACCCUAAUGUCACCUCGGGAAUCCGCGAGUUGAGUGCUAAAACAUAUAUCAAGUGAAUCAAUACGAUACCCCAUAGUCACCACGAGUAUUCAAUUGCAAGACAUAUAUCAAGUGUUCUCAAAUCCAUAAAAGUAUUCAAACCGAUAACAACAAAAUCUCAAAGGGAAAAACUCAAUUCAUCACAACAAGAUAGAGAGGGGAAAACACCAUAUGAUCCAACUAUAUUAACAAAUCCCGUGAUACAUCAAGAUCGUGACAUCUCAAGAACACGAGAGAGAGAGAGAGAGAGAUUAAACACAUAGCUACUGGUACAAACCCUCAGCCCCGAGGGUGGACUACUCCCUCCUCAUCGUGGUGGCCGUCAGGAUGAUGAAGAUGGCCACCGGAGAUGAUUCCCCCCCUCCGACAGGGUUCCGGAACGGGGUCUAGAUUGGUUUUCGGUGGUUAGAGAGCCUUGCGGCAGUGGAACUUCUGAUCUAGGUUCACCCCGAGGGUUUUCAGAAUAUUUGGGAACUUAUAGGGUAAAGAGGGGGUGUGGGAGGCCACCAAGGUGGACAUGACCCACCUGGGUGCGCCUGGGCCCACAGGCGCGCCCUGGUGAGUUGUGCCCCCCUCGGGGCACCCCCCAGGUGCUGCUCUGGCCCAUCCUGGGUGUUCUGGUCCAUAAAAAAUCUCCAAAAAGUUCAGCGGUGUUUGGACUCCAUUUGAUAUUGUUUUCCUGCGAUGUAAAAAACAAGCAAAAAACAGCAACUGUCCUGGGCACUGGGUUGCUAUAAAAUGAUUGUAAAACAUCCAAGGAUGAUAAUAUAACAACAUGAAUACUUCAUAAAUUAUAGAUACGUGGGAGAUGCAUCAGUACCGGCAAAAGUUGCGCGGCACAAGAGAGGCUAGCAAUGGUGGAAGGGUGAGAGUGUGUAUAAUCCGUGGACUCAACAUUAGUCAUAAAGAACUCACAUACUUAUUGAAAAAAUCUAUUAGUUAUCAAAACAAAUCACUACACGGAUGCUCCUAGGGGGAUAGAUUGGUAGGAAAAGACCAUCGCUCGUCCCCGACCGCCACUCAUAAGGAAUACACUCAAUAAAUAAAUCAUGCUCCGACUUCAUCACAUAACGGUUCACCAUAUGUGCAUCCUACGGGAAUCACAAACUUUAACACAAGUAUUUCUCAAAUUCACAAUUACUCACUAGCAUGACUCUAAUAUUACCAUUUUCAUAUCUCAAAACAAUCAUAAAGAAUCAAACUUCUCAUAGUAUUCAAUGCACUUUAUAUGAAAGUUUUUAUUAUAUCCCUCUUGGAUGCCCAUCAUAUUAGGACUAAAUUCAUAAACAAAGCAAAUUACCAUGUUGUUUAAAGACUCUCAAAAUGAUGUAACUGAAGCAUGAGAGUUCAUCAAUUUCUUCAAAAUAAAACUACUGUCGUGCUCUAAAAAGAUAUAAGUGAAGCACUAGAGCAAAUGACAAACUACUCCAAAACAUAUAAGUGAAGAUCAAUGAGUAGUCAAAUAAUUAUGUAACUAUGUGAAGACUCUCUAAUAUUUUAGAAUUUAAGAUCUUGGAAUAUUAUUCAAAUAGCAAGCAAAACAAAAUGAAAUGACAUUGUAAGGAUAGCACAUAUCAUGUGAAGAAGCAAAAACUUAGGCUCAACCAAAACUGACCUAUAGUUGUUGAAGAAGAAAGGUGGGAUGCCUACCGGGGCAUCCCCAAGCUUAGAUGCUUGAGGCUUCUGGGAAUAUUAACUAGGGAUGACUUAGUGUAAUGCCCCGAGACCGAUGUGCCAGGUGUCGUGCAGUUAUUCGCUGUUGUUGCAUUGUCAUUGCUUGCGUGUCAUGCAUUGCAUAUCAUGUCAUCAUGUCCAUUUCAUUUGCAUACGUGUUCGUCUCAUGCAUCUGAGCAUUUUCCCCGUUGUCCGUUUUGCAAUCCGGCGCUUCGUUCUCCUCCGGUGUCCAUUUCUACCUUCUUCUUGUGUGUGGGGAUUAAACAUUUCCGGAUUGGACCGAAACUUGCCAAGCGGCCUUGGUUUACUACCGGUAGACAGCCUGUCAAGUUUCGUAUCAUUUGGACUUCGUUUGAUACUCCAACGGUUAACCGAGGGACCGAAAAGGCCUCAUGUGUAUUGCAGCCCAACACCCUUCCAAGUUGGCCCAAAACCCACCUAAACCUGCUCCAUCAUCUAGAGCGUUCGAUCACGAUCGCGUGGCCGAAAACCGCACCUCAUUUGGACUCUCCUAGCUCCCUCUACCUCUAUAAAUAGACCCCUUCAUUUUCGUUUUCGGAUCUUUCCCCAAACCCUAGGGUCUUCCUCCUCGCGUCGCCGGACAUGUCCGCGCCCGCCGGACACGUCCAGCCGCCACCUCACUCCGGCGAAUCACAUCACGCCACGUCAGCCGGCCGCCGCCCUCGCCCAAUCGGAUAGCGCCACUUGUCGCGCGCCUCCCUCCACCCGCCGAAGCCCGCCGGGGCCCGAGGCAGGCCCGCCCCGGGCCGGAUCUGGGCCGAGUNNNNNNNNNNNNNNNNNNNNNNNNNNNNNNNNNNNNNNNNNNNNNNNNNNNNNNNNNNNNNNNNNNNNNNNNNNNNNNNNNNNNNNNNNNNNNNNNNNNNNNNNNNNNNNNNNNNNNNNNNNNNNNNNNNNNNNNNNNNNNNNNNNNNNNNNNNNNNNNNNNNNNNNNNNNNNNNNNNNNNNNNNNNNNNNNNNNNNNNNNNNNNNNNNNNNNNNNNNNNNNNNNNNNNNNNNNNNNNNNNNNNNNNNNNNNNNNNNNNNNNNNNNNNNNNNNNNNNNNNNNNNNNCGCCUCGCCAUGCUUGCCGGCGUCGCCGCGCCCUGCGGAUCCCGAACUCCGGCGAGCCCCCGCGCCUCACGCCUCCUUCCUCGUCUGCUCCGGUGACAUACUCCAGCGAGAUCCCGAAGAUUGGAUCGGAUCCACCAAUCCCGCGAUCCAAACGGCCCCCUCAUCCCGGAUCUCUUCGUCCCGUUUUUCUCCGUCCCGCGUUGACUUCCGCGGAGGUAAAAUUCCACUAAGUCCCGAAAUUCUCAGAUCCAAGUGCCUCUGUUCGUAGCUCCGUAACUUUGCAUCCGUAGCUCCGAUUCAUGCAUAUAGCAUAUCAAAAUAUUCAUCUCAGAGAGUACAUCAUUUCAUUCCAUUGCAUCAUUUUCAUUUGAGUUAAUCUUGAUUCCUAAAAUGCUGUUAGAAGAGGGCUACUUGAGUUAAUUGUCAGAUAUGCUGCUCCAUUUAGCUUUUUUUCAUUUUUGCCAUGAUUAAUGUGUGCAUGAUAUGCCCUGAUGCUCUACAUAUGUUUUGUUAAGGGUUUUGUCAUCUUUCCAGAGGUGCAAUCCAUGUAUUUUUUUGAUGUGUAUGGUGACUAGUGUAAGCUUGCAAAGUGGUGCACUUGCUAAUUCUGCUUUCAGGGACUUAGCAAUUCCACUAAGUCCUUGAGCUGCUUAUCUCAUGAUGCCAUAUGUUCAUGUUGUUUCCUAGUGAUCCGUGCCUCUUUUGAGGAUGAUCAGUAAGGAUGUUUUGUUAAUAUUGUAGUGAUCUAUCCAUCCAUGUAUUUUUUUGCAAUUAUGGAGCACCCUAGCUUGAGUCAAUCGAGCUCUACUUUUGCUACUUUGUGAAUCUGGGCAGAUUGUCAACUUGUUUGCAAUUUUGCCGAUGAUGUUGUAGUUGAUCCGUGCAUGCUAUGCUUUUGUUCUUGCCAUGUCUAGCUUGAAUUUUAUUCCUUCUUGAUGGAUGUAUUCUUGUCUUGCCAUGACUUGCACCGUAGUGAGUGCAUCGAGCUCGUAAACAUGCCUACUUGAGUUAUAUUUCAGCAUGUGCCAGUUUUCACUAAGUCUGAAAACUGAUUAUGUUUUUGCUAUGUUCACAUGCUUGCAAUUGUAUUUUCUGAUCCCUUUUGGCUCAAGGUCACUAAGGGACUUUUGUUAAGCUCUUUGAGUAGCUCCACGCCAUGCUUUACAUUGCCAUGUUCAGGUCCUGUAGCAUGUAGUUUUGUUGCUCCGAAGAGGGCUACCUGAUCUGAAAUUCCAGACAAGUGUUAAUUUCACUAAGUCUGAGAUCUGUUUGCCAUAUGCAUUUUUGCCAUGCUUGUUUGAACCUGUUAAUGGAUGAAUUGGCCGUAGCUCAGUGCUAGACUUUUAUUAAGCAUCUUGAAUGCAUCCCUGCCAUAUAUUUUGUUGCCAUGCUUGAGUGCUGUAGCAUGUUCAUCUCAUUGCAUUUAGAUGGCCACUUGCUGUAAAUCACAGACCGGUGUCAUAUUUGAAUCGCUUGCCAUUUCCAAACCAUAACUCCGAUUCCGGUGUUCUUUAUAUCGUUUUCAAGCGAUUUCAUCUCACCUUUCUAGUUGCACACUUGGAUUUCCAAGUUGAGGCCAGGUUCAUGCAUUCCUUGUCCAAUCAUGCAUAUGCAUCGCAUACCGCAUCCCGCAUAUCAUACCAUGUUCAUGUGUUGGUUGUUUACUAUGUUGUGCUUCUUUCCGGUGCUUGCUUCUUCGGGUUGGUUCUGGUAACGUCGCGUUUGUGAGGACCCAUUCGACUACGUCCGUUUGUCUUCUUCAUGGACUCGUUCUUCUUCCUUGCGGGAUUUCAGGCAAGAUGAUCAUACCCUUGAAAUCACUUCUAUCUUUGCUUGCUUAGUUGCUCGCUCUUUUGCUAUGCCUAUGCUGCGAUGCCUACCACUUGCUUAUCAUGCCUCCUAUAUUGAUGAACCAAGCCUCUAACCCACCUUGUCCUAGCAAACCGUUGAUUGGCUAUGUUACCGCUUUGCUCAUCCCCUCUUAUAGCGUUGUUAGUUGCAGGUGAAGAUUGAAGUUUGUUCCUUGUUGGAACAUGGAGAUGUUGUUCCUUGCUGGAACAUGUUUACUUGUUGGGAUAUCACUAUAUAUCUUAUUUCAUUAAUGCAUCUAUAUACUUGGUAAAGGGUGGAAGGCUCGGCCCUAUGCCUGGUGUUUUGUUCCACUCUUGCCGCCCUAGUUUCCGUCAUAUGGGUGUUAUGUUCCCAGAUUUUGCGUCCCUUUUGCGGUUGGGCUAUAAUGGGAACCCCUUGACAGUUCGCCUUAAGUAAAGCUCCUCCAGCAAUGCCCAACCUUGGUUUUACCAUUUUCACUAACAACCUACCACCUUCCCUUGGGUUUUCGCGAGCCCGAGGGUCAUCUUUAUUCUAACCCCCCCGGGCCAGUGCUCCUCUGAGUGUUGGUCCGAACUAGAGUCCUGUGCAGCGCCCCCUUGGGGAAACUCGAGGUUUGGUUUUAGUUGUAUGGAGAGCUCAUCUAAGUGUGCCCUGAGAAAGAGAUAUGUGCAGCUCCUAUCGGGAUUUGUCGGCACAUUCGGGCGGUGUUGCUGGUUUAGUUUUACCCUGUUGAAAUGUCUUGUUGUACCGGGAUACCGAGUCUGAUCAGAAUGUCUCAGGAGGAGGUCUAUUCCUUCGUUGACCGUGAGAGCUUGUGAUGGGCUAAGUUGGGACACCCCUGCAGGGAUUUGAACUUUCGAAAGUCGUGCCCGCGGUUAUGGGCAGAUGGGAAUUUGUUAACGUCCGGUUGUAGAAAACCUAAAGUAGAGCUUAAUUAAAAUGAAUCAACCGCAUGUGUAACCGUGAUGGUCUCUUUCUGGCGGGGUCCGGGAAGUGAACACGGUUGUUGGAGUUAUGCUUGACGUAGGUUGUUAUAGGAUCACUUCUUGAUCAUACUUUUAUCGAUCGUGCUUUGCCUUCUCUUCUCACUCUCAUUUGCGUAUGUUAGCCACCAUAUAUGCUAGUCGCUUGCUGCAACUCCACCUCAUACCUUUACCUUACCCAUAAGCUUAAAUAGUCUUGAUCGCGAGGGUGCGAGAUUGCUGAGUCCCCGUGGCUCACAGAUACUUCCAAAACCAGCUUGCAGGUGCCGAUGAGUCCUUGCAGAUGACGCAACCAAGCUCAAGGAGGAGCUCUAUGAAGAUCUUGUCCUUUAUGUUGUUUUGUUCUAGUUGAUCAGUAGUGGAGCCCAGUUGGGGUCGAUCGGGGACCUUUUUCGCAUUUGGGGUUCUUCUUUUGUUUUGGGUUCCAUAGUCGGACCUUGAUUGUAUCUCGAUGAUGUAAUGCUUUAUUCAUAUAAUUGUGUGAAGUGGCGAUUGUAAGCCAACUAUGUAAUCUCUUUCCCUUAUUAUAUUACAUGGGUUGUGUGAAGAUUACCUCACUUGCGACAUAUGCCUUCAAUGCGAUUAUGCCUCUAAGUCGUGCCUCGACAUGUGGGAGAUAUAGUCGCAUCGAGGGUGUUACACUUAGGCAUCCCCAAGCUUGAACUCUUGUGUCUCCUUAAUUCCUUUUAUAUCGCAGUUAUGACGCCCCCGAUUCAAUCGUACACGCAAACAUGUAAGAUCAAGAUCAGGGACUCAUGGGAAGAUGUCACAACCCAACUCUACAAAUAAAAUAAGUCAUACAAGCAUCAUAUUACAAGCCAGGGGCCUCGAGGGCUCGAAUACAAGAGCUCGAUCAUAGACGAGUCAGCGGCAGCAACAAUAUCUGAGUACAUACAUAAGUAAACAAGUUUGCCUUAAGAAGGCUAGCACAAACUGGGAUACAGAACGAAAGAAGCAUAGGCCUCCUGCCUGGGAUCCUCCUAAACUACACCUGGUCGUCGUCAGCGGCCUGCAUGUAGUAGUAGGCACCUCCAGUGUAGUAGGAGUCGUCAUCGACGGUGGGGUCUGGCUCCUGGACUGCAACGUCUGGUCGCAACAACCGGGUAUAGAAAGGGGGAAAAGGGGGAGCAAAGCAAUGUGGAGGUUCAUCUUGCGGCACUCGGGGGGAGGGGGAGUGAGUGCACCCGGAGGAACUAUAUGGAGGUUCAGCUUUCUAAAUUCUUCGACAAGCGAGGGCUGAACUUUUCGAACCUGGAGGUGGUUGCAGUAAGACUUGCGGCUCAAGGCAUCAGCCAUUACAUUAGCCUUGCCUGGGGUAUAGGAUAUACCCACGUCAAAGUCUGCAACAGUCUCCAUCCAUCUUUGUUGACAGAGGUUCAGGUCUGGCUGAGUAAACAUAUACUUUAGACUUUGGUGGUCGGUGAAGAUCUCGCAACGAUUACCGAGAAGGUAAUGUCUCCACUGCUUCAGAGCAUGAAUGACAGCAGCAAGCUCGAGGUCAUGAACUGGGCAAUUUUCUUCGUGAGUGCGCAGUUGACGAGAGGCAUAAGCAAUCACUCUACACUCUUGCAUUAGUACACAGCCUAAUCCUUGACGGGAAGCGUCGCAAUAAAUGAUGAAGUCCUUCUUAGUAUCAGGUGGAGCAAGCACUGGGUAGAAGUCAACUUUUCUUUGAGUGCAUGGAAACUUUCCUGACACUUGUCUGUCCAUUGGAACUUGACACCCUUAUGCAACAGGUUAGUCAGAGGCCUGGCGAUCUUGGAGAAGUUCUCGACGAAUCGAUGGCAAUAGCUGGCGAGACCGAGAAAACUUUGGACUUGCUUGACAUUCUUCGGAGGAGUCCAAUUGAGAAUAGCCUGGACUCGUUCAGGGUUGAUGGCAAUACCAUCCUUCGAGAUGACAUGCCCAAGAUAGGUUACUUCGGGGAGCCAGAAUUCACACUUGGAAUACUUAGCAUAGAGUUGAUGCUCUCGAAGCUUUUCCAGCACAAGACGAAGAUGUUCAGCAUGUUCUUCUUUGUUCUUGGAAAAUACAAGGAUAUCAUCCAGAUAAACCACGACGAACUUGUCGAGGUAAUCCAUGAAUAUAUAGUUCAUCAGACGAGAGAAGGUGGCUGGAGCAUUGGUUAAGCCGAAAGACAUGACAGUGUACUCGUAUGACCCAUAUCGAGUCACGAAGGCGGUCUUUGGGAUAUCCUCUUCACGAACACAGAUCUGGUGGUAACCCAACCUCAAGUCAAGUUUGGAUAAUGCUGAUGAACCAGUUAGUUGAUCAUACAGAUCAUUGAUCCGAGGGAGAGGAUAUUUGAUCUGAAUGGUGGCUUGGUUAAUUGGACGAUAAUCUUGGACCAAUCGGUUUGUCCCAUCCUUCUUCUUAACAAAGAGAGUAGGUACUCCCCAAGGAGAGUAACCAGGGCGAAUGAAACCUUUGCGAAGAGAUUUGUCGAUUUCCUCCUUAAGCUCAAUGAGUUCAUGCGGCGGCAUCUUGUAGGGUCAUUUGGCUAUAGAGGUGUGAUGUCUACUACACAACCUUCUUCUUGUAGACGUUGUUGGGCCUCCAAGUGCAGAGGUUUGUAGGACAGUAGCAAAUUUCCCUCAAGUGGAUGACCUAAGGUUUAUCAAUCCGUAGGAGGCGUAGGAUGAAGAUGGUCUCUCUCAAGCAACCCUGCAACCAAAUAACAAAGAGUCUCUUGUGUCCCCAACACACCCAAUACAAUGGUAAAUUGUAUAGGUGCACUAGUUCGGCAAAGAGAUGGUGAUACAAGUGGUAUAUGGAUAGUAGAUAUGAGUAUUUGUAAUCUGAAAUUAUAAAAACAGCAAGGUAACGAAUGAUAAAAGUGAGCGUAAACGGUAUUGCAAUGAUAGGAAACAAGGCCCAGGGUUCAUACUUUCACUAGUGUAAGUCCCCUCAACAAUACUAACAUAAUUGGAUCACAUAACUAUCCCUCAACAUGCAACAAAGAGUCACUCCAAAGUCACUAAUAGCGGAGAACAAAUGAAGAGAUUAUGGUAGGGUACGAAACCACCUCAAAGUUAUUCUUUCCAAUCAAUCCAUUGGGCUAUUCCUAUAAGUGUCACAAACAGCCCUAGAGUUCGUACUAGAAUAACACCUUAAGAUACAAAUCAACCAAAACCCUAAUGUCACCUAGAUACUCCAAUGUCACCUCAAGUAUCUGUGGGCAUGAUUAUACGAUAUGCAUCACAAAAUCUCAGAUUCAUCAAGAUCGUAUCAUCUCAAGAACACGAGAGAGAGAGAGAGAGAGAGAGAGAUCAAACACAUAGCUACUGGUACAUACCCUCAGCCCCGAGGGAGAACUACUCCCUCCUCGUCAUGGAGAGCACCGGGAUGAUGAAGAUGGCCACCGGUGAGGGUUCCCCCCUCUGGCAGGGUGCCAGAAUAGGGUCCCGAUUGACUUUUGGUGGCUACGGAGGCUUCUCGCGGCGGAAGUCCCGAUCUAUGUUGUGUUCUGGAAGUUUUAGGGUAUAUGGAGUUAUAUAGGCAGAAGAAGCACAUCAGGGAAGCCACGGGGGCCCCACGAGGCAGGGGGCGCGCCCUAGGGGGGGCGCCCCCCACCCUCGUGGGCAGCUCCCGUAUCUUCUGACAUGGGGUCCAAGUCCAUCAGGUGUGUUUCCUUCCAAAAAUAACUUCUCUAGUUGAUUUCGUUCCGUUUCGACUCCGUCUGAUAUUGCUUUUCUUCAAACACUGAAAUAGGCAUAAAACAGAAAAUCUGGGUUGGGCCUCCGGUUAAUAGGUUAGUCCCAAAAAUAAUAUAAAAGUGGAUAAUAAAUCCCAAUAUUGCCUAAAACAGUAGAUAAUAUAGCAUGGAGCAAUCAAAAAUUAUAGAUACGUUGGAGACGUAUCAAGCAUCCCCAAGCUUAAUUCCUGCUCGUCCUCGAGUAGGUAAAUGAUAAAAAAGAUAAUUUUUGAUGUGGAAUGCUAGUUGGCAUAAUUUCAAUGUAAUUCUUCUUACUUGUGAUAUGAAUAUUCAGAUCCAUAAGAUUCAAGACAAAAGUUCAUAUUGACAUAAAAAUAAUAAUACUUCAGGCAUACUAACAAAGCAAUCAUGUCUUCUCAAAAUAACAUGGCCAAAGAAAGUUAUCCCUACAAAAUCAUAUAGUCUGGCUAUGCUCCAUCUUCACCACACAAAAUAUUUAAAUCAUGCACAACCCCGAUGACAAGCCAAGAAAUUGUUUCAUACUUUUGAUGUUCUCAAACUUCUUCAAUCUUCACGCAAUACAUGAGCGUGAGCCAUGGAUAUAGCACUAUAGGUGGAAUAGAAUGGUGGUUGUGAGAAGACAAAAAGGGAGAAGAUAGUCUCACAUCAACUAGGCGUAUCAACGGGCUAUGGAGAUGCCCAUCAAUAGAUAUCAAUGUGAGUGAGUAGGAAUUGCCAUGCAACGGAUGCACUAGAGCUAUAAAUGUAUGAAAUCUCAACAAAAGAAACUAGUGGGUGUGCAUCCAACUCGCUUGCUCACGAAGACCUAAGGCAAUUUUGAGGAAGCCCAUCAUUGGAAUACACAAGCCAAGUUCUAUAAUGAAAGAUUCCCACUAGUAUAUGAAAGUGACAACAUAGGAGACUCUCUAUCAUGAAGAUCAGGGUGCUACUUUGAAGCACAAGUGUGGUAAAAGGAUAGUAGCAUUGUCCCUUUUAUUUUUUUAUUUUUUAUCUGGCCUUUCUUUUUUAUUUGGCCUUUCUUUUGUUUAUUUGGCCUUUCUUUUGGGGGGGGGGGGGACAAUGCUCUAUUGAAUGAUGAUCAUCACACUUCUAUUUAUUUACAACUCGAUGAUACAACUCGAUACUAGAACAAAGAUGACUCUAUAUGAAUGCCUCCGGCAGUGUACCGGGAUAUGCAAUGAAUCAAGAGUGACAAGUAUGAAAGAAUUAUGAACAGUGGCUUUGCCACAAAUACAAUGUCAACUACAUGAUCAUGCUAAGCAAUAUGACAAUGAUGAAACGUGUCAUAAUAAUGGUACGGUGGAAAGUUGCAUGGCAAUAUAUCUCGGAAUGGCUACGGAAAUGCCAUAAUAGGUAGGUAUGGUGGCUGUUUUGAGGAAGGUGUAUGGUGGGUUUAUGGUACCGGCGAAAGUUGUGCGGUACUAGAGAGGCUAGCAAUGGUGGAAGGGUGAGAGUGCGUAUAAUCCAUGGACUCAACAUUAGUCAUAAAGAACUCACAUACUUAUUGCAAAAAUCUAGAAGUUAUCAAAGCAAAGUAUUACGCGCAUGCUCCUAGGGGGAUAGAUUGGUAGGAAAAGACCAUCGCUCGUCCCCGACCGCCACUCAUAAGGAAGACAAUCAAUAAAUAAAUCAUGCUCCGACUUCGUCACAUAACGGUUCACCAUACGUGCAUGCUACGGGAAUCACAAACUUCAACACAAGUAUCUCUCAAAUUCACAACUACUCAACUAGCAUGACUCUAAUAUCACCAUCUCCAUAUCUCAAAACAGUUAUCAAGUAUCAAACUUCUCAUAGUAUUCAACACACUCAUAAGAGAAUUUUAUUAUUCUUGAAUACCUAGCAUAUUAGGAUUUUAAGCAAAUUACCAUGCUAUUUAAGACUCUCAAAAUAAUCUAAGUGAAGCAUGAGAGUUCAUCUAUUUCUUCAAAAUAAAACUACCACCAUUCUCUAAAAGAUAUAAGUGAAGCACUAGAGCAAAUGACAAACUACUCCGAAAGAUAUAAGUGAAGAUCAAUGAGUAGUCGAAUAAUUAUGCAACUAUGUGAAGACUCUCUAACAUUUAAUAAUUUCAGAUCUUGGUAUUCUAUUCAAACAGCAAGCAAAGCAAAAUAAAAUGACAUCUAAGAAUAUCAAACAUCAUGUGAAGAAGCAAAAACUUAGGAUCAACCGAUACUAACCGAUAAUUGUUGAAGAAGAAAGGUGGGAUGCCAACCGGGGCAUCCCCAAGCUUAGAUGCUUGAGACUUCUUGAAAUAUUAUGUUGGGAUGCCUUGGGCAUCCCCAAGCUUGAGCUUUUGUGUCUCCUUAAUUCCUCUCAUAUCACGGUCUCCCUAAAUCUCAAAAGCUUCAUCCACACAGAACUCAACAAGGACGCGUGAGAUAAGUUAGUAUAAACCAUUGCCAAAACCUUAUCAUACUCUACUGUAGCAAAUCACUAAAAUUAUUAUUCAACAUUGCAUACUAAAUUCCUCUGCAUAUUUAAUAGUCCUAUCCUCAAAUAGAAUCAUUAAAGAAGCAAACAUAUGCAAACAAUGCAAACAUAACAGCAAUCUUCCUAAACAGGAUAGUCUGUAAAGAAUGCAGCAACAUCCAUACUUACCUAGCUCCAAAAAUUAUGAAAUAAAAUUCCCACUGUAGUAAAUUUAUCAUAGCUUAAUAUGAAAAAGGUUUCAACAUUUUAUCACAUUCUUACUUUUCUAGGGAAUUAUUGCAACAGCGGUAAACUUUCUGUUUUCAAACAGCAACAUGUAUACUUGUAACAUAGGCAUAGUAAAGGCUAUCAAUGCCAGUUUUAUUGAAAUAAAAGAUGCAAAACAUUGUUCCAAAUAACAUCAAGCAAAUCCUAACAAAAUAAAUUGACGCUCCAAGCAAAACACAUAUCAUGUGGCGAAUAAAAAUAUAGCUCCAAGUAAAGUUACCGAUGAACGAAGACGAAGGAGGGGAUGCCUUCCGGGGCAUCCCCAAGCUUAGGCUCUUGGCUAUCCUUGAAUAUUACCUUGGGGUGACUUGUUCAUCCCCAAGCUUAGGCUCUUGCCACUCCUUAUUCCAUAGUGCAUCGAAUCCUUACCCAAAACUUGAAAACUUCACAACACAAAACUUAACAGAAAACUCGUAAGCUCCGUUAGAAUAAGAAAAUAAAUCACCACUUCAAGGUACUGUAAUGAACUCAUUCUUUAUUUAUAUUGGUGUUAAACCUACUGUAUUCCAACUUCUCUAUGGUUUAUAAACUGUUCUACUAGCCAUAGAUUCAUCAAAAUAAGUAAACAACACAUGAAAAACAGAAUCUGUCAAAAACAGAACAGUCUGUAGUAAUCUGGAUCAAACGUAUACUUAUGGAACUCAUAAAAUUCUCAAAUAAAUUUCUGGACCUGAGGAAUUUAUCUAUAAAUCAUCUGCAAAUAGAAUUAAAUAAAUAUCACUCUCAAAAUAAAAAUGGCAGCAAUUCUCGUGAGCGCUAAAGUUUCUGUUUUUGACAGCAUGAUCAACAAGACUUUCCCAAAGUCUUCCCAAAGGUUCUACUUGGCACAAACACUAAUUAAAAGCAUAAAACCACAUAUAAACAGAGGCUAGAUGAAUUAUUUAUUACUAAACAGGAGCAAAAAGCAAGGGAAAAAAAUAAAAUUGGGUUGCCUCCCAACAAGCGCUAUUGUUUAACGCCCCUAGCUAGGCAUGAUGAUUUCAACGAUGCUCACAUAAAAGAUAAGAAUUGAAACAUAAAGAGAGGAUCAUGAAGAAUAUGACUAGCAAAUUUAAGUCUAACCCACUUACUAUGCAUAGGGAUUUUGUGAGCAAACAACUUGUGGGAACAAGAAUCAACUUGCAUAGGAAGGUAAAACAAGCAUAACUUCAAAACUUUAAGCGCAUAGAGAGGAAACUUGAUAUUAUUGCAAUUCCUACAAGCAUAUAUUCCUCCCUUAUAAUAAUUUUCAGUAGCAUCAUGAAUGAAUUCAACAAUAUAACCAGCACCUAAAGCAUUCUUUUCAUGAUCUACAAGCAUGCAAAAUUUACUACUCUCCACAUAAGCAAAAUUCUUCUCAUCAAUAGUAGUGGGAGCAAACUCAACGAAAUAACUAUCAUGGGAUUGAAAAUUAAGAUCAAGAUGACAAGUUUCAUUGUUAUCAUUAUUCUUUAAAGCAUAUGUGUCAUCACAAUAAUAAUCAUAGAUAGGAGGCAUGCUUUCAUCAUAAUAAAUUUGCUCAUCAAAACUUGGGGGACAAAAAAUAUCAUCUUCAUCAUACAUAGCUUCCCCAAGCUUGUGGCUUUGCAUAUCAUUAGCAUCAUGGAUAUUCAAGGAAUUCAUACUAAAAACAUUGCAAUCAUGCUCAUCAUUCAAAUAUUUAGUGGCAAACAUUUUAUAGAUUUCUUCUUCUAACACUUGAGCACAAUUAUCCUUUCCAUCAUACUCAUGAAAGAUAUUAAAAAGGUGAAGCGUAUGAGACAAACUCAAUUCCAUUUUUUAUAGUUUCCUUUUAUAGACUAAACUAGUGAUAAAACAAGAAACUAAAAGACUCGAUUGCAAGAUCUAAAGAUAUACCUUCAAGCGCUAACCUCCCCGGCAAUGGCGCCAGAAAAGAGCUUGAUGUCUACUACACAACCUUCUUCUUGUAGACGUUGUUGGGCCUCCAAGUGCAGAUGUUUGUAGGACAGUAGCAAAUUUCCCUCAAGUGGAUGACCUAAGGUUUAUCAAUCCGUAGGAGGCGUAGGAUGAAGAUGGUCUCUCUCAAGCAACCCUGCAACCAAAUAACAAAGAUCUCUUGUGUCCCCAACACACCCAAUACAAUGGUAAAUUGUAUAGGUGCACUAGUUCGGCGAAGAGAUGGUGAUACAAGUGGUAUAUGGAUAGUAGAUAUGAGUAUUUGUAAUCUGAAAUUAUAAAAACAGCGAGGUAACGAAUGAUAAAAGUGAGCGUAAACGGUAUUGCAAUGAUAGGAAACAAGGCCUAGGGCUCAUACUUUCACUAGUGUAAGUCCCCUCAACAAUACUAACAUAAUUGGAUCACAUAACUAUCCCUCAACAUGCAACAAAGAGUCACUCCAAAGUCACUAAUAGCGGAGAAUGAACGAAGAGAUUAUGGUAGGGUACGAAACCACCUCAAAGUUAUUAUUUCCAAUCAAUCCAUUGGGCUAUUCCUAUAAGUGUCACAAACAGCCCUAGAGUUCGUACUAGAAUAACACCUUAAGAUACAAAUCAACCAAAACCCUAAUGUCACCUAGAUACUCCAAUGUCACCUCAAGUAUCUGUGGGCAUGAUUAUACGAUAUGCAUCACACAAUCUUAGAUUCAUCUAUUCAACCAACACAAAGGACCUCAAAGAGUGCCCCAAAGUUCUACCAGAGAAUCACGACGAAAACGUGUGCCAACCCCUAUGCAUAGGUUCAUGAACCCGCAAGUUGGUCACCUUAACAUACAUCAAGUGGCACAUGGUAUCCCAUUGUCACCACAGAUAUCCACGGCAAGACAUACAUCAAGUGUUCUCAAAUCUUUAAAGACUCAAUCCGAUAAGAUUACUUCAAGGGGAAAACUCAAUUCAUUACAAGAGAGAAGAGGGGGGGAGGAGAAACAUAAGAUCCAACUAUAAUAGCAAAGCUCGCGAUAAAUCAAGAUCGUAUCAUCUCAAGAACACGAGAGAGAGAGAGAGAGAGAGAGAGAGAGAGAGAGAGAGAGAUCAAACACAUAGCUACUGGUACAUACCCUCAGCCCCGAGGGAGAACUACUCCCUCCUCGUCAUGGAGAGCACCGGGAUGAUGAAGAUGGCCACCGGUGAGGGUUCCCCCCUCCGGCAGGGUGCCGGAACAGGGUCCUGAUUGACUUCUGGUGGCUACGGAGGCUUCUGGUGGCGGAACUCUCGAUAUAUGUUGCGUUCUAGAAGUUUUAGGAUAUAUGGAGUUAUAUAGGCAGAAGAAGCACGUAAGGGGAGCCACGGGGGCCCCACGAGGCAGGGGGGUGCGCCCUAGGGGGGCGCCCCCCACCCUCGUGGGCAGCUCCCGUAUCUUCUGACGUGGGGUCCAAGUCCAUCAGGUGUGUUUCCUUCCAAAAAUAACUUCUCCAGUUAAUUUUGUUCCGUUUCGACUCCGUCUGAUAUUCCUUUUCUUCAAAACACUGAAAUAGGCAUAAAGCAGCAAAUCUGGGCUGGGCCUCCGGUUAAUAGGUUAGUCCCAAAAAUAAUAUACAAGUGGAUAAUAAAGCCCAAUAUUGCCUAAAACAGUAGAUAAUAUAGCAUGGAGCAAUCAAAAAUUAUAGAUAUGUUGGAGACGUAUCAGGGUGGUGCCUGGUUUCAAGUCAAUGAUGAAUUCGACAGCUCUAGCAGGGGGAUCCCUGGAAGUUCCACAGGAAAGACGUCUUGGAAUUUGCGAACGAUGGGAAUGUUUUCAAUGCCCUUGAGUGGUGCUGCGUUCAAUGCAUUCAAGGCAUAAAGCCGUGCCUCGGCAUUCUGAACUAGAUGAGCCUGGUAAGUAACUAUUUCAUCAGAAGGGUGUAGCAGAUGGACGGUCUUAGUGGCGCAAACUAUAGAAGUAUGCGCUUUAAACCAAUCCAUUCCUGGAAUGAGGUCAAUGUUAGAUGACUGCAGCAUAAUGGGAGAGGCAUAGAAUUCCAGCUCUUCAAUUUCCACGGGGACGUCGAUGCCAAACAUGGAGGUUUGACAUUGUCCCACGGGGGUUUUUACCACUACCGAAGUGUUCAUCUCCUCACAUGUAACGUCGUGCUUGUAUGCAAAAUCUUCUGACAUGAAUGAAUGCGAUGCUCCCGAAUUGAAUAAAACAGAUCCAGGUACUUAAUUUACGAGGAGUGUACCCAUCACAGUAGCAGGCUGGUCUUGAGCUUCAUUGAAAUCAAGUGGUUGGCAUGAACACGACUAUAAGGCUUUGGCAUUGUUGUUGCGGGCCUGGUUGUUUCCACGGCCAGCUACAGGAAGGGCCAAUUAGUUCUCGUUCUGAUUUUGAUAGCAGUUCCUGGCAAGGUGACCCGGUUGACCAUGCUUGUAGCACAGACCAUUAUUAGGAGUGGGAACAAGAGUUCGAGGUGGUGGGAUGGAAGUCUUGGUUGCCUAGUUGGUGGGGGAGGCAGAUGCGGUGCAGCAUAGGACUGCCUUGGAGCAGGUGCAGCUGGCUAGUACAUGCUGUUGGGAAUCCAUAUCCUACGCUUCUGCGAGGGCUGGCCCGAAGAUGAGCCCGUGUCACGGUUGCGCCUGUGAGAGCUCUGGUGUUCUUGUAGACCAGUUUUGACAUUGAUGGCCUUGUUCACCAAGGUGGCGGAAUCAGCAAAGUCAUGCACUAGAAGGGCGAGCCUGUUGUCAGCUUGAAGGACAUCACGGAACUUCUCCUGUCUGUGUGCAUCAGUUGCAAUGUCUUCUUCGGCAUAGCGGGAUAAAUACAGAAACUCCCGGUUAUAAGCUUCCAUAGUUUUGUUGCCUUGGGUGAGGUUGUGGAACUCGCGCUUCUUCCGGUCCAUGACUCCCUAAGGAAUGAAGUGGGAAUGGAAAGCAGCUUGGAAAUCUGGCCAGGUGAUGAUUGUUCCAACCGGCAGAGUACGCCUGUGGGUGUCCCACCAUUGAGCAGUGGGUCCUUUCAGGAAGAAGGAAGCAAAUGUGACAUAGCUGGCAGGAGCUACAUCAGCAGACUCCAUCUCAUAGGUGAUGUCAUGGAGCCAGUCAUCAGCAUCUAGAGGCUGAGUUGAGCUGUUGUACAGUUGGGUUGAGGCGCAUGAAAUCCUGCAGAGUCACCUGGGCUGGCUGCUGGUUCAUAUUGGGGCGAGUAAACUGAGCCAUAAUAUUAUCCAUGAACUGACGAUUCAGCUCGAAUUGUUGCAUCAUACCAGCCAUGUACUCAGGCGGUGGUGGGGGAUGGCCACCACGACCACGACCACCUGGUCUAAGCAUCCUGCUAAACUAUAACAGGGAUAGUUCAGUAUUGAGAAAUUUGCAAAGACAAGCAUCAUUCACGAUGAAGCAUGCACAAUGAAAUAAGCACGAUAGAUACUACAUAGUAGUCGGCAUAUCUUACAAAAGGGAUCAUGCAUAGAGUUCGGUACACAGAGUUCAGUACAUAUACUAAAGACAUCAUAGGCGGCACGCAGGCUCACGACGAAGGCACCUAAUACUAAUAAGCAACACUACAUCAGUCCCAGGAGGAACUAUGGAGGUAGGUGUAGCCUGACAGCUGGUAGUGACGCGACGGGAAGUCCUCCACGUCAGUAGCCUGGGGUCUGCGGAUACUCUGGUGCAGAACCCGGCGCUCAGGUGGCAGAAGAGGACUAAGUGCGGGAGAGUAGCCUCCCAGAUCUGGCCAGCCGACACCCUGGGGCAUCAUGGUCCUAGCUGGGUAGAUCACAGAAUGCGACAAAUCACCAGAUCGGACAAGGGGGUGCAAUAGUGUCAGAGCACGAUAAAGGUGCUGACGGGUGGUGUACAACUCAUGAUGAAGAGCUCGGUUAGCUCUAUCCAGCCCAUCAGCAUGUAGAACCAGGUUCUGAUGGUAGAAGGGCUCUCGGGUGAUGGUGGAGUAGGUAGCAGUGUAGUAUCCCUCCGCACCAACAUCGGAUGCGAUAGCAAUGUGCCUGAAAGGGGAGGUGUCCAACUCCCGAUACUCUCCACGAAGACGUGUGAGAGCAGCAUAAGCAGCAUCGUGGACUGCCAUGUCGAUAGUCACUCCAACACCAUGAGGAGUGUGCAGCACGGUAGUGGUGUCAUACUCCCGAGAGUAGAGGUGGACGAUGGCACGGUACUGCUCUUGGUUAAAGUCCUGGUACUGCUCGUACACGGUGUACUCAGGGUGCCAGCGAUAACCCAGAUAGGUCAUCAUCUCAGCUAACACGGCAGGUGAUCCCGAGACACCAAUGGUCGUCGUGUGGCACAUGACCUACCUCGUGGGUUCCAUCUGAAAACAAAGAUGUUUCAAAGGAGUCAAAUGACAGUGUGGAUAUUGUUCAAUAUACUACUCUAAGGAAUAAAUAGGGCUUAUCCAACUUUGGGGUGAAUGUGGUCACGGGAUCCUAAUGUUAGAGUUAGUAAAUUUGUUUAACCUGAGUAGAAGAGAGUUCAGAGUCCCAGAGUAAAGAUCGAGGAGUAAAAGAUCCUAAUACCACCCAAAUGGCAACGUGGGCCCGUACGACACACAACCAUGUUAGUAAAAAGUUUUGCAAUGUAUAGACUCAACUUCAGCCAAGGAGUGUGGAAGGGGGAUUCCUACAUGCAGUCGGCUCUGAUACCAACUUGUGACGCCCCCGAUUCAAUCGGACACUAAUCAUACACGCAAACAUGUAUGAUCAAGAUCAGGGACUCACAGGAAGAUAUCACAACACAACUCUACAAAUAACAUAAGUCAUCCAAGCAUCAUAUUACAAGCCAGGGGCCUCGAGGGCUCGAAUACAAGAGCUCGAUCAUAGACAAGUCAACGGAAGCAACAAUAUCUGAGUACAGACAUAAGUAAACAAGUUUGCCUUAGGAAGGCUAGCACAAACUAGGAUACAGAACUAAAGAGGCGUAGGCCUCCUGCCUGGGAUCCUCCUAAACUACUCCUGGUCGUCGUCAGCGGCCUGCACGUAGUAGUAGGCACCUCCAGUGUAGGAGUCGUCAUCGACGGUGGCGUCUGGCUCCUGGACUCCAACGUCUGGUCGCAACAACCGGGUAUAGAAAGGGGGAAAAGGGGGAGCAAAGCAACCGUGAGUACUCAUCCAAAGUACUCGCAAGCAAGGAGCUACACUACAUAUGCAUCGACAUUAAUGAAAGGGGUAGUAUAUGUGGACUGAACUGCAGAAUGCCGGAAUAAGAGGGGGAUAGCUAGUCCUAUCGAAGACUAUGCUUCUGGCCGCCUCCAUCUUGCAGCAUGUAUAAGAGAGUAGAUGGUAAGUUCACCAAGUAACAUCGCAUAGCAUAAUCCUACCCGGUGAUCCUCCCCUCGUCGCCCUGUGAGAGAGCGAUCAUUGGGUUGUAUCUGGCACUUGGCAGGGUGCAUUUUAUUAAGUAUCCAGUUCUAGUUGUCAUAAGGUCAAGGUACAACUCCGGGUCGUCCUUUACCGAGGGACAUGGCCAUUCGAAUAGAUAACCUUCCUUGCAGGGGUGCACCACAUUUCCCAACACGCUCGAUCCCCUUGGGCCGGACACACUUUCCUGGGUCAUGCCAGGCCUUGGAAGAUCAACAUGUCGCAGCCCCACCUAGGCACAACAGAGAUGUCAGCACGCCAGUCUAAAUCCUAAGCGCGCAGGGAUUUGGGCCCAUCGCCCAUUGCACACCUGCACGUUGCGUGCGCGGCCGGUGAGCAGACCUAGCAACCUCCAUUACAAAGGAAGUUGCGGUACACGGUCCAACCCGGCGCGUGCCGCUCAGUCGCUGAUGUCACGAAGGCUUCGGCUGAUACCACAAUGUCGAGUGCCCAUAACUGUUCCCGCGUAGUUGGUUAGUGCAUAUAGGCCAGUGGCCAGACUCAGAUCAAAUACCAAGAUCUCAUUAAGCAUGUUAUCUUGAAGUAACUGCGAACGCCGACCAGGGCCAGGCCCACCUCUCUCCUGGGUGGUCUCAACCUGCCCUGUCGCUCCGUCACAAAGAUCCACCCAGGGGGCCGUGGGGACAAAGGUCCUUUCAGCCCCCAAUCUGUGAAUCACUCGCAGGUACUCUACGAGCCGACCCGUCUUUAGUCAUCACAUGUAUCAUGCAUAUGUAUAUAAUUAUAUACCCGUGAUCACCUCCCUAGUGAUCAUGGCCCGAUAGUAUAGCACGGCAGACGGACAAGAAUGUAGGGCCACUGAUGAUAAACUAGCAUCCUAUACUAAGCAUUUAGCAUUGCAGGUAAGGUAUCAACAACUGUAGCAACAAUGACAGGCUAUGCAUCAAAAUAGGAUUAACGGAAAGAAGUAACAAGCUACACUACUCUAAUGCAAGCAGUAGAGAGAAGAAUAGGCGAUAUCUGGUGAUCAGGGGGGCUUGUCUGGUUGCUCUGGCAAGUAGGGGUCGUCAACAACGUAGUCGACCUGGGGCACCAGCAGCGGCGUCAGUCUCGUAGUCUACCGGAGAGAAGAGGGGGAAGAAACAAUGAAUACAAUGCAAACAGAUGCAUAUCGAUGCAUGACAUGACGAGUAACGGUGCUAGGUGUGCCCUAACGUAGUAGGAGGUGAUACCAACGAAGGGGGAAAACAACCGGGAAAGUAUCCCCGGUGUUUCGCAUUUUCAGACAGAUGAACUUGAGGGGGAAAGUUGCGUGUUCGCUAUGCUAGAGAUUUGUGGCGGACGAACGGGCUGUGUAUUCGGAUUCGUCUCGUCGUUCUAAGCAACUUUCUUGUACAAGGUUUUUCCAUUCGAGCUAUGGUUUAUUUUAUAUUAAUUUUAAAAGAUUUAAAUCAUUUUUAGCAUUUAUUUAAUUAUUUUAAUUCAACAUUAUCCAGAAUAGUACUUGCUGAUGUCAGCAUGACAUCAGCAGUCAACAGGGUGUUGACUUAGUCAACUGACGUGUGGGUCCCGACUGUCAUUGAUUGAUUAAUUAACUAAUAGUUAAUUAGGUUAAUUAAUGAUUAGAUUAAUCUAAUUAUGAUUAAUUAAAUUAAUUAAUUCUUUAAUUAAUUAAUUGUUGUUUUUAAAUUGUUUUUAAACGUUCUGGGGCUAGGCCCCACAUGUCAUUGGUCCAGAAGGGCCGAUGCGGGCUAACGGGCGCGGGUGCAGGCGACGGGUAUGGGCGCUACCCGGGCGGAGGCCAAACCCACCUAGGUGCGGGAUGACGCCGGCGAGGAGCCACCAGUGGGCGCGUGGGCCAGCCGGAGCUGCCCGGCAGCGGCGAGCAGAGGGGGCGGCGCGGCAAGCGACGGCCAUCGCGAAAAGCAGCAGCAAGCGAGCAGCGGGGCGAGUCGGGCGGAGCGGGCGCGCAGGUCAGGCGAAGGCGGGGCGUAGGUAGCGGCAGCGCUCGGGUGCCAACGGGAGGCAUGCGGGCGCGGGCGGCAGCGACAAGGGCGGGCGCACGCUGAAGGGAAGCAGGGCGCAACCAGCAUGGGCGGGCUCGUGGCCAGGGGCGAUCGAGGCUAGUCGGACGACGGCGGACGCGAGGUGUGAGGCGGCGACAGACAGCGGUGCAGUCGGUGAGUGGACAGGGGCGGAGCAAUGCGGUGGCUGCGGCUGCCGCGGAGCUGCGAUAGGCGACGGCGGGGCCGAAGUAGCAACGACAAAGAAGGCGAGGUGGCUACGGCUAUGUCCGACGUGAGGAGAGGGGAGAGGGAAGAGGGGAGAGGCCGGAGCCUCACCGCGAGGCUGUCGGGCAAUGGCAGCAGGGUUCGGGGACGGGGACGACAGCGACGAGGUCAGGGCGGUGGCAUCCGCCGAAGUGGUCCUCCAGGCGAUAGUGACGGCAAGGAGGCGACGGGGUGGCUCCGGCGAGGCUCGCGGAUCUCCAGACGGCGGUAGAAGCAGGGUGAUGGCAGUCGAGGGGGUCGCCUGCCCCCAAUCCAGAUCGGGGGGGGCGAGAAAGACAUGGGUGGGAAGUGGGGGCGUGGGCGGAUAGGGUUUCGGGAGGGAGUGGGGAUAAGGGAGUGGGGUGUGGGGUGGGCCGGCCGGCUGGGCCUUUGCCCAGUUGGGCUGGCCAGCUGGGCCACAGAUGGCCCAGUGGGGGGGGCUCUGUCUUUUGUUCUUUUUAUUUUCUAUUUUGUAUUUUAUUUUCCCUUUUUGUUUUAUUUAACUUAGGGCAUUUAAGUAUUUUAUAAAUUUGUGUUUUCUUUACUAUAAUUACCUUUGUAAUAUUCGGCACAAACCGAACAUUUUUGUUCUCAUGUUUGAAAACUUUUGAUGUUUGACAAUAUUUAAAUUUUGAAUUUGAAAAGUUUCGAACUGACGUGAGAUUAAACAAUGACGGAGGUGACGUGUCAUAUAUAACAGAGGUUUACUGUAGCCUAAUUAUCCGGGCGUUACAGCGGUUUCCCUAAAUCUCAAAAACUUCAUCCACACAAAAUUCAAUAAGAACUCGUGAGAUAAGUUACUAUAAAUCCAUGCAAAACCUUAUCAUUCUCAACUGUAGAAAAUCACUAAAAUUAUAAUUUGACAUUGCAUACUAAAUGCCUCUGCAUAUUUAAGAGUCCCAAACAUAUGCAAACAAUGCAAACAUAACAGUAAUCUGCCUAAACAGAACAAUCUGUAAAUAAUGCAAGAGGAAUCAUACUUCUUAACUCCAAAAAUUCUAAAAAAUUAACACACUGUAGAUAAUUUGUUUUUACUCAUUGUGUGAAAAUUUCAAGAUUUUAUCAUGUUCUAACUAUUCACGAAUAUUCAAAACAUAACAACAAACUUUCUGUUUUCAAACAGCAACAUAUAUACUUGUAAAAUAAGCAUGGUAAAGGCUAUACUUGACCUUUUUAUUGAAAUAAAAGAUGCAAAACAUUACUCUAAAUAACAGCAAGCAAAUCCUAAUAAAAGAAAAUGACGCUCCAAGCAAAACUCAUAUCAUGUGGUGAAUAAAAAUAUAGCCUCAAGUAAAUUUACUGAUGAACGAAGACGAAAGAGGGGAUGCCAUCCAGGGCAUCCCUAAGCUUAGAUGCUUAGUUGUCCUUGAACUUUACCUUGGGGUGUCUUGGGCAUCCCCAAUCUUAGGCUAUUUCCACUCCUUAUUCCGUAAUUCAUCGAAACUUUACCCAAAACUUGAAAACUUCACAACAUAAAAUUUAACAGAAAACUCGUAAGCUCCAUUAGUAUAAUAAAGCAAAUCACCACCUAGGUACUGUUGUGAACUCAUUCUAAAAUUAUAUUGGUAUUAUAUCUACUGCAUUCCAACUUCUCCAUGGUUCAUACCCUCUCAUACUACUCAUAGAUUCAUCAAAAUAAGGAAACAACACAUAGAAAACAAAAUCUGUCAAAAACAGGACAAUCUGUAAUAAUCUGUAACUCUCGAAUACUUCUAUAACUCCAAAAUUCUGAAAAUUUAGGACAACCUGAGAAAUUUGUUUAUUAAUCUUCUGAAAAAGAAUCAGUUUUUUAUCGCGCUUAUGCUAAAAAUGAGAAUUUUUUCCUGAGCGCAAAAGUUUUUGUUUUUCAGCAAGUCAAAUCAACUAUCACCAUAGAUCAUCCCAAAGGUCUUACUUGGCACCUUAUUGAAACAAAAGCUAUAAAACAUGAUUACUACAAUAGCAUAAUCAUGUGAACACACGAAAACAGUAGGUAUAAAUGUUGGGUUGUCUCCCAACAAGCGUUUUUCUUUAAUGCCUUUUUAGCUAGGCAUGAUGAUUUCAAUGAUGCUCACAUAAAAGAUAAGAAUUGAAACAUAAUGGGAGCAUCAUGAAGAAUAUGACUAGCACAUUUAAGUCUAACCCUCUUCCUAAGCAUAGGGAUUUUGUGAUCAAAUAUCUUAUGGGAGCAACAAUCAACUAGCAUAGGAAGGCAAAACAAGCAUAAAUUCAAGAUUUCCAACACAUAAAGAGGAAACUUGAUAUUAUUGCAACUCCUACAAGCAUAUAUUCCUCCUUCAUAAUAAUUUUCAGUAGCAUCAUGAAUGAAUUCAACAAUAUAACCAUCACAUGAGCAUUAUUUUCAUGAUGCAUAAACAUAGAAAUUUUAUUACUCACCACAUAAGCAAAUUUAUUCUCAUCAAUAGUAGUGGGAGCAAACUCAACAAAAUAACUAUCAUGUGAGGCAUAAUCCAAUUGAAAAUUAAAAUCAUGAUGACAAGUUUCAUGGUUACCAUUAUUCUUUAUAGCAUACAUGUCAUCAAAAUAAUGAUCAUAAAUAGCAACUCUGUUCUCAUAAUCAAUUAGAACCUCUUCCGAAAUAGUGGAUUCAUCACUAAAUAGAGUCAUGACCUCUCCAAAUCCACUUUCAUAAAUAUUAUAAGAUUGAACACCCUCCAAAAUAGUGGGAUCAUUACCUAGAGUUGACACUCUUCCAAACCCACUUUCAUCAAUAUAAUCAUCAUAAAUAGAAGGCAUGCUAUCAUCAUAAUAAAUUUGCUCAUAAAAACUUGGGGGAGAAAAAAUAUAAUCUUCAUCAAACAUAGCAUCCCCAAGCUUGUGGAUUUAAUUUGCAUAUCAUUAACAUUAUGGAUAUUCAAAGAAUUCAUACUAACAACAUUGCAAUCAUGCUCAUCAUUCAAAGAUUUAGUGCCAAACAUUUUAUAAACUUCUUCUUCUAACACUUGGGCACAAUUUUCCUUUCCAUCGUUUUCACGAAAGAUAUUAAAAAGAUGAAGCAUAUGAGGUAACCUCAAUUCCAUUUUUUUGUUUUCUUUUAUAAACUAAACUAGUGAUAAAACAAGAAAAUAAAAGAUUCAAUUGCAAGAUCUCAAGAUAUACCUUCAAGCACUAACCUCCCCGGCAACGGCGCCAGAAAAAUAGCUUGAUGUCUACUACACAAUCUUCUUCUUGUAGACUCGUGUUGGGCCUCCAAGCGCAGACUUUUGUAGGACAGUAGCAAAUUUCCCUCAAGUGGAUGACCUAAGGUUUAUCAAUCCGUGGGAGGUGUAGGAUGAAGAUGGUCACUCUCAAACAACCCUGCAACCAAAUAACAAAGAGCCUCUUGUGUCCCCAACACACCCAAUACAAUGAUAAAUUAUAUAAGUGCACUAUUUCAGCGAAGAGAUGGUGAUACAAGUGCAAUAUGGAUAGUAGAUAUAGGUUUUUGUAAUCUGGAAAUAUAAAAACAGCAAGGUAGAAACUAACAAAAGUGAGCGAAAAUGGUAUUGCAAUGCUUCGAAACAAGGCCUAGGGUUCAUACUUUCACUAGUGCAAGUUCUCUCAACAAUGAUAACAUAAUUAGAUUAUAUAACAAUCCCUCAACGUGCAACAAAGAGUCACACCAAAGACACUAAUAGCGGAGAAUAAAUGAAGAGAUUAAUGUAGGGUAGGAAACCACCUCAAAGUUAUUUUUUCUGAUCGAUCUAUUGGGCUAUUCUUAUUAGUGUCACAAACAGCCCUAGAGUUCGUACUAAAAUAACACCCUAAGACACACAUCAACCAAAACCCUAAUGUCACCUAGAUACUCCAUCUCAGAUUCAUCUAUUCAAACCAACACAAAGAACUUCAAAGAGUGCCCCAAAGUUUCUACCGGAGAGUCAAGACGAAAACAUGUGCCAACCCCUAUGCAUAAGUUCGCAAGGUCACAGAACCCGCAAGUUGAUCACCAAAACAUACAUCAAGUAGAUCGCGUGAAUAUCCCAUUGUCACCAUAGAUAAGUACAUGCAAGACAUACAUCAAGUGUUCUCGAAUCCUUAAAGACUCAAUCCGAUCAGAUAACUUCAAAGAGAAAACUCAAUCCAUUACAAGAAGGUAGAGGGGGAGAAACAUCAUAAGAUCCAACUAUAAUAGCAAAGAUCACGGUACAUCAAGCUCAUGCCAAAUCAAGAACAUGAGAGAGAGAGAGAGAGAGAUCAAACACAUAGCUACUGGUACAUACCCUCAGCCCCGAGGAUGAACUACUCCCUCCUCGUCAUGGAGAGCGUCGGGAUGAUGAAGAUAGCCACGGGUGAUGAUUUCCCCCUCUGGCAGGGUGCCGGAACAAGAUCCCGAUUGGUUUUUGGUGGCUAUAGAGGCUUGCGGCGGCGGAACUCCCGAUCUAGGUUUUGUUCUGGGGGUUUUGGGAUUUAUAAGAGUCGUUGGCGUCGGGAACAAGUCAGGGGGCCCCACGAGUCAACCACAAGGACGGGGGGCGAGCCCUAGGGGGGGCGCCCUCCACCCUUGUGGUGGCCUCGGGACUCUUCUCUGAUAACUUUUCGUUCUAGUAUUUUUCAUAUUUUCCAAGAAUAAUCUCCGUAAAUUUUCAGGUCAUUUGGACUCCGUUUGAUAUUCCUUUUCUGCGAAACUCAAAAACAAGGAAAAAAGAGAAACUGGCACUGGGCUCUAGGUUAAUAGGUUAGUCCCAAAAAUCAUAUAAAAUAGCAUAUAAAUGCAUAUAAAACAUCCAAGAUAGAUAAUAUAAUAGCAUGGAACAUUCAAAAAUUAUAGAUACAUUGGAGACGUAUCAGAUGGCCAAUGCUCCUUAGAGGAGGUCGCAUCUAUGGUACCAAUGUAGUGCAUGUUGAUAAGGAGAGAGGUAUCUUCCUGUGAACAAAGCGUGUUAUCCGGACCCACACCUUUGAAGGGAACAUAGGUCGGCAUAGCCUCGGAAAAUGUGUUCACCAUACGAGGAGUGAGACCCAUCGUACACCUAGUUUUUAAGGACUCGGGGUUUUUGGUGGUCUCUAGGUGGACCAUGAGAACGGUCACCAGUACGUUUCCCAGGUUCGAGGUCGAAGGUAGAUAAAAAUGCUUUGUACACGGGAGAAACCUUCCUUAGUACUACACUUGCAACUUUACUAAAGAUGCCAAGACCUUCCUCUGUUUGGGAAGGAAUGUGCGCCUUUGCGCAACUUCCUUGGGCCAUUAGUGCUUCACGAACUGUCCUCUUCUUGGGAGCCAACAGUUCAAGAUACUUGGCCAGCCUCGAAUGAGAUCUCGUAGUGAGCCCCAUUCCGAGCAUCCAUCUUGAGAAAGAUGGACCCCUCCUUCCAACUUUUCCCGCCUUUCGCCCCUUCCGUGGAAGUCCGUCCAGCGUCAUCUUGACGGCGCUCAUGCCGGCUGAUGUCUACUACGCAACCUUCUUCUUGUAGACUCGUGUUGGGCCUCCAAGCGCAGAGUUUUGUAGGAUAGUAGCAAAUUUCCCUCAAGUGACCUAAGGUUUAUCAAUCCAUGGGAGGCGUAGGAUGAAGAUGGUCUCUCAACAACCCUGCAACCAAAUAACAAAGAGUCUCUUGUGUCCUCAACACACUCAAUACAAUGGUAAGUUGUAUAGGUGCACUAGUUCGGCGAAGAGAUGGUGAUACAAGUGUAAUAUGGAUGGUAGAUAUAGGUUUUUGUAAUCUGAAAAUAUAAAACAGCAAGGUAACUAGUAACGAAAGUGAGCGAAAACGGUAUAGCAAUGCUUCGAAACAUGGCCUAGGGUUCAUAUUUUCACUAGUGCAAGUUCUCUCAAGAGUGAUAACAUAAUUAGAUCAUAUAACAAUCCCUCAACAUGCAACAAAGAGUCACUCCAAAGUCACUAAUAGCGGAGAAUAAACAAAGAGAUUACAGUAGGGUACGAAACCACCUCAAAGUUAUUCUUUCUGAUCUAUCUAUUGGGCUAUUCCUAUAAGUGUCACAAACAACCCUAGAAUUCAUACUAAAAUAACACCUUAAGACACACAUCAACCAAAACGCUAAUGUCACUUAGAUACUCCAAUGUCUCCACAAGUAUCCGCGGGUUUCAUUAUAUGACAUGCAUCACACAAUCUCAGGUUCAUCUAUUCAAACCAACACAAAGAACUUCAAAGGGUGCCCCAAAGUUUCUACCGGAGAGUCAAGACGAAAACGUGUGUCAAUCCCUAUGUAUAGGUUCACAAGGUCACAUAACCCGCAAGUUGAUCACCAAAACAUACAUCAAGUAUAUCACGCGAAUAUCCCAUUGUCACCACAGAUAAGCACAUGCAAUACAUACAUCAAGUGUUCUCAAAUCCUUAAAGACUCAAUCCAAUAAGAUAACUUCAAAGGGAAAACUGAAUCCAUUACAAGAAGGUAGAGGGGGAGAAACAUCAUAAGAUCCAACUAUAAUAGCAAAGCUCGCGGAAUAUCAAGAUCGUGCCCAAUCAAGAACGCGUGAGAGAGAGAGAUCAAACACAUAGCUACUGGUACAUACCCUCAGCCCCGAGGGUGAACUACUCCCUCCUCGUCAUGGAGAUCGUCGGGAUGAUGAAGAUGGCCAUCGGUGAUGGUUUCCCCCUUCGGCACGAUGCCGGAACAGGCUCCCAAUUGGUUUUUCGUGGCUACAGAGGCUUGCGGCAGCGGAACUCCCGAUCUAGGUUCUGUUCUGGGGUUUUGGGAUUUAUAAGAGGCGUUGGCGUCGGGAACAAGUCAGGGGGGGCCCACGAGGAGCCCACAAGGACGGAGGGCGCGCCCUAGGCGGUGGGGGUGCCCUCCACCCUUGUGGACUCCACGUGGCUCUUCUCCAAUAUCUUUUCAUUCCAGUACUUCUUAUAUUUUCUAAAAAUAAUCUCCGUAAAUUUUCAGGUCAAUUGGACUUCGUUUGAUAUUCCUUUUCUGCGAAACUCAAAAACAAGGGAAAAACAAAAACUGGCACUGGGCUCUAGGUUAAUAGGUUAGUCCCAAAAAUCAUAUAAAAUAGCAUAUAAAUGCAUAUAAAACAUCCAAGAUAUAGUAUAAUAGCAUGGAACAAUAAAAAAUUAUAGAUACGUUGAAGACAUAUCACCAGCAAGCCCAUGAAGAGGGACCAGCUACAUCGGCCCAAGUGCACUUAUAUGCGAUGUGAUAGAGCUUAACAAGUGUGGGCACUUCACAAGGAGCAAGCUUGUCACAAACAUUGGCGUUUCAGACGCCUGCACAAAAUGCAUCGAGGAUGCCCUUGUGCGGGAGGUCUCGGACUUGACGUUUGACCUGGCAAAAUUGCUGGGUGAAUUCUUCAAGGGAUUCACCGGGCCGUUAUCUCAGCUGGAAAGCUCAGAAGGUGGUACUCCUACUUCCUGUCGGAUGGGUGGAGAAGGCGAAGCACUCCCUUCUGCUGUGUGGGAGCAGGACAAAGGGCACCGCUCCGAGGCAAAGCACAAAUCUUGGUGACUCCCGCGAAGACGCGGCCUUGGGUGAGCCCCCUGGCGGCGAGGGCGCGGGGCUAAACCGUUGGCGUGCGCUGCGCUGCUCACGUUCAAGUCCUUGCCGGCCGACGACGUUGCGCGAACACUCCCUCGCCAUCUUGAAAAGCUCAUGAUGAUGAAUUUUGUGUCAACAAAGACGUUGGCGGCUUUGUUGAUGUAAAUCUGCACGAGCAUCCCCUAUCCGCCGCGCCAGAUGUCAGGGCGCGUGUGCGGAACACACUCGUGACACCGUGGACAAGAGACAUCCUUCUGCUAGUUCGGAAUCGGGGCACGAAGACACGGACCUACACUACCAAAUCAUGCAUAAUGGGCACGGUGAUUUAUCCAGGUUCGGGCCGCAUGGUGCGUAAUACGUUACUCCUGUUUUUGGUGUGUGUUUUUAUGGGUGGAUUAGAGCUACAAAACCUUCCCGGGAACAGUGAGGACAGUGUAUCCCUACUGGCGUUCUACUAAGUGUCCAACCUCUUAGCUAUUUGCCUCUUUUUUGGUUCUCUCGGCCCCCCUCUCCUCCUCUUGGCCUGGCCGUCCUUUUAUACUUUAAGGGCUACCACAGAUGGCUUCGAGGCUAAAGGAAGUGACAUCAAUCGAACCAGGUAGGUGGAUGCAUUAAUUGCGUGAUGAGGUGUCAUCGCCUUAUGUCUUUCGGGAACGGACCCCUGUCUUAUCAAAACCGACCUAGAUGACACCUGCUGGAAGCAUGACACGUCUCGGCACUUGCACCAUGCGGCGGCGUGGGUGAGUGAGUCACCCCUUGCGUCUUGUCCACCGCCUGGCACGCCUGCCCACCGGCCGCGUGGCAUGAGAGCCCUGCUGUUGGGUUUCGCAGUAAUUUCAAAAAAUUUCCUACGCACACGCAAGAUCAUGUGAUGCAUAGCAACGAGGGGGAGAGUGUUGUCUAUGUACCCAACGCAGACCGACUGCGGAAGCGCUGACACGACGUAGAGGAAGUAGUCGCACGUCUUCACGAUCCAACCGAUCAAGCACCGAAACUACAGCACCUCCGAGUUCGAGCACACGUUCAGCUCGAUGACGAUCCCCGGACUCCGAUCCAGCAAAGUUUCGGGGAAGAGUUCCGUCAGCACGACGGUGUGGUGACGAUCUUGAUGUACUACAGCAGCAGGGCUUCGCCUAAACUCCGCUACAGUAUUAUCGAGGAAUAUGGUGGCACGGGGCACCGCACACGGCUAAGGAAUAGAUCACGUGGAUCAACUCAUGUGUUUCUGGGGUGCCUCUGCCUCAGUAUAUAAAGGAGCCAAGGGGGGAGGGGGCGCCGGCCAAGGAGGAGGGCGCGGGAGGAGUCCUACUCCUUCCGGGAGUAGGACUCCCCUCCAAUCCUAUUCCAACUAGGAUUCCCCAAAGUGGAAAAGAGGGAGAGGGGGGCCGGCCACCUUCUCCUAGUCCUAAUAGGACUAGGGGAGGGGGAAGUGGCGCAGCCACCUUGGGCUGCCCCUUUAUCCUUUCCACUAAGGCCCAUGAAGGCCCAUAUGGUUCCCGGGGGGUUCCGGUAACCUCCGGGUAACCCGGUAAAAUCCCGAUUUCACCCGGAACACUUCCGAUGUCCAAAUAUAGGCUUCCAAUAUAUCAAUCUUUACGUCUCGACCAUUUCGAGACUCCUCGUCAUGUCCGUGAUCACAUCCGGGACUCCGAACAACCUUCGGUACAUCAAAAUGCAUAAACUCAUAAUAUAACUGUCAUCGUAACCUUAAGCGUGCGGACCCUACGGGUUCGAGAACAAUGUAGACAUGACCGAGACACGUCUCCGGUCAAUGACCAAUAGCGGGACCUGGAUGCCCAUAUUGGCUCCUACAUAUUCUACGAAGAUCUUUAUCGGUCAGACCGCAUAACAACAUACGUUGUUCCCUUUGUCAUCGGUAUGUUACUUGCCCGAGAUUCGAUCGUCGGUAUCCAAUACCUAGUUCAAUCUCGUUACCGGCAAGUCUCUUUACUCGUUCCGUAAUACAUCAUCUCACAACUAACAUAUUAGUUGUAAUGCUUGCAAGGCUUAUGUGAUGUGUAUUACCGAGAGGGCCCAGAGAUACCUCUCCGACAAUCGGAGUGACAAAUCCUAAUCUCGAAAUACGCCAACCCAACAUCUACCUUUGGAGACACCUGUAAUGCUCCUUUAUAAUCACCCAGUUGCGUUGUGACGUUUGGUAGCACCCAAAGUGUUCCUCUGGCAAACGGGAGUUGCAUAAUCUCAUAGUCAUAGGAACAUGUAUAAGUCAUGAAGAAAGCAAUAGCAACAUACUAAACGAUCGGGUGCUAAGCUAAUGGAAUGGGUCAUGUCAAUCAGAUCAUUCAACUAAUGAUGUGACCUCGUUAAUCAAAUAACAACUCAUUGUUCAUGGUCAGGAAACAUAACCAUCUUUGAUUAACGAGCUAGUCAAGUAGAGGCAUACUAGUGACACUUUGUUUGUCUAUGUAUUCACACAUGUAUUAUGUUUCCGGUUAAUACAAUUCUAGCAUGAAUAAUAAACAUUUAUCAUGAUUAUAAGGAAAUAAAUAAUAACUUCAUUAUUGCCUCUAGGGCAUAUUUCCUUCAGUCUCCCACUUGCACUAGAGUCAAUAAUCUAGAUUACACUGUAAUGAUUCUAACACCCAUGGAGCUUUGGCGAUGAUCAUGUUUUGCUCGUGGAAGAGGCUUAGUCAACGGGUCUGCAACAUUUAGAUUCGUAUGUAUCUUGCAAAUCUCUAUGUCUCCCACCUGGACUAGAUCCCGGAUGGAGUUGAAGCAUCUCUUGAUGUGUUUGGUCCUUUUGUGAAAUCUGGAUUCCUUUGCCAAGGCAAUUGCACCAGUAUUGUCACAAAAGAUUUUCAUUGGACCCGAUGCAUUAGGUAUGACACCUAGAUCGGAUAUGAACUCCUUCAUCCAGACUCCUUCGUUCGCUGCUUCUGAAGCAGCUAUGUACUCCGCUUCACAUGUAGAUCCCGCUACAACACUUUGUUUAGAACUGCACCAACUGACAGCUCCACCGUUUAAUGUAAACACGUAUCUGGUUUGCGAUUUAGAAUCGUCCAGAUCAGUGUCAAAGCUUGCAUCAACGUAACCUUUUACGGUGAGCUCUUUGUCACCUCCAUAUACGAGAAACAUAUCCUUAGUCCUUUUCAGGUAUUUCAGGAUGUUCUUGACCGUUGUCCAGUGAUCCACUCCUGGAUUACUUUGGUACCUCCCUGCUAAACUUAUAGCAAGGCACACAUCAGGUCUGGUACACAGCAUUGCAUACAUGAUAGAUCCUAUGGCUGAUGCAUAGGGAACAUCUUUCAUAUUCUCUCUAUCUUCUGCAGUGGUCGGGCAUUGAGUCUUACUCAACUUCACACCUUGUAACACAGGCAAGAACCCUUUCUUUGCUUGAUCCAUUUUGAACUUCUUCAAAAUUUUGUCAAGGUAUGUGCUUUGUGAAAGUCCAAUUAAGCGUCUUGAUCUAUCUCUAUAGAUCUUAAUGCCUAAUAUGUAAGCAGCUUCACCGAGGUCUUUCAUUGAAAAACUUUUAUUCAAGUAUCCCUUUAUGCUAUCCAGAAAUUCUAUAUCAUUUCCAAUUAGCAAUAUGUCAUCCACAUAUAAUAUCAGAAAUGCUACAGAGCUCCCACUCACUUUCUUGUAAAUACAGGCUUCUCCGAAUGUCUGUAUAAAACCAAAUGCUUUGAUCACACUAUCAAAACGUUUAUUCCAACUCCGAGAGGCUUGCACCAGUCCAUAAAUGGAUCGCUGGAGCUUGCACACUUUGUUAGCUCCCUUUGGAUCGACAAAACCUUCCGGUUGCAUCAUAUACAACUCUUCUUCCAGAAAUCCAUUCAGGAAUGCAGUUUUGACAUCCAUCUGCCAAAUUUCAUAAUCAUAAAAUGCGGCAAUCGCUAACAUGAUUCGGACGGACUUAAGCAUCGCUACAGGUGAGAAGGUCUCAUCGUAGUCAAUCCCUUGAACUUGCCGAAAACCUUUUGCGACAAGUCGAGCUUUGUAGACAGUAACAUUACCAUCAGCGUCAGUCUUCUUCUUAAAGAUCCAUUUAUUUUCAAUUGCUUGCCGAUCAUCGGGCAAGUCAACCAAAGUCCAUACUUUGUUUUCAUACAUGGAUCCCAUCUCAGAUUUCAUGGCUUCAAGCCACUUUGCGGAAUCUGGGCUCACCAUUGCUUCUUCAUAGUUCGUAGGUUCAUCAUGAUCUAGUAUCAUGACUUCCGGAACAGGAUUACCGUACCACUCUGGUGCGGAUCUUACUCUGGUUGAUCUACGAGGUUCAGUAGUAUCUUGAUCUGAAGUUUCAUGAUCAUUAUCAUUGACUUCCUCACUAAAUGGUGUAGGUGUCACUGAAACAGUUUUCUGUGAUGAACUACUUUCCAGUAAGGGAGCAGGUACAGUUACCUCAUCAAGUUCUACUUUCCUCCCACUCGCUUCUUUCGAGAGAAACUCCUUCUCUAGAAAGGAUCCAUUCUUAGCAACGAAUGUCUUGCCUUCGGAUCUGUGAUAGAAGGUGUACCCAACAAUUUCCUUUGGGUAUCCUAUGAAGACACAUUUCUCUGAUUUGGGUUCGAGCUUAUCAGGUUGAAGCUUUUUCACAUAAGCAUCGCAGCCCCAAACUUUAAGAAGCGACAACUUUGGUUUCUUGCCAAACCAUAGUUCAUAAGGUGUCGUCUCAACGGAUUUUGAUGGUGCCCUAUUUAACGUGAAUGCGGCCGUCUCUAGUGCAUAACCCCAAAAUGAUAGCGGUAAAUCAGUAAGAGACAUCAUAGAUCGCACCAUAUCCAGUAAAGUACGAUUACGACGUUCGGACACAACAUUACGCUGUGGUGUUCCGGGUGGCGUGAGUUGCGAAACUAUUCCACAGUUUUUCAAAUGUACACCAAACUCGUAACUCAAAUAUUCUCCUCCACGAUCAGAUCGUAGAAACUUUAUUUUCUUGUUACGAUGAUUUUCAACUUCACUCUGAAAUUCUUUGAACUUUUCAAAUGUUUCAGAUUUAUGUUUCAUUAAGUAGAUAUACCCAUAUCUGCUUAAAUCAUCUGUGAAGGUGAGAAAAUAACGAUAUCCGCCACGAGCCUCAAUAUUCAUCGGACCACAUACAUCGGUAUGUAUGAUUUCCAACAAAUCUGUUGCUCUCUCCAUAGUACCGGAGAACGGUAUUUUAGUCAUCUUGCCCAUGAGGCACGGUUCGCAAGUACCAAGUGAUUCAUAAUCAAGUGGUUCCAAAAGUCCAUCAGUAUGGAGUUUCUUCAUGCGCUUUAUACCGAUAUGACCUAAACGACAGUGCCACAAAUAAGUUGCACUUUCAUUAUCAACUCUGCAUCUUUUGGUUUCAACAUUAUGAAUAUGUGUAUUACUACUAUCGAGAUUCAAUAAGAAUAGACCACUCUUCAAGGGUGCAUGACCAUAAAAGAUAUUACUCAUAUAAAUAGAACAACCAUUAUUCUCUGAUUUGAAUGAAUAACCGUCUCACAUUAAACAAGAUCCAGAUAUAAUGUUCAUGCUCAACGCUGGCACCAAAUAACAAUUAUUUAGGUCUAAUAUUAAUCCCGAAGGUAGAUGUAGAGGUAGCGUGCCGACCGCGAUCACAUCGACUUUGGAACCGUUUCCCACGCGCAUCGUCACCUCGUCCUUUGCCAGUGCCCGCUUAUUCCGUAGUCCCUGUUUCGAGUUGCAAAUAUUAGCAACAGAACCAGUAUCAAAUACCCAGGUGCUACUGCGAGCUCUAGUAAGGUACACAUCAAUAACAUGUAUAUCACAUAUACCUUUGUUCACCUUGCCAUCCUUCUUAUCCGCCAAAUACUUGGGGCAGUUCCGCUUCCAGUGACCAGUCUGCUUGCAGUAGAAGCACUCAGUUUCAGGCUUAGGUCCAGACUUGGGUUUCUUAUCUUGAGCAGCAACUUGCUUGCCGUUCUUCUUGAAGUUCCCCUUCUUCUUCCCUUUGCCCUUUUUCUUGAAACUAGUGGUCUUGUUAGCCAUCAACACUUGAUGCUCCUUCUUGAUUUCUACCUCCGCAGCUUUCAGCAUUGCGAAGAGCUCGGGAAUAGUCUUGUUCAUCCCUUGCAUAUUAUAGUUCAUCACGAAGCUUUUGUAGCUUGGUGGCAGUGAUUGGAGAAUUCUGUCAAUGACGCAAUCAUCCGGAAGAUUAACUCCCAAUUGAAUCAAGUGAUUAUUAUACCCAGACAUUUUGAGUAUAUGCUCACUGACAGAACUGUUCUCCUCCAUCUUGCAGCUAUAGAACUUAUUGGAGACUUCAUAUCUCUCAAUCCGGGCAUUUGCUUGAAAUAUUAACUUCAACUCUUGGAACAUCUCAUAUGCUCCAUGACGUUCAAAACGUCGUUGAAGUCCCGAUUCUAAGCCGUAAAGCAUGGCACACUGAACUAUCGAGUAGUCAUCAGCUUUGCUCUGCCAGACGUUCAUAACAUCUGGUGUUGCUCCAGCAGUAGGCCUGGCACCCAGCGGUGCUUCCAGGACGUAAUUCUUCUAAGCAGCAAUGAGGAUAAUCCUCAAGUUACAGACCCAGUCCGUGUAAUUGCUACCAUCAUCUUUCAACUUUGCUUUCUCAAGGAACGCAUUAAAAUUCAACGGAACAACAGCACGAGCCAUCUAUCUACAAUCAACAUAAACAAGCAAGAUACUAUCAGGUACUAAGUUCAUGAUAAAUUUAAGUUCAAUUAAUCAUAUUACUUAAGAACUCCCACUUAGAUAGACAUCCCUCUAAUCCUCUAAGUGAUUACGUGAUCCAAAUCAACUAAACCAUGACCGAUCAUCACGUGAGAUGGAGUAGCUUUCAAUGGUGAACAUCGUUUAUAUUGAUCAUAUCUACUAUAUGAUUCACGCUCGACCUUUCGGUCUCCAUGUUCCGAGGCCAUAUCUGCAUAUGCUAGGCUCGUCAAGUUUAACCUGAGUAUUCUGCUUGUGCAAAACUGGCUUGCACCCGUUGUAGAUGGACGUAGAGCUUAUCACACCCGAUCAUCACGUGGUGUCUGGGCACGACGAACUUUGGCAACGGUGCAUACUCAGGGAGAACACUUCUUGAUAAUUUAGUGAGAGAUCAUCUUAUAAUGCUACCGUCAAUCAAAGCAAGAUAAGAUGCAUAAAAAGAUAAACAUCACAUGCAAUCAAUAUAAGUGAUAUGAUAUGGCCAUCAUCAUCUUGUGCUUGUGAUCUCCAUCUCCGAAGCACCGUCAUGAUCACCAUCGUCACCGGCGCGACACCUUGAUCUCCAUCGUAGCAUCGUUGUCGUCUCGCCAAUCUUAUGCUUCCACAACUAUCACUACCGUUUAGUAAUAAAGUAAAGCAUUACAUCGCGAUUGCAUUGCAUACAAUAAAGCGACAACCAUAUGGCUCCUGCCAGUUGCCGAUAACUCGGUUACAAAACAUGAUCAUCUCAUACAAUAAAAUUCAGCAUCAUGCCUUGACCAUAUCACAUCACAACAUGCCCUGCAAAAACAAGUUAGACGUCCUCUACUUUGUUGUUGCAAGUUUUACGUGGCUGCUACGGGCUUAAGUAAGAACCAAUCUCACCUACGCAUCAAAACCACAACGAUAGUUUGUCAAAUAGACUCCGUUUUAACCUUCGCAAGGACCGGGCGUAGCCAUACUUGGUUCAACUAAAGUUGGAGAGACAGUCGCCCGCAAGCCAUCUCUGUGCAAAGCACGUCGAGGGAACCGGUCUCGCGUAAGCGUACGCGUAAGGUUGGUCCGGGUCGUCUCGUCCAACAAUACCGCCGAACCAAAGUAUGACAUGCUGGUAGGCGGUAUGACUUGUAUCAUCCACAACUCACUUGUGUUCUACUCGUGCAUAUAACAUCAACAUAAAUAACCUAGGCUCGGAUGCCACUGUUGGGUUCUACUCGUGCAUAUAACAUCAACAUCGGGAGAGUGUUGUCUACGUACCCAACGCAGACCGACUGCGGAAGCGCUGACACGACGUAGAGGAAGUAGUCGUACGUCUUCACGAUCCAACCGAUCAAGCACCGAAACUACGGCACCUCUGAGUUCGAGCACACGUUCAGCUCGAUGACGAUCCCCGGACUCCGAUCCAGCAAAGUGUCGGGGAAGAGUUCCGUCAGCACGACGGCGUGGUGACGAUCUUGAUGUACUACAGCAGCAGGGCUUCGCCUAAACUCCGCUACAGUAUUAUCGAGGAAUAUGGUGGCAGGGGGCACCGCACAUGGCUAAGGAAUAGAUCACGUGGAUCAACUUGUGUGUUUCUGGGGUGCCUCUGCCUCAGUAUAUAAAGGAGCCAAGGGGGGAGGGGGUGCCGGCCAAGGAGGAGGGCGCAGGAGGAGUCCUACUCCUUCCGGGAGUAGGACUCCCCUCCAAUCCUAUUCCAACUAGGAUUCCCCAAAGUGGGAAAGAGGGAGAGGGGGGCCGGCCACCUUCUCCUAGUCCUAAUAGGACCAGGGGAGGGGGAAGUGGCGCAGCCACCUUGGGCUGCCCCUUUCUCCUUUCCACUAAGGCCCAUGAAGGCCCAUAUGGUUCCUGGGGGGUUCCGGUAACCUCCCGGUAACCCGGUAAAAUCCCGAUUUCACCCGGAACACUUCCGAUGUCCAAAUAUAGGCUUCCAAUAUAUCAAUCUUUACGUCUCGACCAUUUCGAGACUCCUCGUCAUGUCCGUGAUCACAUCCGGGACUCCGAACAACCUUCGGUACAUCAAAAUGCAUAAACUCAUAAUAUAACUGUCAUCAUAACCUUAAGCGUGCGGACCCUACGGGUUCGAGAACAAUGUAGACAUGACCGAGACACACGUCUCCGGUCAAUAACCAAUAGCAGGACCUGGAUGCCCAUAUUGGCUCCUACAUAUUCUACGAAGAUCUUUAUCGGUCAGACCGCAUAACAACAUACGUUGUUCCCUUUGUCAUCGGUAUGUUACUUGCCCGAGAUUCGAUCGUCGGUAUCCAAUACCUAGUUCAAUCUCGUUACCGGCAAGUCUCUUUACUCGUUCCGUAAUACAUCAUCUCACAACUAACAUAUUAGUUGUAAUGCUUGCAAGGCUUAUGUGAUGUGUAUUACCGAGAGGGCCCAGAGAUACCUCUCCGACAAUCGGAGUGACAAAUCCUAAUCUCGAAAUACGCCAAACCAACAUCUACCUUUGGAGACACCUGUAAUGCUCCUUUAUAAUCACCCAGUUGCGUUGUGACAUUUGGUAGCACCCAAAGUGUUCCUCCGGCAAACGGGAGUUGUAUAAUCUCAUAGUCAUAGGAACAUGUAUAAGUCAUGAAGAAAGCAAUAGCAACAUACUAAACGAUCGGGUGCUAAGCUAAUGGAAUGGGUCAUGUCAAUCAGAUCAUUCAACUAAUGAUGUGACCUCGUUAAUCAAAUAACAACUCAUUGUUCAUGAUCAGGAAACAUAACCAUCUUUGAUUAACGAGCUAGUCAAGUAGAGGCAUACUAGUGACACUUUGUUUGUCUAUGUAUUCACACAUGUAUUAUGUUUCCGGUUAAUACAAUUCUAGCAUGAAUAAUAAACAUUUAUCAUGAUUAUAAGGAAAUAAAUAAUAACUUUAUUAUUUCCUCUAGGGCAUAUUUCCUUCACCUGCGAGCGCAGAACUGUUGCACCAUGCGUAGGUGAGGCGGUAGCUUGCUGUCGAAAGCUGGUUGAGUGCAUGCCAGUUGUGGGAAGCCGUUGUUAGGUGAGGUUGUUCCCGGGUCUUGGUCAUCCGUCGUUGUCGGAUGUCUUGGUAGGACAUUUGCUGAACUUGUGGGCGCCGAAGGAGGAUGCAGUCCUUCAGUACAAAGUACAAAGAUUUGCAUGCCACCACCGAGCCCAAGCCUUGCUUGAUAGGUCUUCUUGUUGACAUUCUUCUUUACGAAGAUGUGCAUACCACCACCAGGGAGCAUGAUGGCACGCAGUUCUUCUCUCUUCUUGAGCUGGAACCGUGGCGAUCAUGAGGCGCACGGUUGGUGCAUGACGCAUCUUGUCACGACAUCAAUAAGAUGUGAACCAUACUUGAGCGGCUGGAGGGAGGAAGAAGCUUUUGUGAGGGUGUGGAUUAGGGCUGGAAGAAGAAGAUGAUGGAGAACGGCUGGAUUUUGAUCCCCGGGCUAACAAAAUUGAAUGAUUUUUUUUCCAGGCAAAUGUCAAGUAGUCACCGGCCAAUUUUCCUAAUUUCCCCAAUUUUGCAAGUACGCGCACCACAUGUUGAUGCAAGCAAGCUACUGGCUCCCAUGUCCCAAUCACAAGGAGAUACAUACAUUAUUCUUCAUUCCCUCUCCAAUUGAUGCACUGAUCGCAAAAAUAUUAUUUUUCAACGAGACAUGCAUGCAAACAUAAAGAUCCGUAUCGAUCCAUUAAUUCGUCAAACUACUCGAAAUAAUUAUAUAGCGGUGUUAGUUGUUGCCCAGCAAGGCUGUUUAUCUGACUGAAACGAAGAAAACAACAGUGCUCCAAAUGUUAAUCUUGUUUAGUUGUUUAGCAAGGGGAAAAAGACAAGAAUGCUAAAUUGCUAGUAGCACUUGUCAUUUUAUUCUAGCGUCUCUGAUGAUCUGGUCACAGUAUAAGGCUGGCCAUAGUGGGGGUAAUAUAAGGUUGGUUGUAAUGAGGAGUAUCAUAUACCAGUACUCCCUCCAUUUUUAUUUAGUCCGCGUAUUAGCUUUAGUCAAAGUCAAGCUUUCUAAACUUUGACCAAAUCUAUAAACAAAAAUAUUAACAUAUACAAUAACAAACCUAUACCAUUAGAUUUAUUAUUAAAUGUACUUUCACAACAUAUAGAUUUCUUAUAGGAAAUGUUUGUACUUUUUUCUUAAAAUUUGGUCAAACUUUACAAAGUUUGACUUCAGUCAACUCUAAUAUGCAGAGUAAAUAAAAACGGAGGGAGUAUCAUGCAUAUGAUACUAAUCUAUGAUACUACUCCCUCCGGUCCUUUUUACUCCGCACAUUAGCUUUGUCUGAAGUCAAAGUUUGUUAAGUUUGACCAAAUUUAUAUUACAAAAUAUUAACAUCUAUAACAUCUAAUAAAUAUAAUAUGAAAAUAUAUUCUGAGAUGGAUUUAAUAAUAAAUGUGUUGUUAUGUUAAUGUUAAUAAUUUUUUGUAUAAACUUGGUCAAAGUUAGAUGAGAUUGACUUCAGACAAACCUACUAUGCAGAGUAAAAAGGACCGGAGGAAGUACAUCCCUAAUGCAUAGUAUCAUAUGUUGGUAUCAUAGAGGACUAUAUUUAUUGUCAUGCAUGACACAAGUAGCACAUCAUUUAAUAUGAUACGGUAUCAUGAUAUGAUACUCAAGUCUCUCUUUCUUCAUUUAAUUCUAUGCCACCUCAUCAAAAUUGCUUAGUUGGCAUGCAUGAUACUACCUAUGAUACUCUCAUUACGGGUAGCCUAACUAGUAUCAUAUACUUGGGACUCGCAAACAUGCUUACAUGGCAGGAAAUUAAAGAAGAGAGAGAGAGUCAUAGUAACAUAGGUAGAUACCGUAACAUAAUAAAUGUUAUGGUACUAUGUGUCAUGCAUGGCAAUAAAUAAGACCACCUAUGAUACUACUUUAUGAUACUAUGCACUAUGGAUGUAGUAUCAUACACUAGUAUCAUAUGCAUGAUACUAGUAUAUGUUACUCCCCACUAUGACCAGCCUAAGAAGUAGUGCUACUACUCCAAACAAAAGCCAAAUUUACUGGAUUUUGAACACCCUUGAUGCACGCUACAGCUAUAGCUCCCAAACACGACCAGAUCUACAAUUUCCCCCUCUCUUCCUCCCCCCAUUGAUGCACCACUGGUCUGUAAGAGCAAAAGUAUUAAUGGAGAUCACAGGAUGGCAGUAAACCGCAGCAGGUACCCGCUCCUUUAAUCGUCUCCUUAACGCCCCCCACCUACCGUCGCCCAGGCCGAUCGAUGAGCUGCCACCACUUGAAUGACGCUGCCUCCCCGGCUAUAAAACCUCCCGCCACCUUUCUUCCUCCUCCACCUCCCACAGAGCUAGAAGCAGCAAGCAAGCAAGGCAAGCAGCCACUCACACACUAGCCAGGAGCAAGAGCACCAGUUCACGAGCAAGCUAGCGAUGGAGAAGUCUACCAAGAUGGUGGCGGUGCUCGUCCUCGCCGUGCUGGCCGCGGCGACCAGCGCCGAGGCGAGGAACAUCAAGACGACGGAGGCGGCGUCCGCCAGCAAGGACGCGGUCCUGCAGCCGACGACCUUCCCGCCCUUCGAUCGCCUCGGCAGCGGGUCGCCGGGGUUCGGCGGGCUCCCCGGCAGCAGCGGCAUGCCGGGAUUCAGCCUCCCCGGCAGCAGCGGCGCCACCCCGGGCUUCGGCAGCAUCGGCAGCAUGCCCUUCCUUGGCGGCAGCUCCCCCGGCCUCGGCGGCUUCGGCGGCAUGCCGGGCUCCCCCGCUGCAGCUGCCGUCGACGAGCACGCCAAGAAGCCGUGAAAAGCUGAGGGCGGCUGUUGAUAGCUAGAUCCGCUGGUGUGUGGCAAGCACUGACGGGGCGCAUGGUUGAUGGUUCGGUAGUGCUACUCGUAGCGUGCAUGCAUGGUUCUGUGGGCGCUAUACGCCGCGCGUACGUACGUUUGGAGAACUCGAUUUGUUUGUUGUGUUUGUCGCUUAAUUACGUCGUUAGGUCAAUCUCUAUCGGUCGUUCGUGUUAAGUUCUUUGUAUCUGUAGUAGUGGAGCAUGUUCUUGAGGCAUAUGAAUAAUGCUAGAUGUACGUGUCAGCUUGUGCCGUGGUAUGCAAUGAUGAAAUGAAAUGGAGUAUUAUUGUACUAGUAAUCUUUUGUUGGUUUACUUGUUAAUUACGAGCUUGACUACCAUUUGGUUGGAACAGCAAACUCGCAUUGUGUUUUGGUCGGAGUAUAUUGCUAAGCUCAGUAGUGUCGAUUGGCUGAAUGAAACUUGACGAUCUAGACAAGUUUUUCUUAAGUCCUCAUCACCAUUGGAGAUUUCCUAGCUGAAGUGCAUCAACAGAUAUCUUGAACGGUACUGGAGUAAAAAAAAUUGAAGGGAAAAAGAAAGAGAUGUCUUUAGAUGACACGAGUUGGAAGCCCAAUUAACACGGCCCAGUUAAUUAGCUACUCCCUCCGUUCGCAUCUAAAAAUUACCCCCUCUGUCUCAUAAUAUAUGCAAAAUUAUCUUAUAUUAUGAGAUGAAGGAAGUAAUACUGUACUAGUAUAAAUUAAGACCAAGACAGAGGGUGAAUAAAACACCACUGCUCGGCAAUAGUGAGAAGGAAAAAUAAAUUAUUAUCAAAACUGAAAAGAAAGAGCGCUAGCUAGCUUUGAAGUUACCACAUGGCAUUGCAGGUUGCAGCACGUACAGGCAGUACUGCUGUCGAUGUAAAUCAGCUGCAGGCUGUAGGGGUAGGGGUGGGAGUAACUAUUCUCGCAUUUAUGUACAUUACCUCAUUCUACGUAUAAGGAGUAGUAGUCAUGCCUCUGUAUCCAAACCGCUAUACAUACAACACUUGGGCCCAGUUCUUUUGUCAGAAUCUGGGAAUUCUCCCAGAAUCCGACUCUUACCAAGCUUCUCUCAGAAUUUUGAGCCCAGUUUGUUUUACAAUCCUAUCUAAUUAGACCCUAACUAGAUAGGAUUGUAAAACAAAUGUGGCUCAAAGAUUUUGGGGAAGCUGGAUAGGGGUCGGGUUCUGAGAGAAUCCUCUGAUUCUGGCAAAAUAACUGGGCAUUGUUAUUCUACCUUCGUACGACAAGAAAUCCAACGGCUUACUGCAUUUUGCCUCUAUAGGUGUGGAUUUUCCUUUCCAACAAAAACAAAGUAUGUAAAAAGACGACAUAUACCAACUGAGCUGCCCCGCGUCGUCCACGUGGGCGACACAAGCGGCCUGCAGAUCCAUUUUUUCGGCGAGCUUCUGCCUAAGCGUCCUCUCAUCGUUGCUGCCGUCGCCGCCGGGUUUGCCUGUGUGGCCGAUGGCUGUUCGUGUUGCUAUUCGACGAGGUGUGGCGAUGUAUAGGUAAUGGCUUUGAUGCAGUACAGGUGGUCAUGAUGUAGCAGCAAACAGUUCGUUCUAGGGCACGGGCGGCUGCGCGCCUUCCUAAUCUUUCACACCGUCGGGUUGCAGCAAGCGCCCAUGUGGCGGUGGAAAGGAAAGGGAGCAACACCGCCAUGUCCUUCAACUUGGAGAGCCGGUGUGCUCUAGAGGAAGUCGUCACCUGCGCCGCCGGCUGGCAUGUGUGGUGACCAUGUAGCAGAUGUUGCCACCGUCGCAAGCGAUCUGGCCUGCGCGCACCAUGCUUGGUUGGUUGGCGCUAUCUUUGUGGCCGUGUCAUCGACUCGACGGUAGGCGCCGGAAGGUCGGAGGGGCUUCGACCUUCGGAUCCGGUGAGGUUCGCGUUGAACAUGGGAGAACUGGUAGAAGAUCAAGACAAAGACUUUCAGAGGGUAGCCUACAAGGCAAGGUUCAUCACAACCUACUCAACUAAGACAAAGCCCAAAAUUGCUUGUGGUUGCACAUGGAAGCAACUAUUCAUGAAACCGGUUGGUCUUUUUAAGCCUUAACGGCUGUCCACUAGUGUGCAAUGCCAUAGGUGAAUCUUUUAAGAAAUCACAUUCUCCAUGAUGCUAAUUGUACCUCACCACUUUAUAAUUACUAUUCCAUCCACGUACCACGAAUUUAGUUGGUCUUCCUUACUACAUUAUCAUUCAUAAAUUCCCACGAAUUACACUUCACCGAAGUAUCCGCCUACUUCAGCAAAUUAAGCAAACUACAACGACGACAGACAAGUAAUUAGAACUCGGACCUACUUAUUGAACUACAGUGGGAUCAUACUUGCAUAUUUAGGAUAUAUAAAGAUGCUCAUACGUACUACUCAAAAAUAUACUAAAUGCUUAGAAAAGAUGUAGGUAAAUGGACAUGCACGAAAGAAUGUGACUUGCCUUGGUGCCGGUGAUGAUACUCUAAUUCAUUAAGUAAGCGGCUUCGCACUCCAAACAAUCUAUCAUAGAAUGAAACAAAUUUGUAAACAAUUAUAAUUAAGCAUGCAAAUAAAAUUACUUGCAAAGAUAGCAAACAAAACUCAACAAAACAUAUUAUUCCCUUUGAUCCAAAUUAAUCGACGCAACCUCUAUACAAUGUAAGUAAGAUAUUGUAUAGAGGUUACGUCAAUUAAUUUGGAUCGGAGGGACUAGUAUAUAUAGCCUUAGCUAAUAUAGGGUAUGUGCAGAAGUGCAGCUAUAAAAGCGAAAGGCAUAAAAGAUACAUCAUAUACAUGACAUAGGAAUGAUUUUGAUGUGUACUAUUAACGGCUUAGUAGAUAGGAUUUGAUCAGGCUUCCAUCAUGCAAACAGACACAACUAAAUUGGAUCUCCAGAUUGCAAGAUAUGGCUAAAAUAAUAUAUAAAUUUGAAUUUGCAUUGAUCACAUUUGAAUAAUUAAAAAUGUUAAACUAAUAGGUCAUAAGCACUCCAAGACUACCAAUUUGCAAAAUGUUCGUCUUCUUUGGAGCUACAGUUGAAAAGUUAGAAUGCUAGAAGUUUCGUGGGAUUUUCUGCAAAAUAGUGUGACACGUGGCAGCAUCAGACUAGUUGAUACCGAUUCAUGGCUAAAUAAGAUAGUCGUCCUAUUUAAAUGAAAAUGGACAGACCAGAUCAAAAGAUACCGAUUCACGCUCAAACAGAAUAACAACCGUUGGAUUUAAGUGCACAUCUAGGGCCAAGUUCAAACAACAAUUUGGCAGAAAUAAAUUCUAAUUUGCACAAUCUAUUUCUAAACAGACGAAUGAGAAUGAGAUGGGGCGGUAGUGGACAGUGGCGGCCAUGGAGAAGACAAGUGGCACGACGACUCGGGUCAAAUGUGGCAUGGUCUCCGACGGUUGUCAGGGUUAAAGUUGUCGCAGUCAUCACGGCGGUGUGGUUGGUGAUCUGGACGGGUGUGGAGUGCUCGGCGGUGCUCUGGUGUGGUUGGGUGUGCACUAUUUAGACGAUGUGGUGUUCCAUGGACAAAAACAGUAUGCCAAAACGACGCGGAGCAGCAAGGCAAGAAAAGAGAGAAAGAGAUGAUCAUAAAACUAACGACCCUCGAUGCCCAUACUGUUUUGAGAAAGGAAUUAGGCCCGGGGCCUAAAAUGGUCGCGAUCUGUUUGGUGUGUUACUGGGCUGAAACACUGUUCCGGUCUAGUUAGGAUAGGAUUUCAUAAUAAAAUUAGUCUAGAAAUUGAUUUUGGCUCAAAUAAUAGUCUAAUAUAUAUAUUUUCAGAAAAUACCAGAAAUUUGCAAAAAAUAAUACUCAUAUAGAGCCUAGAAAAAUUAUUCCCAACUCAAAGUGCAAUUUUGUAAAUUCAUUUUAUUUUAUACAGCUAGUUUGGACCAAAUAAUAAUUCUAUUUGUAGGGUUUAUUUAAUUCCCAUGACUGGAUUUAUCCACUCCAAAUGACAUCUUAACAUUUUCUCACUCUUUUCAUAAGGAAAAUAAGUGAUAUUAUCUUCUCUCUUUUAGUUCCUUGAGUGGAAAAAAAAUAAGGCAGCCCGGUGCAUGUAGCUCCCGCUUGCGCAAGGUCUGGGGAAGGUCCGGCCACUUUGGGUCUAUUGUACGCAGCCUUUCCCUAUAUUUCUGCAAGAAACUGUUUCCAUGAGUCGAACCCGUGACCUCUUGGUCACAAGGCAACGCACCAAGGCUCCCCUUGGUUGAAGAUAGUUUAAAUUUAAAUGUCCUAGAAAGUCCAAAUAUGCAUUUAAAUAAUAAGAUGUAAAUUAAUGCUUUUAUAAACGUCCUAAUAAUUAAUAAAAGUGGGAUGUUACAUCUUGUGUGGUCUUUGUGGUUGUUGCUAGAAACCCAUGGUGCUUUGAUGCCAUGGAUCGAUUCAUCAUCCACCGGAAUAAUGAUGAUGGGACGAUGUCAUUUUAGUGAUCGAAUCAUCGUUGAAAGUAAAUGAUGAGAUGGUCAUGUUUGGAGAUGCAGUUCGCCAAAGUGAAAGAAAACUUACUUCGUAUGCCCUUGUUCAGGUAUUGAAUACUUGCAGUGCAACACUUAUUGCUUCUACAAAACUCAUAGUUAGGUCUUUUGCCAUCCAUAUCCAUUUCAAGUGUCACACUGAUUUAAAUGAUCUUAUAUUUCUUUACAGAGAGAGUACCUUUUAGGAAGUGAUCUAAAUGGUCGUAUNNNNNNNNNNNNNNNNNNNNNNNNNNNNNNNNNNNNNNNNNNNNNNNNNNNNNNNNNNNNNNNNNNNNNNNNNNNNNNNNNNNNNNNNNNNNNNNNNNNNNNNNNNNNNNNNNNNNNNNNNNNNNNNNNNNNNNNNNNNNNNNNNNNNNNNNNNNNNNNNNNNNNNNNNNNNNNNNNNNUCUACAUUUUCAAUUCAUUUCCCUAUGAUUUAUACACAUUACUUUAUAUUUGGAGCUUAUAAAUUCUCAAUUUAAGAAAAUAAGUCUCAAAUGUGAAUCACUAAAAGAAAAUUAAUAGAACAAGCACAUAAACGACAAUUUUAAGAAAAUGUUUGUUUGCUUGCCCUAAUUCAGACAGCAUUUAAAAUCUCAAAUGUUAAAUCAAAUGCGCAUGUCCAUUGACCCUGCAAGUUGAAGGCACAUUCUCUACUAGUCGAGAAGUCCAUAUCACCUCUUGAAAUCAUUUUAGGGUUCAAAUUACAAUCUCGGACUUUGAUUUGGUUCAUUUAACCAUGUGAACUCUGAGAACCGUUCACUUUACAUCCCACUUCUCGCGGGUUUGUGCUAGUCUGCUGUGCCAAAUCACAUAAUUUCUCGCUCCUCUCAGCUAUAUGCCUAUGUCAUCUCUUUUUUGUCUCCUUGUAAUAACCAAAACUAAGAUAGGUUUUCUCAAGUUGUAUGCUAAUUUUAUGAACAUUUUUUAAAACCUAAAUCAGGUACAUAAAACUUUGACAAAAUUAUAGUGAACGAGGAAUAGUUCAGUGACCAAAUGUUAUUCAGAUAAACUUAAUAUUUUAGUUUCAUGUUUAAAUGUUGGGUUUAAAAAAAGCAAACUGCACACAAACAAGCAAAUAACCAAUGACCGACCAUAAUUCAGUGAACAUCUGGUCAAAUAAAGAGAAAAAUAUUUAUGCAACAAGUGGAAACAUGGAACUGCAUGGUAGAUUAGCAGGGUAACUUGACUAAAUUAGGAAGUAAUAUAUCUACUAUUUUAAAAUUAAACCAAGUCAGAGUAACUUGACUAAAGGGAGAAAACAUGACCUUCAUUUCAGAGUAUUAUGCUGGACUUUCAGAGAAAACAACUUAGGUCUGAAAAAAGAGGGAGGUGCAGACUUCCAGAUAUCAUUUAGUAACUUUCAUUAGACUUCAAAAAACAUUUAUAUCUAAUCGCAGGAAAACGUGGUGAAAAAUCAUAGACCUCUAAUUUUAACUGAACUAGUUUCAUAUACACCUAAGAAAACCACCGUAUCGUGUGGUCUUACAGAACUAUCAAAAGCAAGAAGAUUCUCUGGGCAUCAAAAUAUUGUGAAAGACUUCUGCAUUAACCCUUGUGUUAGUACUGUGAAACAUGGCUGGUAGCACUAAAUUGUCAAGCUCCUGUAGAGAUGGUUCAACACUACUUAGGAACAUUAGAAAUAGUAAAACUAAUCAAUUGAUUUUGCCUUAGAUGUAAUAAUACGCCUUUGAGAAAAAUGGUUGAACUACUUCUAGGGUUUUGUGUCUGCACACAAUUGCGACAUUAAAUGAUCCAUGUAGACUUGCUAAUAGGUAUGAAUAAUAUCCUAAGGUGAGAUUGACUUGCAAUCCUGCUUGGUACAGUACAUACAUACUGCAGCAAAUACAAAAAAUAUCUCUGUAAAUAACAACUAAAUCCUGACUUUGCCUGACAUGCACCAAGUUACGAAGUUUGUUUUGAUGUGUUCCUGUAGACGGUAGGGCUGCAUAUAACCUGUUAUGAACAAUACUUUCCCCGGUUUUUUACAUGCUUGCCUUCAUUACUACUCCCUCCGUAAAGAAAUAUAAGAGCGUUUAGAUUCCUAAAGUAGUGAUCUAAAUGCUCUUAUAUUUGUUUACAAAGGGAGUAUGUUCCUUCUGUAUCAAAAUGAUUAAUUUAUAAUACAAGGGGUACUUUCAAAUGUCAACUUUUAUUGGACAUUUUAUUCCUCGAGGAUAUGCAGGUGCAUUAACAAACUGCAAUCUUCCAAUUAGUUAUUGUCAUAUAGUACAAAUGUGUUUCAUUCAAAGUAAUAGCCUGAUAUAGGCCAAUUGCUCAAUACUGUGAUGUACCCAACAAUGUUUAUAUAACAGUAUAUAUGGAUGAUGUGGUGGUACUCAAUUAUUCCAUAGGUUAGGUUGAUUACUUAUUUCAUUUUAUAUUUAUAAAAUGAUUAAAAGCUUACCGAUUGGUCAACUGCUUAUGGAUUCAGUCUCAACUUUUCAGGUAAGUAAAAUAAAAGCGGAAACCAAUUGGAGGAUGCAAGAACAGAGAAGUACAUGACAAUAGAAAUUGAACACCUUCCAGUGCAAGAAUUAAUGUUUCAAAUGCAGCCGUAUUGUUUUACAACACUCAAGAGUUCGAAAAUGUGGCAUUCAUUCUCCCGUUUCGAAUUUUAUAUUAUGAUGAAAUGUUCCCAUAUAAUCACAUUAACACACUGCUGGCCCACUCUUAAUUGUUACGGCAGAUAUCAUCAUUGAAGUGAGUAGCAUACACUAGCCUCCACAUGUAGUGUAGUAAUUAAUACCUAUGACAAAAUUUUCGAACAGACAAUUAAACACUCAUAUAUAUUGUUUAGCAACAAUACCAUUUGCACUAGUGGGUCUCUGGUAACGGGAAUCAGGACACCGUCGGGACGGGCAUGAUGGAACCCGACGGCUCUGGCGACGCUCCGUACGACCCGGCGGCUCCACCGCCGCCCCAGCCCCCGUCCCCUCCCUCGGACCCUGGCCAUGCGCUGGUGUCCCUCCCGCCCGCUCCGUCGUCGACUCCCCCCGCCGCCCCGUCGCGCGUGGUCUGGGCGGACCUCGCCAAGGCCGACGACCUUGUCGCAGGGCGCCCCGUCGUUUGGCGCGACCGCGUUCCCCCCAAGGCCCCUGCCCGGCCGCCUCGGUCUGAUUCUGUCGGUGGCCUUACUCCCAGGUGUGGGAGUUCGGCCGCCCGCGGGUCUGCCCGGCGCCGGCGCCAACCCUCAGGCGUGUUUCGGUCGGCGGCAGGGCAAGGUGCUCCCUUGGGCUCGGGGUCUCACCCUCGGGGGCACCGCUCCGGCGGGUGGCGUGUCGUUGGCCGCGCCGACCGCGGCCUCGCGCGUUCUUCAUGGAUGGCCACUGCUCCGGCGCCGCCCUCCCCUGCUCCGGCCUGCGCACUGACGGCGUUCUCGGCGGAGCUCUCGUCGGUGGUUUUCCGGCGGUCCCCCUUCCGCCCUUUCAUCUCGGCUUUCAGCGNNNNNNNNNNNNNNNNNNNNNNNNNNNNNNNNNNNNNNNNNNNNNNNNNNNNNNNNNNNNNNNNNNNNNNNNNNNNNNNNNNNNNNNNNNNNNNNNNNNNNNNNNNNNNNNNNNNNNNNNNNNNNNNNNNNNNNNNNNNNNNNNNNNNNNNNNNNNNNNNNNNNNNNNNNNNNNNNNNNNNNNNNNGGCGACCACCAUGGCAGCGCUCGGGGAAACCCUCGCCCCUCCCCUGGUAUCCCGGGAUUCUCCUACCGGGCCGCGCUCGUCUCGGGCCGUUCCGUGGGCCGCCUCCUUGGCGCCUCCCCGCGGGCCUCGGCUUCUGGGCCGCCGCGUGAUGUGCGGGCCGUUGGCCCCUGUGUGGGCCGGUCCCCUGGACCGUCCUCACCCUUCGCGGCCCAGCCAUGCCCCUGGGUGGGCCUUGGCCCGAUCCGGCGCUCCAUCUCGCCACCGCUAGGGUUCCCCCGCCAACCAGUCCCCAACCCGACGCCUCCCGCUCCCCCCAACGAAGUUCCACCCGCCGCCCCUAGCUCCCCCCUGCUCGUCGGCGCCACCGGUCCCCUUGCACCCUCCCCUCCUCCCUCGCCGGCCAUGACCCGGGAGUGGGGCGACGGCGCGGGACGCCCCAAGCGCAGGGCAAACGACCGCCGCGCCCCCCCUCGACCCUCUCCUGAUGGUCUCCGGCGGGAGGCUGACCUCAGGCAGGAGCUCGACUCCCGCCCGGCUCGGCGCUCCCCAGCCCGCGACGCUCGCCGCUCUCCCCCCACCCAGCCCGUCGGUCCCCUGCUCGGGACGACCGCCGCUCCCGGUCCCCGGCGCGCCGCUCGCCCCCUCGGGCUGCCUCGCGGGAUCGUGGCUGGUCACCGGCUGGAGGGGGGGGGGGCUCGGCAGUCCUCCCGGCGGCGGUCCCCCUCCCCGUCGCGCCAUCGGGACCGAUCCCCAUCUCCUCCCCGACAGCAGUCCCUGACCACCGCCAUCACCGCCCCGGCCGCCCGCCGCUACCAGCCCCCUCACUCCCAAGCUGCAUUCCCGCCGUCCAAUGGGGGCAAUGGGGACCGGGGGCGCCAGGGCACCCAAAAGAAGAAGAACGGUCCCCCUCGCCCCCGACCGCCUUCACCUCCGCUGGUGCGGUGGCUCCACCUUCGGGCUCCACCCCGCCUCUGAGGGUCCGCCGUGCUUCAAUUCCGGCCUGACCGGGCACUUCCAGGUGGCAUGCCACAAACCUUCGAGGUGCUACCUCUGCAAGGAUGCCGGGCACCCCGUGAUUCUCUGCCCGGACCGCCCGGUGACGGAGGAGAUCAUGAUGUACGGCCACGGCAUCGAGGACAUGGGCUUCUUCCGCAUCGAGGUCCCGGAGAUUCCCCCUUCCCCCUCGCUCCUGGCUCUCGUGACUGUCGUGGGUGCGGGCGUCGCCAUCCUGGAGCUGAUCGAGGCCAAGCUCAACCACUUGUGCAGGUGCAAGUGGGACUGGCAGGUGACCUCCACCGCUGCCAACGCCUUCAAGGUGAUCUUCCCCGACGCUCUGAGCAUGGGACUCUGUACCCACAACAACAACAUCACCUUGGCCCUCAACGGGAUUGUGGUGAACAUCUUAGAGCCAAGGUGGGAUCCCAAGGCCGUGGCUGUUCUGGACACUGUGUGGCUCCUCAUCGCCGGCCUGCCUGAUGUGGCCCGGUCUGAGUGAGUCAUCCGCAGUAUGUCCAAGAUCCUGGGAAAGGUGGUGGUGGUCGAUGAGCUCUCUCUACGCAAGGAGGAGGAGGUCUGGGUCAAGGUGAAGUGCCUGGACUCCUCCAAGCUCCACGCCACGAUUCAGGUCUUCUUCAACAACGACAGCUUCGACCUCAAGAUCUGCCCCGAGCCUCCGAACCACAUCGGCCGCCCCCGAUUCUCUGAUGACAGCCACCUGGGGGCGGUCCAGCUCACGCCGACGACUCCCACCACUAGCGGUCCCGCCACUCCCCCCUCGACGACCCUGAGGAUGACGAGGACUUGUCAAAGCACUCCCGCUCCCUGUCCCGCGAGCCCGCCAACCCACCUUCGGGUCAUGGCUGUUCCGAGGCGGGACGUGUUGGAAAUAUGCACUAGAGGCAAUAAUAAAUUGGUUAUUAUUAUAUUUCCUUGUUCAUGAUAAUCGUUUAUUAUCCAUGCUAGAAUUGUAUUGAUAGGAAACUCAGAUACAUGUGUGGAUACAUAGACAACACCAUGUCCCUAGUAAGCCUCUAGUUGACUAGCUCGUUGAUCAAUAGAUGGUUACGGUUUCCUGACCAUGGACAUUGGAUGUCGUUGAUAACGGGAUCACAUCAUUAGGAGAAUGAUGUGAUGGACAAGACCCAAUCCUAAGCCUAGCACAAGAUCAUAUAGUUCGUAUGCUAAAGCUUUUCUACUGUCAAGUAUAAUUUCCUUAGACCAUGAGAUUGUGCAACUCCCGGAUACCGUAGGAGUGCUUUGGGUGUGCCAAACGUCACAACGUAAUUGGGUGGAUAUAAAGGUACACUACAGGUAUCUCCGAAAGUGUCUGUUGGGUUGGCACGAAUUGAGACUGGGAUUUGUCACUCCGUGUAAACGGAGAGGUAUCUCUGGGCCCACUCGGUAGGACAUCAUCAUAAUGUGCACAAUGUGAUCAAGGAGUUGAUCACGGGAUGAUGUGUUACUGAACGAGUAAAGAGACUUGCCGGUAACGAGAUUGAACAAGGUAUCGGGAUACCGACGAUCGAAUCUCGGGCAAGUAUCAUACUGAUAGACAAAGGGAAUUGUAUACGGGAUUGAUUAAGUCCUUGACAUCGUGGUUCAUCCGAUGAGAUCAUCGUGGAGCAUGUGGGAGCCAGCAUGGGUAUCCAGAUCCCGCUGUUGGUUAUUGACCAGAGAGUUGUCUCGGCCAUGUCUGCAUGACUCCCGAACCUAUAGGGUCUACACACUUAAGGUUCGAUGACGCUAGGGUUAUAGGGAAAGUAUGUACGCGGUUACCGAAUGUUGUUCGGAGUCCCGGAUGAGAUCCCGGACGUCACGAGGAGUUCCAGAAUGGUCCGGAGGUAAAGAUUGAUAUAUAGGAAGUAUGGUUUUGGCCACCGGAAGUGUUCCGGGCAUCACCGAUAGUGUACCGGGACCAUCGAAGAGGUCCGGGGGUCCACCAGGUGGGGCCACCAGCCCCGGAGGCCUACAUGGGCCAAUAGUGGGAAGGGACCAGCCCCUAGGUGGGCUAGGGCGCCUCCCACCAAGGCCCAAGGCGCCUCCAAUAGGGGAAGGGGCAAACCCUAGGGAAGAUGGGCCCUAAGGCCCACCCUAGGUGCGCCUCCCCCUCUCCCCCUUGUGGCCGCCACCCUAGAUGGGAUCUAGGGCUGCCGCACCUCUUGGGGUGGGAACCCUAGGUGGGGGCGCAGCCCUCCCUCUCCCCAUAUAUAUAGUGGAGGCAAAGGGGCAGCCCAACACACGAUUUAAUCUCCCUGUUGGCGCAGCCCUACCCCUCUUCCUCCUCGUCUCUCGUAGUGCUUGGCGAAGCCCUGCUGGAGUCCCGCGCUCCUCCACCACCACCACGCCGUCGUGCUGCUGCUGGAUGGAUUCUUCCCCAACCUCUCCUUCUCCCCUUGCUGGAUCAAGGCGUAGGAGACGUCACCGGGCUGUACGUGUGUUGAACACGGAGGUGCCGUCCGUUCGGCACUAGGGUCAUCGGUGAUUUGGAUCACGACGAGUACGACUCCAUCAACCCGUUCACUUGAACGCUUCCGCUUAGUAAUCUACAAGGGUAUGUAGAUGCACUCUCCUUCCCCUCGUUGCUAGAUUACUCCAUAGAUUGAUCUUGGUGAUGCGUAGAAAAUUUUGAAUUUCUGCUACGUUCCCCAACAGUGGCAUCAUGAGCUAGGUCUAUGCGUAGUUACUAUGCACGAGUAGAACACAAAGUAGUUGUGGGCAUCGAUAUUGUCAAUUAUCUUGCCGUUACUAGUCUUAUCUUGAUUCGGCGACAUCGUGGGAUGAAGCAGCCCGGACCAACCUUACACGUACGCUUACGUGAGACCGGUUCCACCGACUGACAUGCACUAGUUGCAUAAGGUGGCUGGCGGGUGUCUGUCUCUCCCACUUUAGUCGGUUCGGAUUCGAUGAACAGGGUCCUUAUGAAGGGUAAAUAGAAAUUGGCAAUUCACGUUGUGGUUUUGGCGUAGGUAAGAAACGUUCUUGCUAGAAACCUAUAGCAGCCACGUAAAAAACUUGCAACAACAAUUAGAAGACGUCUAACUUGUUUUUGCAGCAAGUGUUUUGUGAUGUGAUAUGGCCAAAGGAUGUGAUGAAUGAUAUAUGUGAUGUAUGAGAUGAUCAUGUUCUUGUAAUAGGAAUCAUGACUUGCAUGUCGAUGAGUAUGACAACUGGCAGGAGCCAUAUGAGUUGUCUUAAUUUAUUUAUGACCUGCGUGUCAAUAUAAAGGUCAUGUAAUUACUUUACUUUAUUGCUAACCGUUAGCUGUAGUAGUAGAAGUAAUAGUUGACGAGACAACUUCAUGAAGACACGAUGAUGGAGAUCAUGAUGAUGGAGAUCAUGGUGUCAUGCCGGUGACAACGAUGAUCAUGGAGCCCCGAAGAUGGAGAUCAAAAGGAGCAAAAUGAUAUUGGCCAUAUCAUGUCACUUUUUGAUUGCAUGUGAUGUUUAUCAUGUUUUUGCAUCUUAUUUGCUUAGAAUGAUGGUAGUAAAUAAGAUGAUCCCUCAUUAAAAUUUCAAGAAAGUGUUCCCCCUAACUGUGCACCGUUGCGAAGGUUCGUUGUUUCGAAGCACCACGUGAUGAUCGGGUGUGAUAGAUUCUAACGUUCGAAUACAACGGGUGUUGACGAGCCUAGCAUGUACAGACAUGGCCUCGGGACACAUGCGAAACACUUAGGUUGACUUGACGAGCCUAGCAUGUACAGACAUGGCCUCGGAACACGGAGGACCGAAAGGUCGAGCAUGAGUCGUAUGGUAGAUACGAUCAACAUGAAGAUGUUCACCGAUGAUGACUAGUCCGUCUCACGUGAUGAUCGAACACGGCCUAGUUGACUCGGAUCAUGUAAUCACUUAGAUGACCAGAGGGAUGUCUAUCUGAGUGGGAGUUCAUAAGAUGAACUUAAUUAUCCUGAACAUAGUCAAAAGGUCUUCGCAAAUUAUGUCGUGGCUCGCGCUUUAGUUCUACUGUUUAGAUAUGUUCCUAGAGAAAAUUUAGUUGAAAGUUGAUAAUAGCAAUUAUGCGGACUAGGUCCGUAAACUGAGGAUUGUCCUCAUUGCUUCAUAGAAGGCUUAUGUCCUUAAUGCACCACUCAGUGUGCUAAACCUCGAACGUCGUCUGUGGAUGUUGCGAACAUCUGACAUACACAUUUUGAUAACUACGUGAUAGUUCAGUUAAACGGUUUAGAGUUGAGGCACCGAAGACGUUUUGAAACGUCGCGAAACAUAUGAGAUGUUUCGAGGGCUGAAAUUGGGAUUUCAGGCUCGUGCCCAUGUCAAGAGGUAUAAGACCUCCGACGAUUUUCUUAGCCUGCAAACUAAGGGAGAAAAGCUCAAUUGUUGAGCUUGUGCUCAGAUUGUCUGAGUACAAAAUCAUUUGAAUCAAGUGGGAGUUGAUCUUCCAGAUGAGAUAGUGAUGUUUCUCCGAAGUCAUUACCACCAAGCUGCUAGAGCUUCAUGAUGAACUAUGAUAUAUCAGGGACAUAUAUGAUGAUCCUUGAGAUAUUCGCGAUGUUUGACACCACAAAAGUAGAAAUCAAGAAGGAGCAUCAAUUGUUGAUGGUUGGUGAAACCACUAGUUUCAAGAAGGGCAAGGGCAAGAAGGGAUACUUCAUGAAACAGCAAAUCAGCUGAUGCUCUAGUGAAGAAACCCAAGGUUGAACCCAAACCCGAGACUAAGUGCUUCUGUAAUAAGGGGAACAGCCACUGGAGCAGAAUUACCCUAGAUACUUGGUAGAUGAGAAGGCUGGCAAGGUCGAUAGAAGUAUAUUGGAUAUACAUUGUGUUAAUGUGUACUUUACUAGUACUCCUACUAGCACCAUGGUAUUAGAUACCGGUUCGGCUGCUAAGUGUUAGUAAACUCGAAAUAAAAGGCCGCGGAGUAAACGGAGACUAGCUAAAGGUGAGCUGGCGAUAUGUGUUGGAAGUUUUUCCCAAGCUUGAUGUGAUCAAGCAUCGCACGCUCCCUCUACCAUCGAGAUUGGUGUUUGCGUUGAGAAUAGACAUGAUUGGAUUAUGUCUAUCGCAAUACGGUUAUUCAUUUAAGGAGAAUAAUGGUUAAUCUGUUUAUUUGAAUAAUACCUUCAAUGGUCUUGCACCUAAAAUGAAUGUUUUUUGAAUCUCGACCGUAGUGUGAUACACAUGUUCAUGCCAAAAGAUAUAAGAUAGUAAUGAUAGUACCACCUACUUGUGGCACAGCCACGUAAGUCAUAUCGGUAUAAAACGCAUGAAGAAGCUCCAUGUUGAUGGAUCUUUGGGCUCACUCGUUUUGAAAAAUUUGAGACAUGCGAACCAUGUCUAUUGGUGUAUAUGCAUGAAGAAAAUCCAUGCAAAUGGACCGUUUGGACUCACUUGAUUUUGAAUCACUUGAGACAUGCAAAUCAUACCACAUGGGCAAGAUGACUGAAAGCCUCGUUUUCAGUAAAAUGGAACUAGAAAGCAACUUGUUGGAAGUAAUACAUUUUGAUGUGUGCGGUCCAAUGAGUGCUGAGGCGUGUAGUGGAUAUCGUUAUGUUCUUACUUCACAGAUGAUUUGAGUAGAUGUUGAGUACAUUUACUUGAUGAAUCACGAGUCUGAAUUAUUGAAAUGUUCAAGUAAUUUUAGGGUGAAGUUGAAAGAUCGUCGUGACAAGAGGAUAAAAUAUCUAUGAUAUGAUCAUAGAGAUGAAUAUCUGAAUUAUGAGUUUCGCACAGAAUUAAGACAUUGUGGAAAUUGUUUCACAACUAAUACAGCCUGGAACACCAUAGUGUGAUGGUGUGUUCGAACAUCAUAACUGCACCCUAUUGGAUAUGAUGCAUACCAUGAUGUCUCUUACCGAAUUACCACGAUAGUUUAUGGGUUAGGCAUUAGAGACAACCACAUUCACUUUAAAUAGGGCACCACGUAAUUCCGAUGAGAUGACACCAUAUGAACUAUGGUUUAGAGAAACCUAAGCUUUCAUUUCUUAAAAGUUUGGGGCUGCGACGCUUAUGUGAAAAAGUUUUAGGCUAAUAAGCUCGAACCCAAAGCGGAUAAAUGCAUCUUCAUAGGACACCCAAAAUAGUUGGGUAUACCUCCUGUCUCAGAUCCGAAAGCAAUAAGGGAUUGUUUCUAGAAUCGGGUCCUUUCUCGAGGAAAAGUUUCUCUCGAAAGAAUUGAGUGGGAGGAUGGUGGAGACUUGAUGAGGUUAUUGAACCAUCUCUUCAACUAGUGUGUGGCAGGGCACAUGGAGUUGUUCCUGUGGCACCUACACCAAUUGAAGUGGAAGCUUAUGAUAGUGAUCAUGAAACUUCAGAUCAAGUCACUACCAAACCUCGUGGGAUGACAAGGAUGCGUACUACUUCAGAGUGGUACGUAAUCCUGUCUUGGAAGUCAUGUUGCUAGACGACAAUGAACCUACGAGCUAUGGAGAAGCGAUGGUGGGCCUGGAUUCCAAAAUGGCUCGAGGCCAUAUAAUCCGAGAGAGGAUCCAUAAAUGAAAACAAAGUGUAGACUUUGGAAGAACUACUUGAUGGUCGUAAGGCUGUUAGGUACAUAUGGAUUUUAAAAGGAAGACGGACAAUGAUGGUAAGUAUCACCAUUAAGAAAGCUCGACUUGUCGUUAAGAUGUUUUCCGACAAGUUCAAGGAGUUGACUACGAUGAGACUUUCUCACUCGUAGCGAUGCUAAGAGUCUGUUGGAAUUAUAUUAGCGAUUACUGCAUUAUUUAUGAAAUAUUGCAGAUAGGAUGUCAAAACAUUGUUUCCUCGAUGAUUUUCUUGAGGAAAGGUUGUAUGUGAUACAACCGGAAGGUUUUGUCAAUCCCGAAAGAUGCUUAUAAGUAUGCAAAGCUCCAACAAUCCUUCUAAGGACUGGAGUAAGCAUCUCGGAGUUGGAAUGUAUGCUUUGAUGAGAUGAUCAAAGAUUUUGGGUGUAUACAAAGUUUAUGAGAAACUUGUAUUUCCAAAGAAGUGAGUGGGAGCACUAUAGAAUUUCUGAUGAAUAUAUGUUGUUGGCAUAUUGUUGAUCAGAAAUGACGUAGAAUUUCUGGAAAGCAUAUAGGGUUAUUUGGAAAGUGUUUUUCAAUGGAAAGCCUGGAUUAAGCUACUUGAACAUUGAGCAUCAAGAUCUAUAAGGAUAGAUCAAAACGCUUAAUGGUACUUUCAAAUGAGCACAUACCUUGACAUGAUCUUGAAGGUGUUCAAGAUGGAUCAGUCAAAGGAGUUCUUGCCUGAGUUGUAAGGUAUGAAGUUAAGACUUAAAGCUUGACCACGGCAGAAGAAAGAGGAAGGACGAAGGUCGUCCCCUAUGCUUUUGUCAUAGGCUCUAUACGGUAUGCCAUGUUGAGUACCGCACCUGAUGUGUGCCUUGCCACAUAUCUGGCAAGAGGGUACAAAGGUAAUCUAGGAGUAGAUCACCAGAUAGCGGUCUAAAUUAUCCUUAGAGGAAUAAGGAUAUGUUUCUCGGUUAUGGAGGUGAUAAAGAGUUCGACGUAAAGAGUUACGUCGAUGCAAGCUUAACACCUAUCCGGAUAGCUCUGAGUAGAGAUACCGGAUACGUAUAAUGGAGCAACAAUUUAGAAUAGCUCCAAGUAGAACAGUUAUUUGAAAUGGCUCCAAAUGUAGCGUAGUAGUUGCAUCUACAAGAUGACAUAGAAAUUUGCGAAGUACAUACGGAUCUGAAUGUUGCAGACCCGUUGACUGAAACCUCUCUCACAAGCAUAACAUGAUCAAACCCAGAACUCUUUGGGUGUUAGUCACAUGGGGAUGUGACCUUGAGUGUUAAUCACAUAUCGAUGUGAACUGGAUUAUUGACUCUAGUGCAAGUGGGAGACUGUUGGAAAUAUGCCCUACAGGCAAUAAUAAAUUGGUUAUUAUUAUAUUUCCUUGUUCAUGAUAAUCGUUUAUUAUCCAUGCUAGAAUUGUAUUGAUAAGAAACUCAGAUACAUGUGUGGAUACAUAGACAACACCAUGUCCCUAGUAGGCCACUAGUUGACUAGCUCGUUGAUCAAUAGAUGGUUACGGUUUCCUGACCAUGGACAUUGGAUGUCGUUGAUAACGGGAUCACAUCAUUAGGAGAAUGAUGUGAUGGACAAGACCCAAUCCUAAGCCUAGCACAAGAUCAUAUAGUUCGUAUGCUAAAGCUUUUCUAAUGUCAAGUAUCAUUUCCUUAGACCAUGAGAUUGUGCAACUCCCGGAUACCGUAGGAGUGCUUUGGGUGUGCCAAACGUCACAACGUAACUGGGUGGCUAUAAAGGUACACUACAGGUAUCUCCGAAAGUGUUUGUUGUGUUGGCACGAAUCGAGACUGGGAUUUGUCACUCCGUGUAAACGGAGAGGUAUCUCUGGGCCCACUCGGUAGGACAUCAUCAUAAUGUGCACAAUGUGAUCAAGGAGUUGAUCACGGGAUGAUGUGUUACGUAACGAGUAAAGAGACUUGCCGGUAACGAGAUUGAACAAGGUAUCGGGAUACCGACGAUCGAAUCUCGGGCAAGUAUCGUACCGAUAGACAAAGGGAAUUGUAUACGGGAUUGAUUAAGUCCUUGACAUCGUGGUUCAGCCGAUGAGAUCAUCAUGGAGCAUGUGGGAGCCAGCAUGGGUAUCCAGAUCCCGCUGUUGGUUAUUGACCGGAGAGUUGUCUCGGCCAUGUCUGCAUGACUCCCAAACCUGUAGGGUCUACACACUUAAGGUUCGAUGACGCUAGGGUUAUAGGGAAAGUAUGUACGCAGUUACCGAAUGUUGUUCGGAGUCCCGGAUGAGAUCCCGGACGUCACGAGGAGUUCCAGAAUGGUCCGGAGGUAAAGAUUGAUAUAUAGGAAGUAUGGUUUUGGCCACCGGAAGUGUUCCGGGCAUCACCGGUAGUGUACCGGGACCACCGAAGGGGUCCGGGGGUCCACCAGGUGGGGCCACCAGCCCCGGAGGCCUACAUGGGCCAAUACUGGGAAGGGACCAGCCCCUAGGUGGGCUAGGGCGCCUCCCACCAAGGCCCAAGGCGCCUCCAAUAGGGGAAGGGGCAAACCCUAGGGUAGAUGGGCCCUAAGGCCCACCCUAGGUGCGCCUCCCCCUCUCCCCCUUGUGGCCGCCACCCUAGAUGGGAGCUAGGGCUGCCGCACCCCUUGGGGUGGGAACCCUAGGUGGGGGCGCAGCCCUCCCUCUCCCCCUAUAUAUAGUGGAGGCAAAGGGGCAGCCCAACACACGAUUUAAUCUCCCUGUUGGCGCAGCCCUACCCCUCUUCCUCCUCGUCUCUCGUAGUGCUUGGCGAAGCCCUGCUGGAGUCCCGCGCUCCUCCACCACCACCACACCGUCGUGCUGCUGCUGGAUGGAGUCUUCCCCAACCUCUCCUUCUCCCCUUGCUGGAUCAAGGCGUAGGAGACGUCACCGGGCUGUACGUGUGUUGAACACGGAGGUGCCGUCCGUUCGGCACUAGGAUCAUCGGUGAUUUGGAUCAUGACGAGUACGACUCCAUCAACCCGUUCACUUGAACGCUUCCGCUUAGCAAUCUACAAGGGUAUGUAGAUGCACUCUCCUUCCCCUCGUUGCUAGAUUACUCCAUAGAUUGAUCUUGGUGAUGCGUAGAAAAUUUUGAAUUUCUGCUACGUUGCCCAACAGGACGCACCUGAGUUUCCGCCACUGACCUCGCGGUGGCUCUCCGCCUGGCCACCCCGCCGGUCGCACUCUCCGCCUCCAUCGGAGUCGGCCAGUGACAUCUCCAGUGUGGGCCUGCUCGUCGUGCCGCCUUCGUUGCCGUGCUCUCCCUCCACCGACUCCGCCCUUCACGCCUCGCCAUCGGGCCCGGACCCCCCGUCUCCCCUGGUUUGACCUCCCCGGUCCCCACGGGUGGCGGCGGGUGCACUCCCAUCGGCGUGCCUUCUCCGACCCUCCCACUCGCGGGGGACGCGGCCGGCGACAUCCUGGAGCUCGUCGCCCCACUCCCCUCGCCGGUGGACUCCGACGUCCGCCUCGCACCGCCUGCUUCCCCGACCGCGGCGGUGGCCGUUGUUGUGACCACUCGGGCCUCUGCUCACCCUCCUUCGACGGUGGCGUAUGCCAGGCGGCCCCGCUCCACCUCGCCGCCGGUGACGGCGUCCCGCCGCAGCGCCCGCCUCGAUGCGACCUGCCCGACGGACUCCUCGGCUCCGUCCAUCUCCGAGCGUGCGGAGCUUCGGGCGGCGGUCCGGAACCUCGAGUCAGGUGUGGAUCCCGCCCUUCCCAGUUCUUCCAGUUGUUCCUUUUCCGUGCUUGAGGCGGUUCCUCUUGGCCACUUCGCCAAGGUGGCCACUGACUCGAUCAUCAUCUUCAGGGGGAGGUUGGUCCCCCCUUAAAUCAUAUCACGACCAUUAGGUCUCGUGAGAUCUUAGAUGGCAAGCUGGCUGAGACUCGGGCGCGCUUGCUUUGGCCUCCCAAGGAAUCGUCCGCUACCCCCGCGGUUCGCGUUCCUCCGGUGGCCGAUGGGGUGAUCCGUGGACGCACCCGCUCUCGCGCUGCUGCUCUCCACAUGCAAAGCGCCUCCCGUGUCCUAGGUUCAAGCAGCCCCCCAAAGGGGGCUUAGAUGCGGGCCCUUUUCUGGAACAUCCACGGCUUCGGCCAUGAUGGCCGUCACCGCCAACUCAUCGAGUACAUGCGAGACGAACACAUUGACAUCAUUGCCAUCCAGGAAACCAUGCGCACCGUGUUCUCCCUCCACGAGCUCUAAUGUCUUAGUUCCCACCUCUUCGCCUGGCAUUGGCUCCCUUUAGUGGGACCACAGGCCAUUCUGGCGGCAUCCUUUUAGGGGUAAAGGAUGCCACCUUUGAGGUGGGUGGCAUGGACCGGGGUGAAUUCUUCCUUAGUAUGGAGAUCUUCGAGCGUGCUCUUAACUUCAAAUGGGAGGUCGUGAUUGUGUAUGGACCGGCGGACCACCGGCGCUCCCCAGCCUUCCUGGCGGAGCUACAUCUGAAGAUCUCCAACUCCCUCCUCCCAGUUGUAGUGGGCGGAGACUUUAACCUCAUCCGAUCCCUAGAUGAGAAGAAUAAUGACCGGAUUAACCUCCCCCGGAUGCAGUUAUUCAAUGACUGGAUCGCAGAGCUGGGUCUCUGUGAGCUAGAUCGGACGGGUGCCAGGUUCACUUGGACAAACCGUCAGGUUGACCCGACGCAAUCCGUCUUGGAUCGUGUCCUAGUUUCCCCGGAGUGGGAAUUAUGUUGCCCCCUGGCCUCGCUUCGUGCGAUUACCCGGAUCGGGUCUGACCAUGUCCCUCUCCUCCUCUCCACCGCUGACGAGCGCCCCCCACCCCGCCACGAUUCCGGUUCGAGCUCUUCUGGCUUAAUCAGGUCGGCUUGCGGGAGGCUGUCGUCGCUCGCUGGAUCUCCGCUCGCUCUUCCCCUCAUCGCGCCAUGUCCGCAGUCGACUCGUGGCACUUCUGUGCCAAGCUCGCCCGCCAAUUCAUGAAGGGUUGGGGUGCUAACCUUGGCCGGGACCUUCGAGAGCGCAAAAAGGCCCUCCUGCUGGCUAUCCAAGCCCUGGAUGCCCGUGCCGAGACGUCCAGGAUCUCCCCGGAUGAGUGGAUGCUGCGAUAUGACCUUGAAGACCAGAUCUCAACCAUUUACACGGAUGAAGAGGCCUACUGGCGACUGCACGGUACCCAAUGGUGGGUGCUUCGGGGUGAUGCCAACACCGCCUAUUUCCAGGCAGUGGCGAACGGCCGGCGGCAUCGAAACUCCAUCCACUGCUUGUGGGAUGGAGACACGCCUCUCGUUCGCCCCUCGGCCAUCCGUGCCCAUGUAGACGGCUUCUAUAAAGCCCUAUUUACCCCACCCCUCGGGGUGGGGCUAGUCUCGCCCCCGACAUUUGGUCGGGUGAUCAAUUGGUCUCAGUUGAGGCCAAUGCGGCAUUAGUGGCCCCCUUCGCCAAGGACGAGGUCCUCGCGGCUAUUAAAGGGAUGAACCCCUCCUCGGCCUCAGGACCGGAUGGCUUGCCUGUAACGUUCUUCAAAACGUUCUGGCCGACCAUCAAGCCGGAGGUCAUGGCCCUAUUUGAGGAAUUCUACUUGGGCGCCAUGGAUCUUGGGUGUCUCAACUAUGGUAUCGUGACCCUCAUCCCCAAGGUCCCGGGCGCCUCCGACAUCCGCCAGUUUCGUCCAAUCACAGUGAUUAAUGUGAUAUUCCGGAUCCUGGCCAAAGGGUACACCAAUAGGAUGACCCUGCUCACUGACGCGAUUACCCAUCCCAACCAAUCCGCCUUCAUACAAGGCCGAUUUAUUCUGGAUGGGGUGCUGGUAUUCCACGAAGUCCUCCAUGAGGUUCGGAUGAAACGCCAUCGGGUGGUCUUUCUGAAGCUAGACUUCCACAAAGCGUACGACAUGGUCUACUGGCCCUUCUUGUGGGAAGUGUUGCUUUGCAAGGGCUUUGAUGACCGUUGGGUGACUCGCGUCAUGCAGCUUGUCUCCUGUGGCCGGACCGCUAUGAACAUCAACGGUGACAUUAGGCCCUACUUCCCCACCCUCUGUGGGCUCCGUCAGGGUGACCCGUUCUCGACAUUUCUGUUCAACAUGGUGGUUGAUGCCCUAGCAUCCAUCCUUGAUAAGGCCAAGGAUGCUGGCCAUAUUCGUGGCAUCGUCCCCCACCUAGUCAGAGGGGGAGGGGUCUCCCUCCUUCAAUAUGCGGAUGAUACCAUAAUAAUGGUGGAGGGCUCCGUCCAAGACAUUGCUAACCUGAAGUUCCUCCUCCCGUGCUUCCAACAGAUGUCGGGCCUGACCAUCAACUUUGAUAAGAGCGAAGUGAUGGUUCUCGGGUUCCCCCCGGAGGAAGCACGGGCUAUUGCGGACCGGCUAAAUUGUCGGUUGGGUUCUUUCCCCACGACCUACCUGGGGAUCCCCAUUAGUGAUUCACGCCUCACCAUGGCGGAUUUUUGCCCCACGGUGACCCGUAUGCAACACCGCAUUGAGCCCUGGAAAGGGCGCUGGUUGUCGAAGGUUGCUCGCGUGAUCCUUAUCAAGUCUUCCCUUGCCAGCCUUCUUUGGUUCCUCAUGAGCUUCUAUAGCCUCCGUGAGACCCUUCAUCAAGAGAUCGCCAAAUACCAAUCUAGAUUCUUCUGGGAUGGGGAGGGGGAUAAGCAGAAGUACCAUAUGGUAAGCUGGCCCGAUAUCUGCAAACCCAAGGACCAGGGUGGUCUUGGGAUCUUGUCCUCCCGACGCAUGAACAUUGCCCUCCUCACCCGUUGGCUCUGGCGCAUUGCCAAUGGCAAUGGAGGUCUUUGGCUCACCAUCAUCCACAACAAGUACCUUCGAGGACAGCCUCUUGCAUUCUGUCAGCGCUCGGGCGGCUCCCAGUUUUGGCAGGCCGUCGUCCAGCUGCUACCUAUGCUUUGCAUUGGCACGUCCAUCUCGGUUGGUACUGGGUCCUCAACCCUGUUCUGGUUUGAUCGGUGGAUUGGCGACACCCCCCUGGCCGCACGAUUUCCGGAGCUCUUCGCCAUUGCAGUUGACCCUCGUGUCUCUGUCGAGACGACCCCUAUUGACUUAGGGCGCCUCGCUUUCCGCCGCCCCUUUGGCCCUCCUAAAGUUGCCUCUUGGGAUGCCCUCCUUCAGGACAUCCCCUCCUCCCUAUGGACGGCGCUGUCACCCCGGACGCCAUCUCUUGGCAUCUGGAACCUUUCGGCUACUUCUCCACCAAAUCCCUCUACGCGGCCAUCGCCCCUCGAUGGCCCCCGAGCCCUUUAGUUUGAUUUGGGACAUCCGCCUGCCCCUGAAGAUCAGGAUCUUCCUGUGGCAAUGGAUCCGAGGCCGCCUCUCAUCUGGUGUGGAGGUCCUUAAGAGUAAUGGACCUGGGGAUGGGAUGUGCCCCAUGUGUGACACGGUGGAGGAUGCUAACCACAUCUUCUUCUCGUGCUCCACGGCUCAGUUCCUUUGGUCCUGUUUCCGCGAGACGGUUGGGGGCCAGUGGUGCAACACCAACUUCCAUGACCUGCUUGCGUCACCUGCUCGCUAACAUCGGCACCUGCAAACUGCUUUUGGAAGAAUCUGUGAGUCACGGGGACUCAGCAAUCUCACACCCUUGCGAUCAAGACUAUUUAAGCUUAUAGGUAGGGUAAAAGGUAUGAGGUGGAGCUGCAGCAAGCGACUAGCAUUUAUGGUGGCUAACAUACGCAAAUGAGAGCGAGAAGAGAAGGCAAAAGCAUGGUCGAACAACUAUGUUCAAGAAGUGAUCCUAGAACAACCUACGUCAAGCAUAACUCCAACAUCGUGUUCACUUCUUGGACUCCGCCGGAAAGAGACCAUCACGGUUACACACGCGGUUGAUGUAUUUUAAUUAAGGUCAACUUCAGGUUUUCUACAACUGGACAUUAACAAAUUCCCAUCUGCCCAUAACCGCGGGCAUGACUUUCGAAAGUUCAGUCCCUGCAGGGUGUCCCAACUUAGCCCAUCACAAGCUCUCAUGGUCAACGAAGGAUAUUCCUUCUCCCAAGACAAUCCGAUCAGGCUCGGCAUCCAGGUUACAAGACAUCCUCGACAAUGGUAAAACAAGUCCAGCAACACCACCCGAAUGUGCCGACAAAUCCUGAUAGGAGCUGCACAUAUCUCAUUCUCAGGUCACACUCAGAUAGGUCAAGCUACGAGUAAAACCAACCCUCGAGUUUCCCCGAGGUGGCCCCGCAGGCUGCCCAUUUCGGACCAACACUUAGAGAAGCACUGGCCCGGGGGGUUAAAAUAAAGAUGACCCUUGGGUCCGCGAAACCUAAGGGAAAAAGGCUAGGUGGCGAAUGGUAAAACCAAUGUUGGGCAUUGCUGGAGGAGUUUUAUUCAAGGUGAACUGUCAAGGGGUUCCCAUUAUAACCCAACCGCGUGAGGAACGCAAAAUCUGGGAACAUAACACCGAUAUGACAGAAACUAGGGCAACAAGAGUGGAACAAAACACCAGGCAUAAGGCCGAGCCUUCCACCCUUUACCAAGUAUAUGGAUGCAUUAAUUAAAUAAGAGGUAUUGUGAUAUCCCAACAAGUAAACAUGUUCCAACAAGGAACAACAUCUCCCCUUGGUUGAAGAUAGUUUAAAUUUAAAUGUUCUAGAAAGUCCAAAUAUGCAUUUAAAUAAUAAGAUGUAAAUUAAUGCUUUUAUAAACGUCCUAAUAAUUAAUAAAAGUGGGAUGUUACAUCUUGUGUGGUCUUUGUGGUUGUUGCUAGAAACCCAUGGUGCUUUGAUGCCAUGGAUCGAUUCAUCAUCCACCGGAAUAAUGAUGAUGGGACGAUGUCAUUUUAGUUAUCGAAUCAUCGUUGAAAGUAAAUGAUGAGAUGGUCAUGUCUGGAGAUGCAGUUCGCCAAAGUGAAAGAAAACUUACUUCGUAUGCCCUUGUUCAGGUAUUGAAUACUUGCAGUGCAACACUUAUUGCUUCUACAAAACUCAUAGUUAGGUCUUUUGCCAUCCAUAUCCAUUUCAAGUGUCACACUGAUCUAAAUGAUCUUAUAUUUCUUUACAGAGAGAGUACCUUUUAGGAAGUGAUCUAAAUGGUUGUAUAUUUCUUUACCGAGGGGGGGGGGNNNNNNNNNNNNNNNNNNNNNNNNNNNNNNNNNNNNNNNNNNNNNNNNNNNNNNNNNNNNNNNNNNNNNNNNNNNNNNNNNNNNNNNNNNNNNNNNNNNNNNNNNNNNNNNNNNNNNNNNNNNNNNNNNNNNNNNNNNNNNNNNNNNNNNNNNNNNNNNNNNNNNNNNNNNNNNNNNNNNNNNNNNNNNNNNNNNNNNNNNNNNNNNNNNNNNNNNNNNNNNNNNNNNNNNNNNNNNNNNNNNNNNNNNNNNNNNNNNNNNNNNNNNNNNNNNNNNNNNNNNNNNNNNNNNNNNNNNNNNNNNNNNNNNNNNNNNNNNNNNNNNNNNNNNNNNNNNNNNNNNNNNNNNNNNGUAGUUCUACAUUUUCAAUUCAUUUCCCUAUGAUUUAUACACAUUACUUUAUAUUUGGAGCUUAUAAAUUCUCAAUUUAAGAAAAUAAGUCUCAAAUGUGAAUCACUAAAAGAAAAUUAAUAGAACAAGCACAUAAACGACAAUUUUAAGAAAAUGUUUGUUUGCUUGCCCUAAUUCAGGCAACAUUUAAAAUCUCAAAUGUUAAAUCAAAUGCGCAUGUCCAUUGACCCUGCAAGUUGAAGGCACAUUCUCUACUAGUCGAGAAGUCCAUAUCACCUCUUGAAAUCAUUUUAGGGUUCAAAUUACAAUCUCGGACUUUGAUUUGGUUCAUUUAACCAUGUGAACUCUGAGAACCGUUCACUUUACAACCCACUUCUCGCGGCUUUGUGCUAGUCUGCUAUGCCAAAUCACAUAAUUUCUCUCUCCUCUCAGCUAUAUGCCUAUGUCAUCUCUUUUUUGUCUCCUCGUAAUAACCAAAACUAAGAUAGGUUUUUCUCAAGUUGUAUGCUAAUUCUAUGAACAUUUUUUUAAACCUAAAUCAGGUACAUAAACUUUGACAAAAUUAUAGUGAACGAGGAAUAGUUCAGUGACCAAAUGUUAUUCAGAUAAACUUAAUAUUUUAGUUUCAUGUUUAAAUGAUGGGUUUAAAAAAGCAAACUGCACACAAACAAACAAAUAACCAAUGACCGACCAUAAUUCAGUGAACAUCUGGUCAAAUAAAGAGAAAAAUAUUUAUGCAACAAGUGGAAACAUGGAACUGCAUGGUAGAUUAGCAGGGUAACUUGACUAAAUUAGGAAGUAAUAUAUCUACUAUUUUAAAAUUAAACCAAGUCAGAGUAACUUGACUAAAGGGAGAAAACCUGACCUUCAUUUUAGAGUAUUAUGCCGGACUUUCAGAGAAAACAACUUAGGUCUGAAAAAAGAGGGAGAUGCAGACUUCCAGAUGUCAUUUAGUAACUUUCAUUAGACUUCAAAAAACAUUUAUAUCUAAUCGCAGGAAAACGUGGUGAAAAAUCAUAGACCUCUAAUUUUAACUGAACUAGUUUCAUAUACACCUAAGAAAACCACCGUAUCGUGUGGUCUUAUAGAACUAUCAAAAGCAAGAAGAUUCUAUGGGCAUCAAAAUAUUGCGAAAGACUUCUGCAUUAACCCUUGUGUUAGUACUGUGAAGCAUGGCUGGUAGCACUAAAUUGUCAAGCUCCUGUAGAGAUGGUUCAACACUACUUAGGAACAUUAGAAAUAGUAAAACUAAUCAAUUGAUUUUGCCUUAGAUGUAAUAAUACGCCUUUGAGAAAAAUGGUUGAACUACUUCUAGGGUUUUGUGUCUGCACACAAUUGCGACAUUAAAUGAUCCAUGUAGACUUGCUAAUAGGUAUGAAUAAUAUCCUAAGGUGAGAUUGACUUGCAAUCCUGCUUGGUACAGUACAUACAUACUGCAGCAAAUACAAAAAAUAUCUCUGUAAAUAACAACUAAAUCCUGACUUUGCCUGACAUGCACCAAGUUCCGAAGUUUGUUUUGAUGUGUUCCUGUAGACGGUAGGGCUGCAUAUAACCUGUUAUGAACAAUACUUUCCCUGGUUUUUUACAUGCUUGCCUUCAUUACUACUCCCUCCGUAAAGAAAUAUAAGAGCGUUUAGAUUCCUAAAGUAGUGAUCUAAAUGCUCUUAUAUUUGUUUACAAAGGGAGUAUGUUCCUUCUGUAUCAAAAUGAUUAAUUUAUAAUACAAGGGGUACUUUCAAAUGUCAACUUUUAUUGGACAUUUUAUUCCUCGAGGAUAUGCAGGUGCAUUAACAAACUGCAAUCUUCCAAUUAGUUAUUGUCAUAUAGUACAAAUGUGUUUCAUUCAAAGUAAUAGCCUGAAAUAGGCCAAUUGCUCAAUACUGUGAUGUACCCAACGAUGUUUAUAUAACAGUAUAUAUGGAUGAUGUGGUGGUACUCAAUUAUUCCAUAGGUUAGGUUGAUUACUUAUUUCAUUUUAUAUUUAUAAAAUGAUUAAAAGCUUACCGAUCGGUCAACUGCUUAUGGAUUCAGUCUCAUCUUUUCAGGUAAGUAAAAUAAAAGCAGAAACCAAUUGGAGGAUGCAAGAACAGAGAAGUACAUGACAAUAGAAAUUGAACACCUUCCAGUGCAAGAAUUAUUGUUUCAAAUGCAGCCGUAUUGUUUUACAACACUCAAGAGUUCGAAAAUGUGGCAUUCAUUCUACCGUUUCGAAUUUCAUAUUAUGAUGAAAUGUUCCCAUAUAAUCACAUUAACACACUCCUGGCCCACUCUUAAUUGUUACGGCAGAUAUCAUCAUUAAAGUGAGUAGCAUACACUAGCCUGCACAUGUAGUGUAGUAAUUAAUACCUAUGACAAAAUUUUUGAACAGACAAUUAAACACUCAUAUAUAUUGUUUAGCAACAAUACCAUUUCCACUAGUGGGUCUCUGGUAACGGGAAUCAGGACACCGCCGGGACGGGCAUGAUGGAACCCGACGGCUCUGGCGACGCUCCGUGCGACCCGGCGGCUCCACCGCCGCCCCAGCCCCCGUCCCCUCCCUCGGACCCUGGCCAUGCGCUGGUGUCCCUCCCGCCCGCUCCGCAUCGACUCCCCCCACCGCCCCGUCGCACGUGGUCUAGGCGGACCUCGCCAAGGCCGACGACCUUGUCGUAGGGCGCCCCGUCAUUUGGCGCGACCGCGUUCCCCCCAAGGCCCCUGCCCGGCCGCCUCGGUCUGAUUCUGUCGGUGGCCUUACUCCCAGGUGUGGGAGUUCGGCCGCCCGCGGGUCUGCCCAGCGCCGGCGCCAACCCUCAGGCGUGUUUCGGUCGGCGGCAGGGCAAGGUGCUCCCUUGGGCUCGGGGUCUCGCCCUCGGGGGCGCCGCUCCGGCGGGUGGCGUGUCGUUGGCCGCGCCGACCGUGGCCUCGCGCGUUCUUCAUGGAGGGCCACUGCUCCGGCGCCGUCCUCCCCUGCUCCGUCCUGCGCACUGACGGCUUUCUCAGCGGAGCUCUCGUCGGUGGUUUUCCGGCGGUCCCCCUUCCGCCCUUUCAUCUCGGCUUUCAGCGCCGCCGCCCCCGCCUCCUGGUGCCCAGCGCGGCCCGUCCUGGCCUCGCCGCCCCCGCCCUACCCCAUCGGCGACCAUCGUGGCGGCGCUCGGGGAAACCCUUGCCCCUCCCCUGGUCUCCCGGGCUUCUCCUAUCGGGCCGCGCUCGUCUCGGGCCGUUCCGUGGGCCGCCUCCUUGGUGCCUCCCCGCGGGCCUCGGCUUCUGGGCCGCCACGUGAUGUGCGGGCCGUUGGCCCCUGUGUGGGCUGGUCCCCUGGACCGUCCUCACCCUCCGCGGCCCAGCCAUGCCCCUGGGUGGGCCUUGGCCCGAUCCGGCGCUCCAUCUCGCCACCGCUAGGGUUCCCCCGCCAACCAGUCCCCAACCCGACGCCUCCCACUCCCCCCGACGAAGUUCCACCCGCCGCCCCUAGCUCCCCCCUGCUCGUCGGCGCCACCGGUCCCCUUGCACCCUCCCCACCUCCCUCGCCGGCCAUGACCCUGGAGUAGGGCAACGGUGCGGGACGCCCCAAGCGCAGGGCACACAACCGCCGCGCCCCCCCUCGACCCUCUCCUGAUGGUCUCCGGCGGGAGGCUGACCUCAGGCAAGAGCUCGACUCCCGCCCGGCUCGGCGCUCCCCAGCCCGCGACGCUCGCCGCUCUCCCCCCACCCAGCCCGCCGGUCCCCUGCUCGGGACGACCGCCGCUCCCGGUCCCCGGCGCGCCGCUCGCCCCCUCGGGCUGCCUCGCGGGAUCGCGGCUGGUCACCGGCUGGAGGGGGGGGGCUCGGCAGUCCUCCCGGCGGCGGUCCCCCUCCCCGUCGCGCCAUCGGGACCGAUCCCCAUCUCCUCCCCGACAGCAGUCCCUGACCACCACCAUCACCGCCCCGGCCGCCCGCCGCUACCAGCCCCCUCACUCCCAAGCUGCAUUCCCGCCGUCCAAUGGGGGCAAUGGGGACCGGGGGCGCCAGGGCACCCAAAAGAAGAAGAAGGGUCCCCCUCGCCCUCGACCGCCUCCACCUCCGCUGGCGCGGUGGCUCCACCUCCGGGCUCCACCCCGCCUCUAAGGGUCCGCCGUGCUUCAAUUCCGGCCUGACCGGGCACUUCCAGGUGGCAUGCCACAACCCUCCGAGGUGCUACCUCUGCAAGGAUGCCGGGCACCCCGUGAUUCUGUGCCCGGACCGCCCGGUGACGGAGGAGAUCAUGAUGUACGACCACGGCAUCGAGGACAUGGGCUUCUUCCACAUCGAGGUCCCGGAGAUUCCCCCUCCCCCCUCGCUCCUGGCUCUCGUGACUGUCGUGGAUGCGGGCGUCGCCACCCUGGAGCUGAUCGAGGCCGAGCUCAACCACUUGUGCAGUUUCAAGUGGGACUGGCAGGUGACCUCCAUCGCUGCCAACGCCUUCAAGGUGAUCUUCCCCGACGCUCUGAGCAUGGGACUCUGUACCCACAACAACAACAUCACCUUGGACCUCAACGGGAUUGUGGUGAACAUCUCAGAGCCAAGGUGGGAUCCCAAGGCCGUGGCUGUUCUGGACACUGUGUGGCUCCUCAUCGCCGGCCUGCCUGAUGUGGCCCGGUCUGAGUGAGUCAUCCGUAGUAUGUCCAAGAUCCUGGGAAAGGUGGUGGUGGUCGAUGAGCUCUCUCUACGCAAGGAGGAGGAGGUCCGGGUCAAGGUGAAGUGCCUGGACUCCUCUAAGCUCCACGCCACGAUUCGGGUCUUCUUCAACGACGACAGCUUCGACCUCAAGAUCUGCCCCGAGCCUCCGAACCACAUCGGCCGCCCCCGAUUCUCUGAUGACAGCCACCUGGGGGCGGUCCAGCUCACGCCGACAACUCCCACCACUGGCGGUCCCGCCACUCCCGCCUCGACGACCCUGAGGAUGACGAGGACUUGUCAAAGCACUCCCGCUCCCCGUCCCGCGAGCCCGCCAACCCACCUUCGGGUCAUGGCUGUUCCGAGGCGGGACGUGUUGGAAAUAUGCCCUAGAGGCAAUAAUAAAUUGGUUAUUAUUAUAUUUCCUUGUUCAUGAUAAUCGUUUAUUAUCCAUGCUAGAAUUGUAUUGAUAGGAAACUCAAAUACAUGUGUGGAUACAUAGACAACACCAUGUCCCUAGUAAGCCUCUAGUUGACUAGCUCGUUGAUCAAUAGAUGGUUACGGUUUCCUAACCAUGGACAUUGGAUGUCGUUGAUAACGGGAUCACAUCAUUAGGAGAAUGAUGUGAUGGACAAGACCCAAUCCUAAGCCUAGCACAAGAUCAUAUAGUUCGUAUGCUAAAGCUUUUCUAAUGUGAAGUAUCAUUUCCUUAGACCAUGAGAUUGUGCAACUCCCGGAUACCGUAGGAGUGCUUUGGGUGUGCUAAACAUCACAACAUUACUAGGUGGAUAUAAAGGUACACUACAGGUAUCUCCGAAAGUGUCUGUUAGGUUGGCACGAAUUGAGACUGGGAUUUGUCACUCCGUGUAAACGGAGAGGUAUCUCUGGGCCCACUCGGUAGGACAUCAUCAUAAUGUGCACAAUGUGAUCAAGGAGUUGAUCACGGGAUGAUGUGUUACGUAACGAGUAAAGAGACUUGCCGGUAACGAGAUUGAACAAGGUAUCGGGAUACCGACGAUCGAAUCUCGGGCAAGUAUCGUACCGAUAGACAAAGGGAAUUGUAUACGGGAUUGAUUAAGUCCUUGACAUCGUGGUUCAGCCGAUGAGAUCAUCGUGGAGCAUGUGGGAGCCAGCAUUGGUAUCCAGAUCCCGCUGUUGGUUAUUGACCGGAGAGUUGUCUCGGCCAUGUCUGCAUGACUCCCAAACCUGUAGGGUCUACACACUUAAGGUUCGAUGACGCUAGGGUUAUAGGGAAAGUAUGUACGCGGUUACCGAAUGUUGUUCGGAGUCCCGGAUGAGAUCCCGGACGUCACGAGGAGUUCCAGAAUGGUCCGGAGGUAAAUAUUGAUAUAUAGGAAGUAUGGUUUUGGCCACCGGAAGUGUUCCGGGCAUCACCGGUAGUGUACCGGGACCACCGAAGGGGUCCCGGGGUCCACCAGGUGGGGCCACCAGCCCCGGAGGCCUACAUGGGCCAAUACUGGGAAGGGACCAGCCCCUAGGUGGGCUAGGGCGCCUCCCACCAAGGCCCAAGGCGCCUCCAAUAGGGGAAGGGGCAAACCCUAGGGCAGAUGGGCCCUAAGGCCCACCCUAGGUGCGCCUCCCCCUCUCCCCAUUGUGGCCGCCACCCUAGAUGGGAGCUAGGGCUGCCGCACCCCUUGGGGUGGGAACCCUAGGUGGGGGCGCAGCCCUCCCUCUCCCCCUAUAUAUAGUGGAGGCAAAGGGGCAGCCCAACACACGAUUUAAUCUCCCUGUUGGCGCAGCCCUACCCCUCUUCCUCCUCGUCUCUCGUAGUGCUUGGCGAAGCCCUGCUGGAGUCCCGCGCUCCUCCACCACCACCACGCCGUCGUGCUGCUGCUGGAUGGAGUCUUCCCCAACCUCUCCUUCUCCCCUUGCUGGAUCAAGGCGUAGGAGACGUCACCGGGCUGUACGUGUGUUGAACACGGAGGUGCCGUCCGUUCGGCACUAGGAUCAUCGGUGAUUUGGAUCAUGACGAGUACGACUCCAUCAACACGUUCACUUGAACGCUUCCGCUUAGCGAUCUACAAGGGUAUGUAGAUGCACUCUCCUUCCCCUCGUUGCUAGAUUACUCCAUAGAUUGAUCUUGGUGAUGCGUAGAAAAUUUUGAAUUUCUGCUACGUUGCCCAACAGUGGCAUCAUGAGCUAGGUCUAUGCGUAGUUACUAUGCACGAGUAGAACACAAAGUAGUUGUGGGCGUCGAUAUUGUCAAUUAUCUUGCCGGUACUAGUCUUAUCUUGAUUCGGUGACAUCGUGGGAUGAAGCGGCCCGGACCAACCUUACACGUACGCUUACGUGAGACCGGUUCCACCGACUGACAUGCACUAGUUGCAUAAGGUGGCUGGCGGGUGUCUGUCUCUCCCACUUUAGUCGGUUCGGAUUCGAUGAACAGGGUCCUUAUGAAGGGUAAAUAGAAAUUGGCAAUUCACGUUGUGGUUUUGGCGUAGGUAAGAAACGUUCUUGCUAGAAACCUAUAGCAGCCACGUAAAAAACUUGCAACAACAAUUAGAAGAUGUCUAACUUGUUUUUGCAGCAAGUGUUUUGUGAUGUGAUAUGGCCAAAGGAUGUGAUGAAUGAUAUAUGUGAUGUAUGAGAUGAUCAUGUUCUUGUAAUAGGAAUCAUGACUUGCAUGUCGAUGAGUAUGACAACCGGCAGGAGCCAUAGGAGUUGUCUUAAUUUAUUUAUGACCUGCGUGUCAAUAUAAACGUCAUGUAAUUACUUUACUUUAUUGCUAACCGUUAGUUGUAGUAGUAGAAGUAAUAGUUGGCGAGACAACUUCAUGAAGACACGAUGAUGGAGAUCAUGGUGUCAUGCCGGUGACAACGAUGAUCAUGGAGCCCCGAAGAUGGAGAUCAAAAGGAGCAAAAUGAUAUUGGCCAUAUCAUGUCACUUUUUGAUUGCAUGUGAUGUUUAUCAUGUUUUUGCAUCUUAUUUGCUUAGAACGAUGGUAGUAAAUAAGAUGAUCCCUCAUUAAAAUUUCAAGAAAGUGUUCCCCCUAACUGUGCACCGUUGCGAAGGUUCGUUGUUUCGAAGCACCACGUGAUGAUCGGGUGUGAUAGAUUCUAACGUUCGAAUACAACGGGUGUUGACGAGCCUAGCAUGUACAGACAUGGCCUCGGGACACAUGCGAAACACUUAGGUUGACUUGACGAGCCUAGCAUGUACAGACAUGGCCUCGGAACACGGAGGACCGAAAGGUCGAGCAUGAGUCGUAUGGUAGAUACGAUCAACAUGAAGAUGUUCACCGAUGAUGACUAGUCCGUCUCACUUGAUGAUCGGACACGGCCUAGUUGACUCGGAUCAUGUAAUCACUUAGAUGACUAGAGGGAUGUCUAUCUGAGUGGGAGUUCAUAAGAUGAACUUAAUUAUCCUGAACAUAGUCAAAAGGUCUUUGGAAAUUAUGUCGUGGCUCGCGCUUUAGUUCUACUGUUUAGAUAUGUUCCUAGAGAAAAUUUAGUUGAAAGUUGAUAAUAGCAAUUAUGCGGACUAGGUCCGUAAACUGAGGAUUGUCCUCAUUGCUUCAUAGAAGGCUUAUGUCCUUAAUGCACCACUCAGUGUGCUGAACCUCGAACGUCGUCUGUGGAUGUUGCGAACAUCUGACAUACACAUUUUGAUAACUACGUGAUAGUUCAGUUAAACGGUUUAGAGUUGAGGCACCGAAGACGUUUUGAAACGUCGCGAAACAUAUGAGAUGUUUCGAGGGCUGAAAUUGGGAUUUCAGGCUCGUGCCCAUGUCAAGAGGUAUAAGACCUCCGACGAUUUUCUUAGCCUGCAAACUAAGGGAGAAAAGCUCAAUUGUUGAGCUUGUGCUCAGAUUGUCUGAGUACAACAAUCAUUUGAAUCAAGUGGGAGUUGAUCUUCCAGAUGAGAUAGUGAUGUUUCUCCGAAGUCAUUACCACCAAGCUGCUAGAGCUUCAUGAUGAACUAUGAUAUAUCAGGGACAUAUAUGAUGAUCCUUGAGAUAUUCGCGAUGUUUGACACCACAAAAGUAGAAAUCAAGAAGGAGCAUCAAUUGUUGAUGGUUGGUGAAACCACUAGUUUCAAGAAGGGCAAGGGCAAGAAGGGAUACUUCAUGAAACAGCAAAUCAGCUGAUGCUCUAGUGAAGAAACCCAAGGUUGAACCCAAACCCGAGACUAAGUGCUUCUGUAAUAAGGGGAACAGCCACUGGAGCAGAAUUACCCUAGAUACUUGGUAGAUGAGAAGGCUGGCAAGGUCGAUAGAAGUAUAUUUGAUAUACAUUGUGUUAAUGUGUACUUUACUAGUACUCCUACUAGCACCAUGGUAUUAGAUACCGGUUCGGCUGCUAAGUGUUAGUAAACUCGAAAUAAGAGGCUGCGGAGUAAAGGGAGACUAGCUAAAGGUGAGCUGGCGAUAUGUGUUGGAAGUUUUUCCCAAGCUUGAUGUGAUCAAGCAUCGCACGCUCCCUCUACCAUCGAGAUUGGUGUUUGCGUUGAGCAUAGACAUGAUUGGAUUAUGUCUAUCGCAAUACGGUUAUUCAUUUAAGGAGAAUAAUGGUUAAUCUGUUUAUUUGAAUAAUACCUUCAAUGGUCUUGCACCUAAAAUGAAUGUUUUUUGAAUCUCGACCGUAGUGUGAUACACAUGUUCAUGCCAAAAGAUAUAAGAUAGUAAUGAUAGUACCACCUACUUGUGGCAUAGCCACGUAAGUCAUAUCGGUAUAAAACGCAUGAAGAAGCUCCAUGUUGAUGGAUCUUUGGGCUCACUCGUUUUGAAAAAUUUGAGACAUGCGAACCAUGUCUAUUGGUGUAUAUGCAUGAAGAAACUCCAUGCAAAUGGACCGUUUGGACUCACUUGAUUUUGGAUCACUUGAGACAUGCAAAUCAUACCACAUGGGCAAGAUGACUGAAAGCCUCGUUUUCAGUAAAAUGGAACUAGAAAGCAACUUGUUGGAAGUAAUACAUUUUGAUGUGUGCGGUCCAAUGAGUGCUGAGGCGUGUAGUGGAUAUCGUUAUGUUCUUACUUCAUAGAUGAUUUGAGUAGAUGUUGAGUACAUUUACUUGAUGAAUCACGAGUCUGAAUUAUUGAAAGGUUCAAGUAAUUUUAGGGUGAAGUUGAAAGAUCGUCGUGACAAGAGGAUAAAAUAUCUAUGAUAUGAUCAUAGAGAUGAAUAUCUGAAUUACGAGUUUGGCACAGAAUUAAGACAUUGUGGAAAUUGUUUCACAACUAAUACAGCCUGGAACACCAUAGUGUGAUGGUGUGUCCGAACAUCAUAACUACACCCUAUUGGAUAUGAUGCAUACCAUGAUGUCUCUUAUCGAAUUACCACGAUAUUUUAUGGGUUAGGCAUUAGAGACAACCACAUUCACUUUAAAUAGGGCACCACGUAAUUCCGAUGAGAUGACACCGUAUGAACUAUGGUUUAGAGAAACCUAAGCUUUCAUUUCUUAAAAGUUUGGGGUUGCGACGCUUGUGUGAAAAAGUUUUAGGCUGAUAAGCUCGAACCCAAAGCGGAUAAAUGCAUCUUCAUAGCACACCCAAAACAGUUGGGUAUACCUCCUGUCUCAGAUCCGAAAGCAAUAAGGGAUUGUUUCUAGAAUCGGGUCCUUUCUCGAGGAAAAGUUUCUCUCGAAAGAAUUGAGUGGGAGGAUGGUGGAGACUUGAUGAGGUUAUUGAACCAUCUCUUCAACUAGUGUGUGGCUGGGCACAUGGAGUUGUUCCUGUGGCACCUACACCAAUUGAAGUGGAAGCUUAUGAUAGUGAUCAUGAAACUUCAGAUCAAGUCACUACCAAACCUCGUGGGAUGACAAGGAUGCGUACUACUUCAGAGUGGUACGUAAUCCUAUCUUGGAAGUCAUGUUGCUAGACAACAAUGAACCUACGAGCUAUGGAGAAGCGAUGGUGGGCCUGGAUUCCAAAAUGGCUCGAGGCCAUAUAAUCCGAGAGAGGAUCCAUAUAUGAAAACAAAGUGUAGACUUUGGAAGAACUACUUGAUGGUCGUAAGGCUGUUAGGUACAUAUGGAUUUUAAAAGGAAGACGGACAAUGAUGGUAAGUAUCACCAUUAAGAAAGCUCGACUUGUCGUUAAGAUGUUUUCCGACAAGUUCAAGGAGUUGACUACGAUGAGACUUUCUCACUCGUAGCGAUGCUAAGAGUCUGUUGGAAUUAUAUUAGCGAUUACUGCAUUAUUUAUGAAAUCUUGCAGAUAGGAUGUCAAAACAUUGUUUCCUCGACGAUUUUCUUGAGGAAAGGUUGUAUGUGAUACAACCGGAAGGUUUUGUCAAUCCUGAAAGAUGCUAAUAAGUAUGCAAAGCUCCAGCAAUCCUUCUAAGGACUGGAGUAAGCAUCUCGGAGUUGGAAUGUAUGCUUUGAUGAGAUGAUCAAAGAUAUUGGGUGUAUACAAAGUUUAUGAGAAACUUGUAUUUCCAAAGAAGUGAGUGGGAGCACUAUAGAAUUUCUGAUGAAUAUAUGUUGUUGACAUAUUGUUGAUCAGAAAUGACGUAGAAUUUCUGGAAAGCAUAUAGGGUUAUUUGGAAAGUGUUUUUCAAUGGAAAGCCUAGAUUAAGCUGCUUGAACAUUGAGCAUCAAGAUCUAUAAGGAUAGAUCAAAACGCUUAAUGGUACUUUCAAAUGAGCACAUACCUUGACAUGAUCUUGAAGGUGUUCAAGAUGGAUCAGUCAAAGAAGGAGUUCUUGCCUGAGUUGUAAGGUAUGAAGUUAAGACUUAAAGCUCGACCACGGCAGAAGAAAGAGGAAGGACGAAGGUCGUCCCCUAUGCUUUUGUCAUAGGCUCUAUACGGUAUGCCAUGUUGAGUACCGCACCUGAUGUGUGCCUUGCCACAUAUCUGGCAAGAGGGUACAAAGGUAAUCUAGGAGUAGAUCACCAGAUAGCGGUCUAAAUUAUCCUUAGAGGAAUAAGGAUAUGUUUCUCGGUUAUGGAGGUGAUAAAGAGUUCGACGUAAAGAGUUACGUCGAUGCAAGCUUAACACCUAUCCGGAUAGCUCUGAGUAGAGAUACCGGAUACGUAUAAUGGAGCAACAAUUUAGAAUAGCUCCAAGUAGAACAGUUAUUUGAAAUGGCUCCAAAUGUAGCGUAGUAGUUGCAUCUACAAGAUGACAUAGAAAUUUGCGAAGUACAUACGGAUCUGAAUGUUGCAGACCCGUUGACUGAAACCUCUCUCACAAGCAUAACAUGAUCAAACCCAGAACUCUUUGGGUGUUAGUCACAUGGGGAUGUGACCUUGAGUGUUAAUCACAUAUCGAUGUGAACUGGAUUAUUGACUCUAGUGCAAGUGGGAGACUGUUGGAAAUAUGCCCUACAGGCAAUAAUAAAUUGGUUAUUAUUAUAUUUCCUUGUUCAUGAUAAUCGUUUAUUAUCCAUGCUAGAAUUGUAUUGAUAAGAAACUCAGAUACAUGUGUGGAUACAUAGACAACACCAUGUCCCUAGUAAGCCUCUAGUUGACUAGCUCGUUGAUCAAUAGAUGGUUACGGUUUCCUGACCAUGGACAUUGGAUGUCGUUGAUAACGGGAUCACAUCAUUAGGAGAAUGAUGUGAUGGAGAAGACCCAAUCCUAAGCCUAGCACAAGAUCAUAUAGUUCGUCUGCUAAAGCUUUUCUAAUGUCAAGUAUCAUUUCCUUAGACCAUGAGAUUGUGCAACUCCCGGAUACCGUAGGAGUGCUUUGGGUGUGCCAAACGUCACAACGUAACUGGGUGGCUAUAAAGGUACACUACUGGUAUCUCCGAAAGUGUUUGCUGGGUUGGCACGAAUCGAGACUGGGAUUUGUCACUCCGUGUAAACGGAGAGGUAUCUCUGGGCCCACUCGGUAGGACAUCAUCAUAAUGUGCACAAUGUGAUCAAGGAGUUGAUCACGGGAUGAUGUGUUACGGAACGAGUAAAGAGACUUGCCGGUAACGAGAUUGAACAAGGUAUCGGGAUACCGACGAUCGAAUCUCGGGCAAGUAUCAUACCGAUAGACAAAGGGAAUUGUAUACGGGAUUGAUUAAGUCCUUGACAUCGUGGUUCAUCCGAUGAGAUCAUCGUGGAGCAUGUGGGAGCCAGCAUGGGUAUCCAGAUCCCGUUGUUGGUUAUUGACCGAGAGUUGUCUCGGCCAUGUCUGCAUGACUCCCGAACCCGUAGGGUCUACACACUUAAGGUUCGAUGACGCUAGGGUUAUAGGGAAAGUAUGUACGCGGUUACCGAAUGUUGUUCGGAGUCCCGGAUGAGAUCCCGGACGUCACGAGGAGUUCCAGAAUGGUCCGGAGGUAAAGAUUGAUAUAUAGGAAGUAUGGUUUUGGCCACCGGAAGUGUUCCGGGCAUCACCGGUAGUGUACCGGGACCACCGAAGGGGUCCGGGGGUCCACCAGGUGGGGCCACCAGCCCCGGAGGACUACAUGGGCCAAUAGUGGGAAGGGACCAGCCCCUAGGUGGGCUAGGGCGCCUCCCACUAAGGCCCAAGGCGCCUCCAAUAGGGGAAGGGGCAAACCCUAGGGCAUAUGGGCCCUAAGGCCCACCCUAGGUGUGCCUCCCCCUCUCCCCCUUGUGGCCACCACCCUAGAUGGGCUCUAGGGCUGCCGCACCCCUUGGGGGUGGGAAUCCUACGUGGGGGCGCAGCCCUCCCUCUCCCCCUAUAUAUAGUGGAGGCAAAGGGGCAGCCCAACACACGAUUUAAUCUUCCUGUUGGCACAGCCCUACCCCUCUUCCUCCUCGUCUCUCGUAGUGCUUGGCGAAGCCCUGCUGGAGUCCCGCGCUCCUCCACCACCACCAUGCCGUCGUGCUGCUGCUGGAUGGAGUCUUCCCCAACCUCUCCUUCUCCCCUUGCUGGAUCAAGGCGUAGGAGACGUCACCAGGCUGUACGUGUGUUGAACACGGAGGUGCCGUCCGUUCAGCACUAGGAUCAUCGGUGAUUUGGAUCACUACGAGUACGACUCCAUCAACCCGUUCACUUGAACGCUUCCGCUUAGAGAUCUACAAGGGUAUGUAGAUGCACUCUCCUUCCCCUCGUUGCUAGAUUACUCCAUAGAUUGAUCUUGGUGAUGCGUAGAAAAUUUUGAAUUUCUGCUACGUUCCCCAACAGGACGCACCUGAGUUUCCGCCACUGACCUCGCGGUGGCUCUCCGCCUGGCCACCCCGCCGGUCGCGCACUCUCCGCCUUCGUCGGAGUCAGCCAGUGACAUCUCCAGUGUGGGCCUGCUCGUCGUGCCGCCUUCGUCGCCGUGCUCUCCCUCCACCGACUCCGCCCUUCGCGCCUCGCCGUCGGGCCCGGACCCCCCGUCUCCCCUGGUUUGACCUCCACGGUCCCCACGGGUGGCGGCGGGUGCACUCCCAUCGGCGUGCCUUCUCCGACCCUCCCACUCACGGGGGACGCGGCCGGCGACAUCCUGGAGCUCGUCGCCCCACUCCCCUCGCCGGUGGACUCCGACGUCCGCCUCGCACCGCCUGCUUCCCCGACCGCGGCGGUGGCCGUUGUUGUGACCACUCCGGCCUCUGCUCACCCUCCUCCGACGGUGGCGUAUGCCAGGCGGCCCCGCUCCACCUCGCCGCCGGUGACGGCGUCCCGCCGCAGCACCCGCCUCGAUGCGACCCGGCCGGCGGACUCCUCGGCUCCGUCCAUCUCCGAGCGUGCGGAGCUUCGGGCGGCGGUCCGGAACCUCGAGUCAGGUGUGGAUCCCUCCCUUCCCAGUUCUUCCAGUUGUUCCUUUUCUGUGCUUGAGGCCGUUCCUCUUGGCCACUUCGCCAAGGUGGCCACUGACUCGAUCAUCAUCUUUAGGGGGAGGUUGGUCCCCCCUUAAAUCAGAUCGCGACCAUUAGGUCUCGUGAGAUCUUAGAUGGCAAGCUUGCUAAGACUCGGGCGCGCUUGCUUCGGCCUCCCAAGGAAUCGUCCGCUACCCCCGCGGUUCGCGUUCCUCCGGUGGCUGAUGGGGUGAUCCAUGGACGCACCCGCUCUCGCGCUGCUGCUCUCCACAUGCAAAGCGCCUCCCGUGUCCUAGGUUCAAGGAGCCCCCCGAUGGGGGCUUAGAUGCGGGCCCUUUUCUGGAACAUCCGCGGCUUCGGCCAUGAUGGCCGUCACCGCCAACUCAUCGAGUACAUGCGAGACGAACACAUUGACAUCAUUGCCAUCCAGGAAACCAUGCGCACCGUGUUCUCCCUCCACGAGCUCUAAUGUCUUAGUUCCCACCUCUUCGCCUGGCAUUGGCUCCCUUCUAGUGGGACCACAGGCCAUUCUGGCGGCAUCCUUUUAGGGGUAAAGGAUGCCACCUUUGAGGUGGGUGGCAUGGACCGGGGUGAAUUCUUCCUUAGUAUGGAGAUCUUCGAGCGUGCUCUUAACUUCAAAUGGGAGGUCGUGAUUGUGUAUGGACCGGCGGACCACCGGCGCUCCCUGGCCUUCCUGACGGAGCUACAUCUGAAGAUCUCCAACUCCCUCCUCCCAGUUGUAGUGGGCGGAGACUUUAACCUCAUCCGAUCCCUAGAUGAGAAGAAUAAUGACCGGAUUAACCUCCCCCGGAUGCAGUUAUUCAAUGACUGGAUCGCAGAGCUGGGUCUCUAUGAGCUAGAUCGGACGGGUGCCAGGUUCACUUGGACAAACCGUCAGGUUGACCCGACGCAAUCCGUCUUGGAUCACGUCCUAGUUUCCCCGGAGUGGGAAUUAUGUUGCCCCCUGGCCUCGCUUCGUGCGAUUACCCGGAUCGGGUCUGACCAUGUCCCUCUCCUCCUCUCCACCGCUGACGAGCGCCCCCCACCCCGCCACGUUUCCGGUUCGAGCUCUUCUGGCUUAAUCAGGUCGGCUUGCGGGAGGCUGCCGUCGCUCGCUGGAUCUCCGCUCGCUCUUCCCCUCAUCGCGCCAUGUCCACAGUCGACUCGUGGCACUUCUGUGCCAAACUCGCCCACCAAUUCAUGAAGGGUUGGGGUGCUUACCAUGGCCGGGACCUUCGAGAGCGCAAAAAGGCCCUCCUGCUGGCUAUCCAAGCCCUGGAUGCCCGUGCCGAGACGUCCGGGAUCUCCCCGGAUGAGUGGAUGCUGCGAUAUGACCUUGAAGACCAGCUCUCAACCAUUUACACGGAUGAAGAGGCCUACUGGCGACUGCGCGGUACCCAAUGGUGGGUGCUUCGGGGUGAUGCCAACACCGCCUAUUUCCAGGCAGUGGCGAAUGGCCGGCGGCAUCGAAACUCCAUCCACUGCCUGUGGGAUGGAGACACGCCUCUCGUUCGCCUCUCGGCCAUCCAUGCCCAUGUAGACGGCUUCUAUAAAGCCCUAUUUACCCCACCCCUCGGGGUGGGGCUAGUCUCGCCCCCGACAUUUGGUCGGGUGAUCAAUUGGUCUCAGUUGAGGCCAAUGCGGCAUUAGUGGCCCCCUUCGCCAAGAACGAGGUCCUCACGGCUAUUAAAGGGAUGAACCCCUCCUCGGCCUCAGGACCGGAUGGCUUGCCUGUAACGUUCUUCAAAACGUUCUGGCCGACCAUCAAGCCGGAGGUCAUGGCCCUGUUUGAGGAAUUCUACUCGGGCGCCAUGGAUCUUGGGUGUCUCAACUAUGGUAUCGUGACCCUCAUCCCCAAGGUCCCGGGCGCCUCCGACAUCCGCCAAUUUCGUCCAAUCACAGUGAUUAAUGUGAUAUUCCGGAUCCUGGCCAAAGGGUACACCAAUAGGAUGACCCUGCUCACUGACGCGAUUACCCAUCCCAACCAAUCCGCCUUCAUACAAGGCCGAUUUAUUCUGGAUGGGGUGCUGGUAUUCCAUGAAGUCCUCCAUGAGGUUCGGAUGAAACGCCAUCAAGCGGUCUUUCUGAAGCUAGACUUCCUCAAAGCGUACGACAUGGUCCACUGGCCCUUCUUGUGGGAAGUGUUGCUUUGCAAGGGCUUUGAUGACCGUUGGGUGACUCGCGUCAUGCAGCUUGUCUCCUGUGGCCGGACCGCUAUGAACAUCAACGGUGACAUUAGGCCCUACUUCCCCACCCUCUGUGGGGUCCGUCAGGCUGACCCGUUCUCGACAUUCCUGUUCAACAUGGUGGUUGAUGCCCUGGCAUCCAUCCUUGAUAAGGCCAAGGAUGCUGGCCAUAUUCGUGGCAUCGUCCCCCACCUAGUCAGAGGGGGAGGGGUCUCCCUCCUUCAAUAUGCGGAUGAUACCAUAAUAAUGGUGAAGGGCUCCGUCCAAGACAUUGCUAACCUGAAGUUCCUCCUCCCGUGCUUCCAACAGAUGUCGGGCCUGACCAUAAACUUUGGUAAGAGCGAAGUGAUGGUUCUCGGGUUCCCCCCGGAGGAAGCACGGGCUAUUGCGGACCGGCUAAAUUGUCGGUUGGGUUCUUUCGCCAGGACCUACCUGGGGAUCCCCAUUAGUGAUUCACGCCUCACCAUGGCGGAUUUUUGCCCCACGGUGACCCGUGUGCAACACCGCAUUGAGCCCUGGAAAGGGCGCUGGUUGUCGAAGGUUGCUCGCGUGAUCCUUAUCAAGUCUUCCCUUGCCAGCCUUCUUUGGUUCCUCAUGAGCUUCUAUAGCCUCCGUGAGACCCUUCAUCAAGAGAUCGCCAAAUACCAAUAUAGAUUCUUCUGGGCUGGGGAGGGGGAUAAGCAGAAGUACCAUAUGGUAAGCUGGCCCGAUAUCUGCAAACCCAAGGACCAGGGUGGUCUUGGGAUCUUGUCCUCCCAACGCAUGAACAUUUCCCUCCUCACCCGUUGGCUCUGGCGCAUUGCCAAUGGCAAUGGAGGUCUUUGGCUCACCAUCAUCCACAACAAGUACCUUCGAGGACAGCCUCUUGCAUUCUGUUAGCGCUCGGGCGGCUCCCAGUUUUGGCAGGCCGUCGUCCAGCUGCUACCUAUGCUUUGCAUUGGCACGUCCAUCUCGGUUGGUACUGGGUCCUCGACCCUGUUCUGGUUUGAUCGGUGGAUUGGCGACACCCCCCUGGCCGCAUGAUUUCCGGAGCUCUUCGCCAUUGCAGUUGACCCUCGUGUCUCUGUCGAGACGACCCUUAUUGACUUAGGGCGCCUCGCUUUCCGCCGCCCCUUUGGCCCUCCUAAAGUUGCCUCUUGGGAUGCCCUCCUUUAGGACAUCCCCUCCUCCCUAUGGACGGUGCUGUCACCCCGGACGCCAUCUCUUGGCAUCUGGAACCUUUCGGCUACUUCUCCACCAAAUCCCUCUACGCGGCCAUCGCCCCCUCGAUGGCCCCCGAGCCCUUUAGUUUGAUUUGGGACAUCCGCCUGCCCCUGAAGAUCAGGAUCUUCCUGUGGCAAUGGAUCCGAGGCCACCUCUCGUCUGGUGUGGAGGUCCUUAAGAGUAAUGGACCUGGGGAUGGGAUGUGCCCCAUGUGCGACACGGUGGAGGAUGCUAACCACAUCUUCUUCUCGUGCUCCACGGCUCAGUUCCUUUGGUCCUGUUUCCGCGAGACGGUUAGGGGCCAGUGGUGCAACACCAACUUCCAUGACCUGCUUGCGUCACCUGUUCGCUAACAUCGGCACCUGCAAACUGCUUUUGGAAGAAUCUGUGAGUCACGGGGACUCAGCAAUCUCACACCCUUGCGAUCAAGACUAUUUAAGCUUAUAGGUAGGGUAAAAGGUAUGAGGUGGAGCUGCAGCAAGCGACUAGCAUUUAUGGUGGCUAACAUACGCAAAUGAGAGCGAGAAGAGAAGGCAAAAGCACGGUCGAACAACUAUGUUCAAGAAGUGAUCCUAGAACAACCUACGUCAAGCAUAACUCCAACACCGUGUUCACUUCCUGGACUCCGCCGGAAAGAGACCAUCACGGUUACACACGCGGUUGAUGUAUUUUAAUUAAGGUCAACUUCAGGUUUUCUACAACUGGACAUUAACAAAUUCCCAUCUGCCCAUAACCGCGGGCACGGCUUUCGAAAGUUCAAUCCCUGCAGGGUGUCCCAACUUAGCCCAUCACAAGCUCUCACGGUCAACGAAGGAUAUUCCUUCUCCCAAGACAAUCCGACAGGCUCAGCAUCCAGGUUACAAGACAUCCUCGACAAUGGUAAAACAAGUCCAGCAACACCACCCGAAUGUGCCGACAAAUCCUGAUAGGAGCUGCACAUAUCUCAUUCUCAGGUCACACUCAGAUAGGUCAAGCUACGAGUAAAACCAACCCUCGAGUUUCCCCGAGGUGGCCCCGCAGGCUGCCCGUUUCGGACCAACACUUAGAGAAGCACUAGCCCGGGGGGGUUAAAAUAAAGAUGACCCUUGGGUCCGCGAAACCUAAGGGAAAAAGGCUAGGUGGCGAAUGGUAAAACCAAUGUUGGGCAUUGCUGGAGGAGUUUUAUUCAAGGUGAACUGUCAAGGGGUUCCCAUUAUAACCCAACCGCGUGAGGAACGCAAAAUCUGGGAACAUAACACCGAUAUGAUAGAAACUAGGGCAACAAGAGUGGAACAAAACACCAGGCAUAAGGCCGAGCCUUCCACCCUUUACCAAGUAUAUAGAUGCAUUAAUUAAAUAAGAGGUAUUGUGAUAUCCCAACAAGUAAACAUGUUCCAACAAGGAACAACAUCUCACCUUGGUUGAAGAUAGUUUAAAUUUAAAUGUUCUAGAAAGUCCAAAUAUGCAUUUAAAUAAUAAGAUGUAAAUUAAUGCUUUUAUAAAUGUCCUAAUAAUUAAUAAAAGUGGGAUGUUACAUCUUGUGUGGUCUUUGUGGUUGUUGCUAGAAACCCAUGGUGCUUUGAUGCCAUGGAUCGAUUCAUCAUCCACCGGAAUAAUGAUGAUGGGACGAUGUAAUUUUAGUGAUCGAAUCAUCGUUGAAAGUAAAUGAUGAGAUGGUCAUGUCUGGAGAUGCAGUUCGCCAAAGUGAAAGAAAACUUACUUCGUAUGCCCUUGUUCAGGUAUUGAAUACUUGCAGUGCAACACUUAUUGCUUCUACAAAACUCAUAGUUAGGUCUUUUGCCAUCCAUAUCCAUUUCAAGUGUCACACUGAUCUAAAUGAUCUUAUAUUUCUUUACAGAGAGAGUACCUUUUAGGAAGUGAUCUAAAUGGUUGUAUAUUUCUUUACCGAGGGGGGGGGGGUACGUAGUUCUACAUUUUCAAUUCAUUUCCCUAUGAUUUAUACACAUUACUUUAUAUUUGGAGCUUAUAAAUUCUCAAUUUAAGAAAAUAAGUCUCAAAUGUGAAUCACUAAAAGAAAAUUAAUAGAACAAGCACAUAAACGACAAUUUUAAGAAAAUGUUUGUUUGCUUGCCCUAAUUCAGGCAGCAUUUAAAAUCUCAAAUGUUAAAUCAAAUGCGCAUAUCCAUUGACCCUGCAAGUUGAAGGCACAUUCUCUACUAGUCGAGAAGUCCAUAUCACCUCUUGAAAUCAUUUUAGGGUUCAAAUUACAAUCUCGGACUUUGAUUUGGUUCAUUUAACCAUGUGAACUCUAAGAACCGUUCACUUUACAACCCACUUCUCGCGGCUUUGUGCUAGUCUGCUAUGCCAAAUCACAUAAUUUCUCUCUCCUCUCAGCUGUAUGCCUAUGUCAUCUCUUUUUUGUCUCCUCGUAAUAACCAAAACUAAGAUAGGCUUUUCUCAAGUUGUAUGCUAAUUUUAUGAACAUUUUUUUUAACCUAAAUCAGGUACAUAAAACUUUGACAAAAUUAUAGUGAACGAGGAAUAGUUCAGUGACCAAAUGUUAUUCAGAUAAACUUAAUAUUUUAGUUUCAUGUUUAAAUGUUGGGUUUAAAAAAGCAAACUGCACACAAACAAACAAAUAACCAAUGACCGACCAUAAUUCAGUGAACAUCUGGUCAAAUAAAGAGAAAAAUAUUUAUGCAACAAGUGGAAACAUGGAACUGCAUGGUAGAUUAGCAGGGUAACUUGACUAAAUUAGGAGGUAAUAUAUCUACUAUUUUAAAAUUAAACCAAGUCAGAGUAACUUGACUAAAGGGAGAAAACCUGACCUUCAUUUCAGAGUAUUAUGCUGGACUUUCAGAGAAAACAACUUAGGUCUGAAAAAAGAGGGAGGUGCAGACUUCCAGAUGUCAUUUAGUAACUUUCAUUAGACUUCAAAAAACAUUUAUAUCUAAUCGCAAGAAAACAUGGUGAAAAAUCAUAGACCUCUAAUUUUAAAUGAACUAGUUUCAUAUACACCUAAGAAAACCACCGUAUCGUGUGGUCUUACAGAACUAUCAAAAGCAAGAAGAUUCUCUGGGCAUCAAAAUAUUGCGAAAGACUUCUGCAUUAACCCUUGUGUUAGUACUGUGAAACAUGGCUGGUAGCACUAAAUUGUCAAGCUCCUGUAGAGAUGGUUCAACACUACUUAGGAACAUUAGAAAUAGUAAAACUAAUCAAUUGAUUUUGCCUUAGAUGUAAUAAUACGCCUUUGAGAAAAAUGGUUGAACUACUUCUAGGGUUUUGUGUCUGCACACAAUUGCGACAUUAAAUGAUCCAUGUAGACUUGCUAAUAGGUAUGAAUAAUAUCCUAAGGUGAGAUUGACUUGCAAUCCUGCUUGGUACAGUACAUACAUACUGCAGCAAAUACAAAAAAUAUCUCUGUAAAUAACAACUAAAUCCUGACUUUGCCUGACAUGCACCAAGUUCCUAAGUUUGCUUUGAUGUGUUCCUGUAGACGGUAGGGCUGCAUAUAACCUGUUAUGAACAAUACUUUCCCCGGUUUUUUACAUGCUUGCCUUCAUUACUACUCCCUCCGUAAAGAAAUAUAAGAGCGUUUAGAUCCCUAAAGUAGUGAUCUAAAUGCUCUUAUAUUUGUUUACAAAGGGAGUAUGUUCCUUCUGUAUCAAAAUGAUUAAUUUACAAUACAAGGGGUACUUUCAAAUGUCAACUUUUAUUGGACAUUUUAUUCCUCGAGGAGAUGCAGGUGCAUUAACAAAUUGCAAUCUUCCAAUUAGUUAUUGUCAAAUAGUACAAAUGUGUUUCAUUCAAAGUAAUAGCCUGAUAUAGGCCAAUUGCUCAAUACUAUGAUGUACCCAACGAUGUUUAUAUAACAGUAUAUAUGGAUGAUGUGGUGGUACUCAAUUAUUCCAUAGGUUAGGUUGAUUACUUAUUUCAUUUUAUAUUUAUAAAAUGAUUAAAAGCUUACCGAUCGGUCAACUGCUUAUGGAUUCAGUCUCAACUUUUCAGGUAAGUAAAAUAAAAGCGAAAACCAAUUGGAGGAUGCAAGAACAGAGAAGUACAUGAAAAUAGAAAUUGAACACCUUCCAGUGCAAGAAUUAUUGUUUCAAAUGCAGCAGUAUUGUUUUACAACACUCAAGAGUUCGAAAAUGUGGCAUUCAUUCUCCCGUUUCGAAUUUCAUAUUAUGAUGAAAUGUUCCCAUAUAAUCACAUUAACACACUCCUGGCCCACUCUUAAUUGUUACGGCAGAUAUCAUCAUUGAAGUGAGUAGCAUACACUAGCCUGCACAUGUAGUGUAGUAAUUAAUACCUAUGACAAAAUUUUCGAACAGACAAUUAAACACUCAUAUAUAUUGUUUAGCAACAAUACCAUUUGCGCUAGUGGGUCUCUGGUAAUGGGAAUCAGGACACCGCCGGGACGGGCAUGAUGGAACCCGACGGCUCUGGCGACGCUGCAUGCGACCCGGCGGCUCCGCCGCCGCCCCAGACCCCGUCCCCUCCCUCGGACCCUGGCCAUGCGCUAGUGUCCCUCCCGCCCGCUCCGCCGUCGACUCCCCCCACCGCCCCGUCGCGCGUGGUCUGGGCGGACCUCGCCAAGGCCGACGACCUUGUCGCGGGGCGCCCCGUCGUUUGGCGCGCCCGCGUUCCCCCCAAGGCCCCUGCCCGGCCGCCUCGGUCUGAUUCUGUCGGUGGCCUUACUCCCAGGUGUGGGAGUUCGGCCACCCGCGGGUCUGCCCGGUGCCGGCGCCAACCCUCAGGCGUGUUUCGGUCGGCGGCGGGGCAAGGUGCUCCCUUGGGCUCGGGGUCUCGCCCUCGGGGGCGCCGCUCCGGCGGGUGGCGUGUCAUUGGCCGCGCCGACCGCGGCCUCACGCGUUCUUCAUGGAGGGCCACUGCUCCGGUGCCGUCCUCCCCUGCUCCGGCCUACGCACUGACGGCGUUCUCGGCGGAGCUCUCGUCGGUGGUUUUCCGGCUGUCCCCCUUCCGCCCUUCCAUCUCAGCUUUCAGCGCCCCCCCCCCCCGCCUCCUGGUGCCCAGCGNNNNNNNNNNNNNNNNNNNNNNNNNNNNNNNNNNNNNNNNNNNNNNNNNNNNNNNNNNNNNNNNNNNNNNNNNNNNNNNNNNNNNNNNNNNNNNNNNNNNNNNNNNNNNNNNNNNNNNNNNNNNNNNNNNNNNNNNNNNNNNNNNNNNNNNNNNNNNNNNNNNNNNNNNNNNNNNNNNNNNNNNNNNNNNNNNNNNNNNNNNNNNNNNNNNNNNNNNNNNNNNNNNNNNNNNNNNNNNNNNNNNNNNNNNNNNNNNNNNNNNNNNNNNNNNNNNNNNNNNNNNNNNNNNNNNNNNNNNNNNNNNNNNNNNGGGGAAACCCUCGCCCCUCCCCUGGUCUCCCGGGCUUGUCCUACCGGGCCGCGCUCGUCUCGGGCCGUUCCGUGGGCCGCCUCCUUGGCGCCUCCCCGCGGGCCUCGGCUUCUGGGCCGCCGCGUGAUGUGCGGGCCGUUGGCCCCUGUGUGGGCCAGUCCCCUGGACCGUCCUCACCCUCCGCGGCCCAGCCAUGCCCCUGGGUGGGCCUUGGCCCGAUCCGGCACUCCAUCUCGCCACCGCUAGGGUUCCCCCGCCAACCAGUCCCUAACUCGACGCCUCCCGCUCCCCCCGACGAAGUUCCACCCAUCGCCCUUAGCUCCCCCCUGCUCAUCGGCGCCACCGGUCCCCUUGCACCCUCCCGACCUCCCUCGCCGGCCAUGACUCGGGAGUGGGGCGACGGUGCGGGACGCCCCAAGCGCAGGGCAGACGACCGCCGCGCCCCCCCUCGACCCUCUCCUGAUGGUCUCCGGCGGGAGGCUGACCUCAGGCAGGAGCUCGACUCCCGCCCGGCUCGGCACUCCCCAGCCCGCGACGCUCGCCGCUCUCCCCCCACCCAGCCCGCCAGUCCCCUGCUCGGGACGACCGCCGCUCUCGGUCCCCGGCGCGCUGCUCGCCCCCUCGGGCUGCCUCGCGGGAUCGCGGCUGGUCACCGGCUGGGGGGGGGGGCUCGGCAGUCCUCCCGGCAGCGGUCCCCCUCCCCGUCGCGCCAUCGGGACCGAUCCCCAUCUCCUCCCCGACAGCAGUCCCUGACCACCGCCAUCACCGCCCCGGCCGCCCGCCGCUACCAGCCCCCUCACACCCAAGCUGCAUUCCCGCCGUCCAAUGGGGGCAAUGGGAACCGGGGGCGCCAGGGCACCCAAAAGAAGAAGAAGGGUCCCCCUCGCCCCCUACCGCCUCCACCUCCGCUGGUGCGGUGGCUCCACCUCCGGGCUCCACCCCCGCCUUUGACGGUCCAUCGUGCUUCAAUUCCGGCCUGACCGGGCACUUCCAGGUGGCAUGCCCCAACCCUCCGAGGUGCUACCUCUGCAAGGACGCUGGGCACCCCGCGAUUCUCUGCCCGAACCGCCCGGUGACGGAGGAGAUCAUGAUGUACGACCACGGCAUCGAGGACAUGGGCUUCUUCCGCAUCGAGGUCCCGGAGAUUCCCCCUCCCCCCUCGCCCCUGGCUCUCGUGACUGUCGUGGGUGCGGGCGUCGCCACCCUGGAGCUGAUCGAGGCCAAGCUCAACCACUUGUUCAGGUGCAAGUGGGACUCGCAGGUGACCUCCACCGCUGCCAACGCCUUCAAGGUGAUCUUCCCCGACGCUCUGAGCAUGGGACUCUGUACCCACAACAACAACAUCACCUUGGCCCUCAACGCGAUUGUGGUGAACAUCUCAGAGCCAAGGUGGGAUCCCAAGGCCGUGGCUGUUCUGGACCCUGUGUGGCUCCUCAUCGCCGGCCUGCCUGAUGUGGCCCGGUCUGAGUGAGUCAUCCGCGGUAUGUCCAAGAUCCUGGGAAAGGUGGCGGUGGUCGAUGAGCUCUCACUACGCAAGGAGGAGGAGGUCCGGGUCAAGGUGAAGUGCCUGGACUCCUCCAAGCUCCACGCCACGAUUCGGGUCUUCUUCAACGACGACAGCUUCGACCUCAAGAUCUGCCCCGAGCCUCCAAACCACAUCGGCCGCCCCCGAUUCUCUGAUGGCAGCCACCUGGGGGCGGUCCAGCUCACGCCGACGGCUCCCACCACUGGCGGUCCCGCCACUCCCGCCUCGACGACCCUGAGGAUGAUGAGGACUUGUCGGAGCACUCCCGCUCCCCGUCCCGCGAGCCCGCCAACCCACCUUCAGGUCAUGGCGGUUCCGAGGCGGGACGUGUUGGAAAUAUGCCCUAGUAAAUUGGUUAUUAUUAUAUUUCCUUGUUCAUGAUAAUCGUUUAUUAUCCAUGCUAGAAUUGUAUUGAUAGGAAACUCAGAUACAUGUGUGGAUACAUAGACAACACCAUGUCCCUAGUAAGCCUCUAGUUGACUAGCUCGUUGAUCAAUAGAUAGUUACGGUUUCCUGACCAUGGACAUUGGAUGUCAUUGAUAACGGGAUCACAUCAUUAGGAGAAUGAUGUGAUGGACAAGACCCAAUCCUAAGCCUAGCAUAAGAUCAUAUAGUUCGUAUGCUAAAGCUUUUCUAAUGUCAAGUAUCAUUUCCUUAGACCAUGAGAUUGUGCAACUCCCGGAUACCGUAGGAGUGCUUUGGGUGUGCCAAACAUCACAACGUAACUGGGUGGCUAUAAAGGUACACUACAGGUAUCUCCGAAAGUGUCUGUUGGGUUGGCACGAAUCGAGACUGGGAUUUGUCACUCUGUGUAAACGGAGAGGUAUCUCUGGGCCCACUCGGUAGGACAUCAUAAUAAUGUGCACAAUGUGAUCAAGGAUUUGAUCACGGGAUGAUGUGUUACGGAACGAGUAAAGAGACUUGCCGGUAACGAGGUUGAACAAGGUAUCGGGAUAUCGGCGAUCGAAUCUCGGGCAAGCAUCGUACCGAUAGACAAAGGGAAUUGUAUACGGGAUUGAUUAAUUCCUUGACAUCGUGGUUCAUCCGAUGAGAUCAUCGUGGAGCAUGUGGGAGCCAGCAUGGGUAUCCAGAUCCCGUUGUUGGUUAUUGACCGGAGAGUUGUCUCGGCCAUGUCCGCAUGACUCCCGAACCCGUAGGGUCUACACACUUAAGGUUCGAUGACGCUAGGGUUAUAGGGAAAGUAUGUACGCGGUUACCGAAUGUUGUUCGGAGUCCCGGAUGAGAUCCCGGACGUCACGAGGAGUUCCAGAAUGGUCCGGAGGUAAAGAUUGAUAUAUAGGAAGUAUGGUUUUGGCCACCGGAAGUGUUCCGGGCAUCACCGGUAGUGUACCGGGACCACCGGAGGGGUCCGGGGGUCCACCAGGUGGGGCCACCAGCCCCGGAGGCCUACAUGGGCCAAUAGUGGGAAGGGACCAGCCCCUAGGUGGGCUAGGGCGCCUCCCACCAAGGCCCAAGGCGCCUCCAAUAGGGGAAGGGGCAAACCCUAGGCAGAUGGGCCCUAAGGCCCACCCUAGGUGCGCCUCCCCCUCUCCCCCUUGUGGCCGCCACCCUAGAUGGGAUCUAGGGCUGCCGCACCCCUUGGGGUGGGAACCCUAGGUGGGGGCGCAGCCCUCCCUCUCCCCCUAUAUAUAGUGGAGGCAAAGGGGCAGCCCAACACACGAUUUAAUCUCCCUGUUGGCGCAGCCCUACCCCUCUUCCUCCUCGUCUCUCGUAGUGCUUGGCGAAGCCCUGCUGGAGUCCCGCGCUCCUCCACCACCACCACGCCGUCGUGCUGCUGCUGGAUGGAGUCUUCCCCAACCUCUCCUUCUCCCCUUGCUGGACCAAGGCGUAGGAGACGUCACCAGGCUGUACGUGUGUUGAACACGGAGGUGCCGUCCGUUCAGCACUAGGAUCAUCGGUGAUUUGGAUCACUACGAGUACGACUCCAUCAACCCGUUCACUUGAACGCUUCCGCUUAGCGAUCUACAUGGGUAUGUAGAUGCACUCUCCUUCCUCUCGUUGCUAGAUUACUCCAUAGAUUGAUCUUGGUGAUGCGUAGAAAAUUUUGAAUUUCUGCUACGUUCCCCAACAGUGGCAUCAUGAGCUAGGUCUAUGCGUAGUUACUAUGCACGAGUAGAACACAAAGUAGUUGUGGGCGUCGAUAUUGUCAAUUAUCUUGCCGUUACUAUUCUUAUCUUGAUUCGGCGACAUCGUGGGAUGAAGCGGCCCGGACCAACCUUACACGUACGCUUACGUGAGACCGGUUCCACCGACUGACAUGCACUAGUUGCAUAAGGUGGCUGGCGGGUGUCUGUCUCUCCCACUUUAGUCGGUUCGGAUUCGAUGAACAGGGUCCUUAUGAAGGGUAAAUAGAAAUUGGCAAUUCACGUUGUGGUUUUGGCGUAGGUAAGAAACGUUCUUGCUAGAAACCUAUAGCAGCCACGUAAAAAACUUGCAACAACAAUUAGAAGACGUCUAACUUGUUUUUGCAGCAAGUGUUUUGUGAUGUGGUAUGGCCAAAGGAUGUGAUGAAUGAUAUAUGUGAUGUAUGAGAUGAUCAUGUUCUUGUAAUAGGAAUCAUGACUUGCAUGUCGAUGAGUAUGACAACCGGCAGGAGCCAUAGGAGUUGUCUUAAUUUAUUUAUGACCUGCGUGUCAAUAUAAAUCUCAUGUAAUUACUUUACUUUAUUGCUAACCGUUAGCUGUAGUAGUAGAAGUAAUAGUUGGCGAGACAACUUCAUGAAGACACGAUGAUGGAGAUCAUGAUGAUGGAGAUCAUGGUGUCAUGCCGGUGACAACGAUGAUCAUGGAGCCCCGAAGAUGGAGAUCAAAAGGAGCAAAAUGAUAUUGGCCAUAUCAUGUCACUUUUUGAUUGCAUGUGAUGUUUAUCAUGUUUUUGCAUCUUAUUUGCUUAGAACAACGGUAGUAAAUAAGAUGAUCCCUCAUUAAAAUUUCAAGAAAGUGUUCCCCCUAACUGUGCACCGCUAUGAAGGUUCAUUAUUUCGAAGCACCACGUGAUGAUCGGGUGUGAUAGAUUCUAACGUUCGAAUACAACGGGUGUUGACGAGCCUAGCAUGUACAGACAUGGCCUCGGGACACAUGCGAAACACUUAGGUUGACUUGACGAGCCUAGCAUGUACAGACAUGGCCUCGGAACACGGAGGACCGAAAGGUCGAGCAUGAGUCGUAUGGUAGAUACGAUCAACAUGAAGAUGUUCACCGAUGAUGACUAGUCCGUCUCACGUGAUGAUCGGAGACGGCCUAGUUGACUCGGAUCAUGUAAUCACUUAGAUGACUAGAGGGAUGUCUAUCUGAGUGGGAGUUCAUAAGAUGAACUUAAUUAUCCUGAACAUAGUCAAAAGGUCUUCGCAAAUUAUGUCGUGGCUCGCGCUUUAGUUCUACUGUUUAGAUAUGUUCCUAGAGAAAAUUUAGUUGAAAGUUGAUAAUAGCAAUUAUGCGGACUAGGUCCGUAAACUGAGGAUUGUCCUCAUUGCUUCAUAGAAGUCUUAUGUCCUUAAUGCACUGCUCAGUGUGCUGAACCUCGAACGUCGUCUGUGGAUGUUGCGAACAUCUGACAUACACAUUUUGAUAACUACGUGAUAGUUCAGUUAAACAGUUUAGAGUUGAGGCACCGAAGACGUUUUGAAACAUCGUGAAACAUAUGAGAUGUUUCGAGGGCUGAAAUUGGGAUUUCAGGCUCGUGCCCACGUCAAGAGGUAUAGGACCUCCGACGAUUUUCUUAGCCUGCAAACUAAGGGAGAAAAGCUCAAUUGUUGAGCUUGUGCUCAGAUUGUCUGAGUACAACAAUCAUUUGAAUCAAGUGGGAGUUGAUCUUCCAGAUGAGAUAGUGAUGUUUCUCCGAAGUCAUUACCACCAAGCUGCUAGAGCUUCAUGAUGAACUAUGAUAUAUCAGGGACAUAUAUGAUGAUCCUUGAGAUAUUCGCGAUGUUUGACACCACAAAAGUAGAAAUCAAGAAGGGGCAUCAAUUGUUGAUGGUUGGUGAAACCACUAGUUUCAAGAAGGGCAAGGGUAAGAAGGGAUACUUCAUGAAACGGCAAAUCAGCUGAUGCUCUAGUGAAGAAACCCAAGGUUGAACCCAAACCCGAGACUAAGUGCUUCUGUAAUAAGGGGAACAGCCACUGAAGCAGAAUUACCCUAGAUAUUUGGUAGAUGAGAAGGCUGGCAAGGUCGAUAGAAGUAUAUUGGAUAUACAUUGUGUUAAUGUGUACUUUACUAGUACUCCUAGUAGCACCAUGGUAUUAGAUACCGGUUUGGCUGCUAAGUGUUAGUAAACUCGAAAUAAAAGGUUGCGGAGUAAACAGAGACUAGCUAAAGGUGAGCUGGCGAUAUGUGUUGGAAGUUUUUCCCAAGCUUGAUGUGAUCAAGCAUCGCAUGCUCCCUCUUCCAUCGAGAUUGGUGUUUGCGUUGAGCAUAGACAUGAUUGGAUUAUGUCUAUCGCAAUACGGUUAUUAUUUUAAGGAGAAUAAUGGUUACUCUGUUUAUUUGAAUAAUACCUUCAAUGGUCUUCCACCUAAAAUGAAUGUUUUUUGAAUCUCGAUCGUAGUGUGAUACACAUGUUCAUGCCAAAAGAUAUAAGAUAGUAAUGAUAGUACCACCUACUUGUGGCACAGCCACGUAAGUCAUAUCGGUAUAAAACGCAUGAAGAAGCUCCAUGUUGAUGGAUCUUUGGGCUCACUCGUUUUGAAAAAUUUGAGACAUGCGAACCAUGUCUAUUGGUGUAUAUGCAUGAAGAAACUCCAUGCAAGUGGACCGUUUGGACUCACUUGAUUUUGAAUCACUUGAGACAUGCAAAUCAUACCACAUGGGCAAGAUGACUGAAAGCCUCGUUUUCAGUAAAAUGGAACUAGAAAGCAACUUGUUGGAAGUAAUACAUUUUGAUGUGUGCAGUCCAAUGAGUGCUGAGGCGUGUAGUGGAUAUCGUUAUGUUCUUACUUCACAGAUGAUUUGAGUAGAUGUUGAGUACGUUUACUUGAUGAAUCACGAGUCUGAAUUAUUGAAAUGUUCAAGUAAUUUCAGGGUGAAGUUGAAAGAUCGUCGUGACAAGAGGAUAAAAUAUCUAUGAUAUGAUCAUAGAGAUGAAUAUCUGAAUUACGAGUUUGGCACAGAAUUAAGACAUUGUGGAAAUUGUUUCACAACUAAUACAGCCUGGAACACCAUAGUGUGAUGGUGUGUCCGAACAUCAUAACUGCACCCUAUUGGAUAUGAUGCAUACCAUGAUGUCUCUUAUCGAAUUACCAUGAUAGUUUAUGGGUUAGGCGUUAGAGACAACCACAUUCACUUUAAAUAGGGCACCACGUAAUUCCGAUGAGAUGACACCGUAUGAACUAUGGUUUAGAGAAACCUAAGCUGUCAUUUCUUAAAAGUUUGGGGCUGCGACGCUUAUGUGAAAAAGUUUUAGGCUGAUAAGCUCGAACCCAAAGCGGAUAAAUGCAUCUUCAUAGGACACCCAAAACAGUUGGGUAUACCUCCUGUCUCAGAUCCGAAAGCAAUAAGGGAUUGUUUCUAGAAUCGGGUCCUUUCUCGAGGAAAAGUUUCUCUCGAAAGAAUUGAGUGGGAGGAUGGUGGAGACUUGAUGAGGUUAUUGAACCGUCUCUUCAACUAGUGUGUGGCAGGGCACAUGGAGUUGUUCCUGUGGCACCUACACCAAUUGAAGUGGAAGCUUAUGAUAGUGAUCAUGAAACUUCAGAUCAAGUCACUACCAAACCUCGUGGGAUGACAAGGAUGUGUACUACUUCAGAGUGGUACGUAAUCGUGUCUUGGAAGUCAUGUUGCUAGACAACAAUGAACCUACGAGCUAUGGAGAAGCGAUGGUGGGCCUGGAUUCCAAAAUGGCUCGAGGCCAUAUAAUCCGAGAGAGGAUCCAUAUAUGAAAACAAAGUGUAGACUUUGGAAGAACUACUUGAUGGUCGUAAGGCUGUUAGGUACAUAUGGAUUUUAAAAGGAAGACGGACAAUGAUGGUAAGUAUCACCAUUAAGAAAGCUCGACUUGUCGUUAAGAUGUUUUCCGACAAGUUCAAGGAGUUGACUACGAUGAGACUUUCUCACUCGUAGCGAUGCUAAGAGUCUGUUGGAAUUAUAUUAGCGAUUACUGCAUUAUUUAUGAAAUCUUGCAGAUAGGAUGUCAAAACAUUGUUUCCUCGACGAUUUUCUUGAGGAAAGGUUGUAUGUGAUACAACCGGAAGGUUUUGUCAAUCCUGAAAGAUGCUAAUAAGUAUGCAAAGCUCCAGCAAUCCUUCUAAGGACUGGAGUAAGCAUCUCGGAGUUGGAAUGUAUGCUUUGAUGAGAUGAUCAAAGAUUUUGGGUGUAUACAAAGUUUAUGAGAAACUUGUAUUUCCAAAGAAGUGAGUGGGAGCACUAUAGAAUUUCUGAUGAAUAUAUGUUGUUGACAUAUUGUUGAUCAGAAAUGACGUAGAAUUUCUGGAAAGAAUAUAGGGUUAUUUGGAAAGUGUUUUUCAAUGGAAAGCCUGGAUUAAGCUACUUGAACAUUGAGCAUCAAGAUCUAAAAGGAUAGAUCAAAACGCUCAAUGGUACUUUCAAAUGAGCACAUACCUUGACAUGAUCUUGAAGGUGUUCAAGAUGGAUCAGUCAAAGAAGGAGUUCUUGCCUGAGUUGUAAGGUAUGAAGUUAAGACUUAAAGCUCAACCACGGCAGAAGAAAGAGGAAGGACGAAGGUCGUCCCGUAUGCUUUUGUCAUAGGCUCUAUACGGUAUGCCAUGUUGAGUACCGCACCUGAUGUGUGCCUUGCCACAUAUCUGGCAAGAGGGUACAAAGGUAAUCUAGGAGUAGAUCACCAGAUAGCGGUCUAAAUUAUCCUUAGAGGAAUAAGAAUAUGUUUCUCGGUUAUGGAGGUGAUAAAGAGUUCGACGUAAAGAGUUACGUCGAUGCAAGCUUAACACCUAUCCGGAUAGCUCUGAGUAGAGAUACCAGAUACGUAUAAUGGAGCAACAAUUUAGAAUAGCUCCAAGUAGAACAGUUAUUUGAAAUGGCUCCAAAUGUAGCGUAGUAGUUGCAUCUACAAGAUGACAUAGAAAUUUGCGAAGUACAUACAGAUCUGAAUGUUGCAGACCCGUUGACUGAAACCUCUCUCACAAGCAUAACAUGAUCAAACCCAGAACUCUUUGGGUGUUAGUCACAUGGGGAUGUGACCUUGAGUGUUAAUCACAUAUCGAUGUGAACUGGAUUAUUGAUUCUAGUGUAAGUGGGAGACUGUUGGAAAUAUGCCCUACAUGCAAUAAUAAAUUGGUUAUUAUUAUAUUUCCUUGUUCAUGAUAAUCGUUUAUUAUCCAUGCUAGAAUUGUAUUGAUAAGAAACUCAGAUACAUGUGUGGAUACAUAGACAACACCAUGUCCCUAGUAAGCCUCUAGUUGACUAGCUCGUUGAUCAAUAGAUGGUUACGGUUUCCUGACCAUGGACAUUGGAUGUCGUUGAUAACGGGAUCACAUCAUUAGGAGAAUGAUGUGAUGGACAAGACCCAAUCCUAAGCCUAGCACAAGAUCAUAUAGUUCGUAUGCUAAAGCUUUUCUAAUGUCAAGUAUCAUUUCCUUAGACCAUGAGAUUGUGCAACUCCCGGAUACCGUAGGAGUGCUUUGGGUGUGCCAAACGUCACAGCGUAACUGGGUGGCUAUAAAGGUACACUACAGGUAUCUCCGAAAGUGUUUGUUCGGUUGGCACGAAUCGAGACUGGGAUUUGUCACUCCGUGUAAACGGAGAGGCAUCUCUGGGCCCACUCGGUAGCACAUCAUCAUAAUGUGCACAAUGGGAUGAAGGAGUUGAUCACGGGAUGAUGUGUUAUGGAACGAGUAAAGAGACUUGCCGGUAACGAGAUUGAACAAGGUAUCGGGAUACCGACGAUCGAAUCUCGGGCAAGUAUCGUACCGAUAGACAAAGGGAAUUGUAUACGGGAUUGAUUAAGUCCUUGACAUCGUGGUUCAUCCGAUGAGAUCAUCGUGGAUCAUGUGGGAGCCAGCAUGGGUAUCCAGAUCCCGUUUUUGGUUAUUGACCGGAGAGUUUUCUCGGCCAUGUCUGCAUGACUCCCGAACCCGUAGGGUCUACACACUUAAGGUUCGAUGACGCUAGGGUUAUAGGGAAAGUAUGUACGCGGUUACCGAAUGUUGUUCGGAGUCCCGGAUGAGAUCCCGGACGUCACGAGGAGUUCCAGAAUGGUCCGGAGGUAAAGAUUGAUAUAUAGGAAGUAUGGUUUUGGCCACCGGAAGUGUUCCGGGCAUCACCGGUAGUGUACCGGGACCACCGAAGGGGUCCGGGGGUCCACCAGGUGGGGCCACCAGCCCCGGAGGCCUACAUGGGCCAAUAGUGGGAAGGGACCAGCCCCUAGGUGGGCUAGGGCGCCUCCCACCAAGGCCCAAGGCGCCUCUAAUAGGGGAAGGGGGCAAACCCUAGGGCAUAUGGGCCCUAAGGCCCACCCUAGGUGUGCCUCCCCCUCUCCCCCUUGUGGCCGCCACCCUAGAUGGGAUCUAGGGCUGCCGCACCCCUUGGGGUGGGAACCCUAGGUGGGGGCGCAGCCCUCCCUCUCCCCCUAUAUAUAGUGGAGGCAAAGGGGCAGCCCAACACACGAUUUAAUCUUCCUGUUGGCACAGCCCAACCCCUCUUCCUCCUCGUCUCUCGUAGUGCUUGGCGAAGCCCUGCUGGAGUCCCGCGCUCCUCCACCACUACCACGCCGUCGUGCUACUGCUGGAUGGAGUCUUCCCCAACCUCUCCUUCUCCCCUUGCUGGAUCAAGGCGUAGGAGACGUCACCGGGCUGUACGUGUGUUGAACACGAAGGUGCCGUCCGUUCGGCACUAGGAUCAUCGGUGAUUUGGAUCACGACGAGUACGACUCCAUCAACCCGUUCACUUGAACGCUUCCGCUUAGCAAUCUACAAGGGUAUGUAGAUGCACUCUCCUUCCCCUCGUUGCUAGAUUACUCCAUAGAUUGAUCUUGGUGAUGCUUAGAAAAUUUUAAUUUCUGCUACGUUCCCCAACAGGACGCACCUGAGUUUCCGCCACUGACCUCGCGGUGGCUCUCCACCUGGCCACCCCGCCGGUCGCGCCCUCUCCGCCUCCGUCGGAGUCGGCUAGUGACAUCUCCAGUGUGGGCCUGCUCGUCGUGCCGCCUUCAUCGCCGUGCUCUCCCUCCGCCGACUCCGCCCUUCGCGCCUUGCCGUCGGGCCCGGACCCCCCGUCUCCCCUGGUUUGACCUCCCCGGUCCCCAUGGGUGGCGGCGGGUGCACUCCCAUCGGCGUGCCUUCUCCGACACUCCCACUCGCGGGGGACGCGGCCGGCGACAUCCUGGUGCUCGUCGCCCCACUCCCCUCGCUGGUGGACUCCGACGUCCGCCUCGCACCGCCUGCUUCCCCGACCGCGGCGGUGGCCGUUGUUUUGACCACUCCGGCCUCUGCUCACCCUCCUCCGACGGUGGCGUAUGCCAGGCGGCCCCGCUCCACCUCGCCGCAGGUGACGGCGUCCCGCCGCAGCGCCCGCCUCGAUGCGACCCGCCCAGCGGACUCCUCGGCUCCGUCCAUCUCCGAGCGUGCGGAGCUUAGGGCGGCGGUCCGGAACCUCGAGUCAGGUAUGGAUCCCGCCCUUCCCAGUUCUUCCAGUUGUUCCUUUUCCGCGCUUGAGGCCGUUCCUCUUGGCCACCUUGCCAAGGUGGCCACUGACUCGAUCAUCAUCUUCAGGGGGAGGUUGGUCCCCCCUUAAAUCAGAUCGCGACCAUUAGGUCUCGUGAGAUCUUAGAUGGCAAGCUGGCUGAGACUCGGGCGCGCUUGCUUCGGCCUCCCAAGGAAUCGUCCGCUACCCCCGCGGUUCGCGUUCCUCCGGUGGCCGAUGGGGUGAUCCGCUCUCGCGCUGCUGCUCUCCACAUGCAAAGCGCCUCCCGUGUCCUAGGUUCAAGCAGCCCCCCAAUGGGGGCUUAGAUGCGGGCCCUUUUCUGGAACAUCCGUGGCUUCGGCCAUGAUGGCCGUCACCUCCAACUCAUCGAGUACAUGCGAGACGAACACAUUGACAUCAUUUCCAUCCAAGAAACCAUGCACACCGUGUUCUCCCUCCACGAGCUCGAAUGUCUUAGUUCCCACCUCUUCGCCUGGCAUUGGCUCCCUUCUAGUGGGACCAUAGGCCAUUCUGGCGGCAUCCUUUUAGGGGUAAAGGAUGCCACCUUUGAGGUGGGUGGCAUGGACCAGGGUGAAUUCUUCCUUAGUAUGGAGAUCUUCGAGCGUGCUCUUAACUUCAAAUGGGAGGUCGUGAUUGUGUAUGGACCGGCGGACCACCGCGCUCCCCGGCCUUCCUGGCGGAGCUACAUCUGAAGAUCUCCAACUCCCUCCUCCCAGUUGUAGUGGGCGGAGACUUUAACCUCAUCCGAUCCCCAGAUGAGAAGAAUAAUGACCGGAUUAACCUCCCCCGGAUGCAGUUAUUCAAUGACUGGAUCGCGGAGCUGGGUCUCCGUGAGCUAGAUCGGACGGGUGCCAGGUUCACUUGGACAAACCGUCAGGUUGACCCGACGCAAUCCGUCUUGGAUCGCGUCCUAGUUUCCCCGGAGUGGGAAUUAUGUUGCCCCCUGGCCUCGCUUUGUGCGAUUACCCGGAUCGGGUCUGACCAUGUCCCUCUCCUCCUCUCCACCGCUGACGAGCGCCCCCCCCCCACCCCGCCACAUUUCUGGUUCGAGCUCUUCUGGCUUAAUCAGGUCGGCUUCCGGGAGGCUGUCGUCGCUCGCUGGAUCUCCGCUCGCUCUUCCCCUCAUCGCGCCAUGUCCGCAGUCGACUCGUGGCACUUCUGUGCCAAGCUCGCCCACCAAUUCAUGAAGGGUAGGGGUGCUAACCUUGGCCAGGACCUUCGAGAGCGCAAAAAGGCCCUCCUACUGGCUAUCCAAGCCCUGGAUGCCUGUGCCGACACGUCCGGGAUCUCCCCGGAUGAGUGGAUGCUGCGAUAUGACCUUGAAGACCAGCUCUCAACCAUUUACACGGAUGAAGAGGCCUACUGGCGACUGCGCGGUACCCAAUGGUGGGUGCUUCGGGGUGAUGCCAACACCGCCUAUUUCCAGGCAGUGGCGAACGGCCGGCAGCAUCGAAACUCCAUCCACUGCCUGUGGGAUGGAGACACGCCUCUUGUUUGCCCCUCGGCCAUCCAUGCCCAUGUAGACGGCUUCUAUAAAGCCCUAUUUACCCCACCCCUCGGGGUGGGGCUAGUCUCGCCCCCGACAUUUGGUCGGGUGAUCAAUUGGUCUCAGUUGAGGCCAAUGCGGCAUUAGUGGCCCCCUUCUCCAAGGAUGAGGUCCUCGCGGCUAUUAAAGGGAUGAACCCCUCCUCGGCCUCAGGACCGGAUGGCUUGCCUGUAACGUUCUUCAAAACGUUCUGGCCGACCAUCAAGCCGGAGGUCAUGGCCCUGUUUGAGGAAUUCUACUCGGGCGCCAUGGAUCUUGGGUGUCUCAACUAUGGUAUCGUGACCCUCAUACCCAAGGUCCCGGGCGCCUCCGACAUCCGCCAGUUUCGUCCAAUCACAGUGAUUAAUGUGAUAUUCCGGAUCCUGGCCAAAGGGUACACCAAUAGGAUGACCCUGCUCGCUGACGCGAUUACCCAUCCCAACCAAUCCGCCUUCAUACAAGGCCGAUUUAUUCUGGAUGGGGUGCUGGUAUUCCACGAAGUCCUCCAUGAGGUCCGGAUGAAACGCCAUCGGCUGGUCUUUCUGAAGCUAGACUUCCACAAAGAGUACAACAUGGUCCACUGGCCCUUCUUGCGGGAAGUGUUGCUUUGCAAGGGCUUUGAUGACCAUUGGGUGACUCGCGUCAUGCAGCUUGUCUCCUGUGGCCGGACCGCUGUGAACAUCAACGGUGACAUUAGGCCCUACUUCCCCACCCUCUGUGGGGUCCGUCAGGGUGACCCGUUCUCGACGUUCCUGUUCAACAUGGUGGUUGAUGCCCUGGCAUCCAUCCUUGAUAAGGCCAAGGAUGCUGGCCAUAUUUGUGGCAUCGUCCCCCACCUAGUCGAAGGGGGAGGGGUCUCCCUCCUUCAAUAUGCGGAUGAUACCAUAAUAAUGGUGGAGGGCUCCAUCCAAGACAUUGCUAACCUGAAGUUCCUCCUCCCGUGCUUCCAACAGAUGUCGGGCCUGACCAUCAACUUUGAUAAGAGCGAAGUGAUGGUUCUCGGGUUCCCCCCGGAGGAAGCACGGGCUAUUGCGGACCGGCUAAAUUGUCGGUUGGGUUCUUUCCCCACGACCUACCUGGGGAUCCUCAUUAGUGAUUCACGCCUCACCAUGGCGGAUUUUCGCCCCACGGUGACCCGUACGCAACACCGCAUUGAGCCCUGGAAAGGGCGCUGGUUGUCGAAGGUUGCUCACGUGAUCCUUAUCAAGUUUUCCCUUGCCAGCCUUCUUUGGUUCCUCAUGAGCUUCUAUAGCCUCCGUGAGACCCUUCAUCAAGAGAUCGCCAAAUACCAAUCCAGAUUCUUCUGGGCUGGGGAGGGGGAUAAGCAGAAGUACCAUAUGGUAAGCUGGCCCGGUAUCUGCAAACCCAAGGACCAGGGUGGUCUUGGGAUCUUGUCCUCCCGACGCAUGAACAUUGCCCUCCUGACCCGUUGGCUCUGGCGCAUUGCCAAUGGCGAUGGAGGUCUUUGGCUCACCAUCAUCCACAACAAGUACCUUCGAGGACAGCCUCUUGCAUUCUGUCAGCGCUCGAGCGGCUCCCAGUUUUGACAGGCCAUCGUCCAGCUGCUACCUGUGCUUUGCAUUGGCACAUCCAUCUCGGUUGGUACUGGGUCCUCGACCCUGUUCUGGUUUGAUCGGUGGAUUGGCGACACCCCCCUGGCUGCACGAUUUCCGGAGCUCUUCGCCAUUGCAGUUGACCCUCGUGUCUCUGUCGAGACGACCCUUAUUGACUUAGGGCGCCUCGCUUUCCGCCGCCCCUUUGGCCCUCCUAAAGUUGCCUCUUGGGAUGCCCUCCUUCAGGACAUCGCCCUCCUCCCUAUGGACGGUGUUGUCACCCCGGACGCCAUCUCUUGGCGUCUGAAACCUUCCGGCUACUUCUCCACCAAAUCCCUCUACGCGGCCAUCGCCCCCUCGAUGGCCCCCGAGCCCUUUAGUUUGAUUUGGGACGUCCGCCUGCCCCUGAAGAUCAAGAUCUUCCUGUGGCAAUGGAUCCGAGGCCGCCUCCCGUCUGGUGUGGAGGUCCUUAAGAGUAAUGGACCUGGGGAUGGGAUGUGCCCCAUGUGCGACAUGGUGGAGGAUGCUAACCACAUCUUCUUCUCGUGCUCCACGGCUCAGUUCCUUUGGUCCUGUUUCCGCGAGACGGUUGGGGGCCAGUGGUGCAACACCAACUUCCCUGACCUGCUUGCGGAAAUUCACGCCUCCCCCCUCGCUACCGCCAUAAUAGAUGGCUUUGCAUUAAGGUCCUUGCCUGGACACUUUGGACCGUUCACAAUAAGCUUGUCAUACAGAAGGUGCCUCUUCGACGUGCUACUGACGCCAUCUUUAAAAUGUGUGGAUACUUGCAGCUCUGGCGACCGCUUAGCCGCCCCCAGGAUUGGGACGUCAUCAACAACCUCCUCGCUGGCCUUCGAUCGAUGGCCUUCCGCUUGGCGCCUCCGCUCCCUCCGCCCCCCGGAGCCCGACUAGAUGCUCUGCCGCACCCUGCGUGUGCGUGCUAUUUUGUUUCUUUAGGGCUUGUUGAGCUGUGCCCUCAGCAUUAAACCUUUGACUACUUGACUGUACUAGACCUUUGUGUGUGUGUGUGAACCUUGUUGGAUGUUUGGCUUGGGCAGUUGCUUUAUAAUAUAAAGCGGGGCGAAAAUCUUUUUCAGUAAAGGAUAAGUAUCCAACAUCUUGACAAACGAAAAACAUUAGCAGAGUAAUACUGUCUUCACCGAAGCUUCAGAUAUAUUCAAAUAAACUAAUCCUUCAUCAAACAAGUAGCAAGAUAUGUAUGUGAUUUAACAUGCAUGCCAAUGUGAAAUGAAGACUAUAUCAUGUAGAGCCUAGUUGCCUUCUUCCACAGUUCCAGUAAAGCCAAAGGACAGGUUCUUUUGAGCUCAGCAUAUCCAUGGCUUGCUAUUAUAUCAUCCACUUUACCCAAAGAGGCAAUAAAUUCAAUGCAAGCAUCAGUCAACUUGUUGUAGUGAUGCUGAUCAGCCAAAACCAGUGUAGUCACCACGGUCUUCACAUCUAUGUUCUUGCAAAGGAUGCUUUCACAUAUGAUCUUCAGUCUUUCCAUGGCAUACCGAUCCGCGGCUACAAGCAAAUGUCCAAUAAUCUCUUUGUACUCAUCUUGAUAUUGGUAAAGAUCAUCCAUGGUGGGCAACGAAUCGGUGUAUAUAAAAUGGAGCAGGGCCUCGAAGACUAGAGGUUGCAUGUCGCCGAUGAUAACACAACCCAUAUCAUUUUCCCUCAAGGCACCGUACAACUCUUCCUUAAACACCGGCGACCGCAUCGCGAGCACUAUCUUGUGCGCAGGAAAAGCCUCCCCUUGAACCUCGAAGGUGACAUCGCUUCCCUCUUUCCGUUGCCACAACUUCCUGAGGUGAUCCGUGAUGUCGGAUGGCGGCAACGGCACCUCAGCAAACGAUUUGGGCGCUUCCGUGCAGAUAGUGAUGGCACACUCAAUUGUGAGGCGAUCGCUGUGAAGGUAAGGCGACACCUCGAGCUUGCUCUUCUUCAUGCACUCGGGAUGGCCGAAGCACGUUCGGUCGCCAGAGUCGAAUUCUGCGGCGACCGUCCUCAUCGUACGAGGCGGCGUUGAUCCUGUGAUGUCCACCAAACUGAGCUCGAAGGUUGCCCUCACCUUGGCCUUCUUGCUGACUAAAAAGAGAUAGACCGCCACAUAGCCUCCGGAAUGCCCAAGCACUCCUUCCUCAUAGAAACGAAUCUGCCAGUUGUAAGAGCCGACGGUGAAUACUUCCGAUGAUUGUACGUCGAGGCUAACUCGGCCGUACCCUGAGACCUCGAACACGAGCGAGCCCCGCCCUGCACGUCACGUGGACGCCGUGCAUCCCAUCGCCGCCUCCGUUGCCCGGUUGUCUUGUUCGUGGCCGGGGUGGUGGCCGGUGGCGGGGGAGAAGAGUUUAUUAGGGUUUCUUAUUAGGGUUUGCAUUUGUAUGGAGGGUUGGACCGGGAAGCGAAAGGAAAGAGGGUUGGGCCGGGAAGCGGAACGCGCUUCGCUAUACUCUCUAAAAUCGGGCCCAGGAAUCCAAGUCGAAUUCCUCCUUAGGACCGAAUCAAAUCGUGGGACGUCCUAUACGCCGCUCUCUGGACGUAGCUGGGAACCGAACCUCGUACAUCAUGAUACAGAUCAGGCGCGGCCACCGACUGACCUAUCACGCGUUACCGACAAGUUUGCAGCGUCCGUUUUUAAGAAUCAACCCCACACAGCAGAUCCGAAUUACUUUCAGCAUUUUAAAAGAUUAUUUUAAACUAGGUGUUUUCUGAAUGCAAACACUUUUCAAAUUGGGGAAUUGCUUAAAAAAUGAUUUCUUUUAGAAAAGCAGGAACAUUUUUCGAAAUCACAAACAAUUUUUCCCAAAACAGGAACAAUUUUUGAAAUUCCAAAAGAAAAUUGGGCAAAUGCAAACAUUCUUUAAACUCCUGAACAAAUUUGAAAACACGAACAUUUAUUUGAAAUUUGUGAACAUUUUUAAACGGGAACAUUUUUGGAAACUCCAAAAAAUGAAAACAUGAACAUUUUUUAAAAUACGGUACAAGUUCUGAGAAGUUGUGUAUUUUUUUAGCAGAAACAUUUGGAACAUUAAAAAAAACACAAACAAUUGUUUUAAUACACGAAUAUUUUUUGAAAUUAUGAACAAAAUUUAAAAAAAAAACUACCUUCAAUUUUAUCAUCUUUAAUAAGCUAAAUUUUUUUUUUGAAAUUUGUGAACAGUUUUCAGAAAAUAAAAAUAACUUUUAAAAACAAUUUUUUUAAUACACGAACAAAUUUUGUUAAAUACGAACAAGUUUUGAAUUUAUGAACAUAAUUUUAAAACACUAAAAUUUUGAAUUCUGAUAUGUUUAUAAACGCACAAACAUUUUACAAAAAUUCCAAACUUUUUCUGAAAAUAAUAUAAAAGAAAAAAAAUAGAAAAGAAACAUAAAGGAAAAAACGAAAAGAAAAAGAAUCAAAAACAGAGAAACCAAAAAAGAAGCAGAAACCAAAAUUUGAAGACGCGAACAUAUUUUGAAAUUCACGAAAAAAGUUUGAAAACAAGAACAUUUUUUGAAACUUGUGAACAAUUUACGAAAUUUGGAUAUUUUCUGAAACUCCGAAAUAAUCAAAACAUGAACAUUUUUGGCAAUUCACGAACAAUUUUUUAAAAUGGGACCUAGUUUUGUACCGCCCGAACAUCUUUUGAAAAGUUGUGAACAUUUUGAACAAAUGAUUUCACAAUAUUUUUUUAAAUAAGAACAUUUGUUGAAAGUCUCGAGCAUUUUUUUAAUUUAUGAACAUUUUUUGAAAAACAGCCAUUCUUUGAAAUUUCAAACGUUUUUUAUGAACUUAGUUUAAAAAAGAUAGAAUAACCUUGAAAAGAAAAAAGAAAAAUAAACAGAAAAAAAAAAGAAAAA